rnacentral:lncRNA from 1 species
CUGGAACAGUUCUUUUUGUAUUUCUUCCCCUCUUUUUAGAUUGUCCUCAUCAAUAUAAGCCUGGUAUCCCCUGUCUGUUAAUGCCCUGUGGAGGUGGCCCGUGAAGCCAUUGCGUGUGUCUACACCGCUGAAGCUCAAGAACACAUCGUAAUUCCAAAGUUUUGACUUGGAGGAGGAUGAAGCGGAGGCUUCGUGGGUCGUCAUGGCGGUAUCCACCGUUAUGGCACUGCAGUGGUUCAGAUCACGACUGAAAAAUGGCAGUAGUUGUGUUCGUGCCGUCAAACAGAUGAUCCUGAAAUACCUAAACCCAAGUCAAGCCCCUUCAGUCAACAAGAACAAAGUUUAUAAUAUAAUAAUGUUGGUGUAUGGACUUGAGAAACGACAUAAUGUUGGCCGGAAGGUGCAGAGAAAGAGAGAGGAAAAGAGGAAAGAGAGGAACGAAAGGACAAAGACUAUCCAAAAGAUUCUUGGCUAUAACGCUGAGGCCUUGUACAGUUGUAGUAAUAAUAUAUGGGUUGAUGCACCUGCUGCUCAAUGGAUUUGAUUUGCUAAAAAAAAUAAAAAUCUAUAAAUACAUUCACGUCCAAUUUAUGAGAAAUCAUGGGAAAGCAAAUGCACUGAUAACGGAAUCAUGAAUAUGAAGAACUUGCCAAAAAGAAAAAGAAAACUUCUUAUAGUGUGCCAAGAACAUCCUCCUACUCCUAGCAAUUUUUUUAUGGCAUUGUCCACUUCUCAAUUCAUAAUUCAACCAGUAACUCAAAGUAUAUAGUGUAUGAAAAAGUGAUAUCUUAGUUGAUCACCAUGAUAAUUAAGCAGAUUAAAUGACGACCCAUAAAGCAUACAAAUUCAGAAAAGAAAAGGUUCAAAACUGCAAUAAGAAAAUGUAGAAUAUAUAAACGGGAAAUCAAAAGAAGAGAAGCGAAAAAGGAAGAAAAAACCAAACAAAAAUAUUAGGUUUGGGAUAUACCUUUAUCUGAAUCGCCACAAUCAUCAAAGUCAAACACAAACAAUCCAAACAUUUGUGGAAAAUACCAAUAAAUGCUCAGCUAAAAACGAAAGAAGACGUAGAAUAAGUUUACCAGUUCGGCCUGAAAAAAUUAGUAGAACAUGACAUGAUGAUAAGAAUCUAGUUCUAUUUCCAUUGUUUAAAACCCAAAUUCCAGAAAUCAUGAAAAAUGGAAACUUCAUAUGGAAAUUGAAGCUUUACCUGCAGAUCAGCAGCAGCAAACGGAAUCCAACGGCAUGUACGUCAAAAGUGAGAGAGAGUGCUGAGUGAGAUAAGUGAGAAAAUCGAUAAACAAAAGGAAAAUGGUCAGGCAACGGCAUAUACCUCAAAAGUGAGAGAGAGAGAGAGAGAGAGAGAGAGCUGAGAGAUGAGUGAGAAAAUCGAUAAACAAAACCCCUCAAAAUCACAAAAGAAAAUUUGAACAGAAAACAAAUUUGCAAAUCCAAAAUCACAAAAACGAAAUUGAAACAGCCACACCGAGAAAGCUGUAAUACUCACCAGGAAGCUAGCUUUUCUGGGUAAAAAAAUUAUUCGAAUCGAAUUGAACCACCAAGGAAAAUUCUACUGGUUCAGUAGUUUUUCCAGCAAGAAAGCACCUUGUUUGUAAUUCGUGAGAGGUUGGACAGCGAGAGAAACUGAUUUGGGAGCCAAAGAAAGCGAGGUUGGAGACCGACAGAGGCUGAGAAUUGCGAGAGAGAAAAAGGAAAAGGAAAGGAAGAGCGGAGAAGAAGUCACGAUUAUCGACGCGUGGGUAGCAUUCCACUGUGCCAAGGACGAAACGAACGGGCAAUGAACCCAACCAUUGAAGAAAGAAGCAUCAAAAUACACCAAAGUAAAGACUUGACUUGGUUUAUAGAGUGAAACUUUAACGAAAAGUUUCUGGUAUUAUUUAUUUUAACAAAAAAAAUAUAUAUUUUUAUACUAAAAAAUCAAUCAUGGUAUUACUCACUUUACCUUUUAUUUUGUGCUUAUCGUUAAAAUUCAAAGUUUUCAAACUCUUUUCAUUAAUUUUCCUUUUAUAUAAUUGGAAUGUGAUACACCUUAUUUUACUUCUCACAUUUUUUUAAUUUUCGAUAUUCGGAUCAGAUGAAUUGAAGAAGAUCAACGAACAGAAAUUAUCAAGGAAUGUGAAAAGUAAAAUAGGGUGUGUAGAUAGCAUACCCCAUAUAAUUAAUCAAUAAUAUUCCAUAACAAGAGCUAGGGCCAUAUAUUAUACAAGAUUCUAAUAGAUGCUAGACGUUAAUCGGACAACGAGUUAGGACCUAGCUGUUAGACAGAUUUAAGUAAAUUUACUAUAUAUUAUAUAAAUAAAUGUCUUUUAUACUUAAAAUGACACAUAAUUGUAUUGGGAUAUAUAAAUUACAAAAUAAAAUGACAUAUAUAUUAUAAAGUAUUAAAACAUAGGAGAAAAUACCCAAAUGUGAAACAACAACUGUAAACAAUUUUUUAAGGUGGACGGUAAAUGAUUCAGCUAUUUACAAAAUUCAAAAAGUGGGAUCACGAACUACUGGAUGGUUGUAUUAAUUAUUUGGCGGUGCUCUAAUAUAAUACAUCCAAAUGGGGGUGGACCACAUAAUACACCCCAAUGGAUCGUUUUAAGCUACUCCACUGCUAAAACUAUUGCAAAAUGCGCAUCAGGAUUGUACUUCUAUUAGCUACGCCUUUCCUUACUUGGCAAACGAACCAUAUAGUACACCAAGAUGGAUGUUAUACACGUUGGAGUUUGAGCAGAAUUUUAUUUGUUAUCUCAUUGUCUCACAUUGCUAAAAUUGAAAAGUUUAUAAUAUAUAACGUUUGCGUAUGAACUUGAGAAACGACAUACUGUUAGCCGGCCGAGAAGUUACAGGGAAAGAGAGGAAAGGAAGAAAGAAACAAACACGAAAGGACAAACACUAUCCAAUAGAUUAUAAACAAUGACUUAUUAGGGUGAUUACAGUUAUUCAACCAUCAAUAAUGCAUUAUUUUAGUUUGGAAUUUGAAAGCAUUUGAGAAGUAACAUGACAACAACAACAUAAUAAACACAAGUGAUUAGAAAAAAAGACCCAAAUGUGAAAGAAUAAUUAAAAACAAUUAUUCAAGAUAAGCGAUAAAUGAUUUAACCAUUUACAAGAUAUGAACUUAAAACAACAAUCCAUUGAAUCAUUGUAUUAACUAUUCAAUGGUGCUCUAAUAUAAUAGAUCCAAAUGGGGACCGACCAUAUAGUACACCCAAAUGGACCAUUUUUAGGAUCCACCGCUAAAAACUAAUGCAAAAUGGCCAUUAGGAUUGAACUUGUAUUAGCUAUCUUUCCUUACUAGUCAAAUGAACCAUAUAAUACACCCAAAUGGAUGCCAUAUGUGCAUAUAUAAACAAUGUUUUCAAAGGAUGAAAUGACUUUCUUGCCGGUAUGGGGGAAGAGGAAAGAAACUAGCACGAAACUGCAGACCCUAUCGAUCCAUUAUAAUAAAUUUCAAUGGUCUAAGUUGUUAGUUAAUUGUGCAAGGUAAAAACUUAUUCACAGUCAUCAACUUAACCACGUAUCUAUGGAAGACAUCGUCUCAUAAAACUUGGAUUAAGAACUGAAGUUCUCUUGUAACUCUACACAAUUGAAAGCCAGGCUCGCUCAAUGGGGCUUGAGUUUUUUGUAAACUUGCGUAUUUAGUGGAGAGGGCAGGGACCUCAUUUUUAUACAUGGAAUUCAAUAAGGAUCCCUCCCAUUAAGUGAUCCUUAUCAAAGAGUAACCUUAUCACCGUGAAACACUUAUGCAUUAUAUCAGCUAGAAGACUUUUAGUUUUACCGAGAAUGUAUCUGACUUGAAACUGUAAAGAAAUACAACUCCUGAUAAGUCUACCACAUGUGUCAAUCCUUAUCUCCUUAUCAUUCCACAUGUCUUUAAUCAAAUCACCAAGUGUUUGCUCUCAUAUACAACCUACACAAGUCUCAUGUAGUUUCAUUUAACUUAUUUUCCACAACGGUAAAUAUAUUUUAAUGGCUCCGGUUUUCACAUGCCAGUCAGUCACACGCUCAACUUCUCAACGUUAGGGCUCAAUGGCUCGAAGAGAGCUUCCCCAAUGGAUCGUUUUAAGCUCCUCCACUGCUAAAACUACGGCAAAAUGCGCAUCAGGAUUAUACUUCUAUUAGCUGCGCCUUUCCUUACUAGGCAAAUGAACCAUACAAUACACCAAGAUGGAUGUUAUACACGUUGGAGUUUGAGCACAAUUUUUUAUUUAUUUUUUGUUAUCUCAUUGUCUCACAUAGCUAGAAUUGAAAAGUUUAUAAUAUAAUAACGUUUGCGUAUGAACUUGAGAAACGACAUACUCCGGCCGGCCAGGAAGGUGCAGUGAAAGAGAGGAAAGGAAGAAAAAAAAACGAACGCAAAAGGAAAAAGACUAUCCAAUAGAUUAUAAACAAUGACUUCUUGAGGUGAUUACAGAUAUUCAACCAUUAAUAAUGCAUUAUUUUAGUUUGGAAUUUGGAAGCAUUUGAGAAGUAACAUGACAACAACAACAUAAUAAACAAAAGUGAUUAGAAAAAGACCCAAAUGUGAAAGAAUAAUUAAAAACAAUUAUUCAAGAUAAGCGAUAAAUGAUUCAACCAUUUACAGAUAUGAACUUAGAAAAACAAUCUAUUGGAUCGUUGUAUUAAAUAUUAAGUGGUGCUCUAAUAUAAUAGAUCCAAAUAAGGACGAACCAUAUAAUACACCCAAAUGGACCAUUUUUAGGCUCCACUGCUAAAAACUAAUGCAAAAUGGGCAUUAGGAUUAAACUUGUAUUAGCUAUAUUUCCUAGUCAAAUGAAUCAUAUAAUACACCCAAAUGGAUGCCAUCAUGCAAUAUAUAAACAAUGUUUUGAAAGGACAAGGUACCUAACACUGUCUUUUUAUAUAUGUAAGCAACAACCCUAAAUCUUAUUGGAGCUAAUUAACUAAUGUAUUUAUUAGACAGUUGGAUUCCUUAGCAAGUGGUUAACUAUUUUUGUUUAGUUUAGUAGUCAGGUCGUAAUUAAUUAGUCAAAUGAACCAUAUAAUACACCCAAAUGGAUGCCAUAUAUGCAUAUAUAAACAAUGUUUUCAAGGGAUGAAAUGACUUUCUUGCCGGUAUGGGGGAAGAGGAAAGAAACUAGCCCGAAAGUGCAGACCCUAUCGAUCCAUUAUAAUGAAUUUCAAUGGUUCAAGUUGUAACUUAAUUGUGCAAGGUAAAAACUUAUUCACAGUUAUCAACUUAACCACGUAUCUGUGGAAAACAUUGUCUCAGAAAACAAGGAUUAAGAACUAAAGUUCUCCUGCAACUUUACACAACUGAAAGCAAGGCACGCUUAAUGGGAAUGGGACUUGAGUUUUCUGUAAACUUGCGUAUUUAGUGGAGAGAGCAUGGACCUUAGUUUUAUACAUGGAAUUCAAUAAGGAUCCCUCCCAGUAAGUGAUCAUUAUCAAAGAGUAGCCUUAUCAACCUGAAACACUUAUGCAUUAUAUCAGUUAAAAGAGUUUUAGUUUUAUCGAGAAUGUAUCUAACUUGAAACUGUAAAGAAAUACAACUCCUGAUAAGUCUACCACAAGUGUCAAUCAUUAUCUCCUUAUCAUUCCACAUAUCUUUAAUCAAAUCACCAAGUGUUUGCUCUCAUAUAGAACUUACACAAUCUCAUGUAGUUUCAUCUAACUUAUUUUCCACAACGGUAAAUUUCAAUGGCUCCGGUUUUCACAUGCCAGUCAGUCACACGCUCAACUCCUCAACGUUCGGGCUCAAUGGCUCGAAGAGAGCUUCCCCAAUGGAUCGUUUUAAGCUCCUCCACUGCUAAAACUAUUGCAAAAUGCGCAUUAGGAUUACACUUCUAUUAGCUGCGCCUUUCCUUACUAAGCAAAUGAACCAUAUAAUACACCAAGAUGGAUGUUAUACACGUUGGAGUUUAAGCAGAAUUUUUUUUGUUAUCUCAUUGUCUCACAUUCCUAGAAUUGAAAAGUUUAUAAUAUAAUAACGUUCGCGUAUGAACUUGAGAAACGACAUACUUGUUAGUUUAUAAGUGUAUUUGCUGAAAUAUAAUAAGAAGUCAGUUUUAAAUAUCAGCCCUUGGAUCAUAGUCCAAGUGUGCAGCUAAGAUGUAAUCUUAGAUUAAUUAAUAUUUCCUCUUGCUACAUGUGCUAAGUGUGUGUGAAUGAAUGAAACAGUGCAGAGUUCGUUUCUUCUUCCUCAAGCUGAAUUCUCUCACUCUCUCUCUAGAUUUCUUACUCUCUUCCUUUCUUCAGUAUUUUAUACAUUAAUUGAAACACUCAUACAAGAUCAUAGUUUGUAUGCUAACAUGGCCUCAGAGCUGUGUUCGAUCAAUUGAUACUGGGCAUUUGGAUCUGUGAAGAGAGCUACCCAGCAACUCAAAGCUGCGAUCGAGUUGAUUGCGAUCUGAGUCUAACAUGGAAGGAUCGGGUAGUGGUGAGGUGAGAGCACCAAUUUUCAAUGGUGAAAAUUAUAAGUUCUGGAGUAUUAAGAUGAAGACCAUUUUCAAGUCCUACGGAUUGUGGAAUCUGGUUGAAAAGGGUUUCGAUGAAUCAGAUCUGAAGAAGAUUGAUGAAUCUGAGGCGAAGAAGAAAGACAAAGAAGAGUCUAGUGGUGCUGGGAGGAUGACGCUUGUUGAGGUGCUCAUGAAGGAUGCUAAAGCUCUGGGUCUGAUUCAGGGCGCUGUUUCAGAUGAGAUAUUUCCCAGAAUCUCUCAUGAAGAAACUUCAAAAGGCGCAUGAGACAUUCUGCAGCAAGAAUACCAUGGUGAUAAACAGGUUAGAAGUGUUAAAUUGCAAGGUCUUCGUAGGGAAUUUGAAUAUACCCGAAUGCGAGAUGAUGAAUCACUUUCUGUUUAUCUUACAAAACUAUUUGAUCUGAUAAAUCAAAUGCGGAGCUAUGGAGAGGAAUUAUCUCGAGAGAGAGUUGUUCAGAAAUUAUUAAUUAGUUUGCCAUCAGCUUAUGACUCUAUCUGUUCUGUUAUUGAGCAUUCGAAAGAUUUGGAUGUGAUUGAGGUACAAGAGGUGGUGGCUUCUUUGAAGAGUUUUGAGUUAAGGAUUGAUUGGCAUUCUGAAAAUAAAACUGAGAGAGCAUUUGCUAGCCUUAGUGUGAAUCCCAAACCAGUUAAGUUUACUGGAAAUCAAAAUGCCAAGUACCAUAAGAAUUGGAAGGACAAAGGCAAGAAGUGGGAUAACAAACCCACAGAUGGGGCUAGAAAUUCUUGUAAGCAUUGUGGCAAGCUACAUUUUGGUGAGUGUCGAUUCAAAGGCAAACCAAAAUGUUACAACUGUGAUAAGUUUGGUCAUCUAGCAAGGGACUGUAAUAGCAAGAAGGCAGUGCAACAGCUUAAUUAUGCCACUCAGGUAGACUCUACACCAAUCAUGUUUUAUGCUAGUAAUCAAACUAAUACUAGUGUAAAAGGAUGUGAAGAUGUAUGGUAUGUAGAUAGUGGGUGUAGUAAUCAUAUGACUGGAAGGGAGGAUCUACUGGUUGAUAUUGACAAGUAUGUGACUGCAAAGGUUGAAAUGGGUACUGGACAGCUUGUUGAUGUAACUGGUAAAGGAAGUCUUAUGGUUGAAACUAAAAUAGGCAAGAGAUAUAUCAAGGAGGUUAUGCUUGUGCCUGGAUUGAAAGAAAAUUUGCUCAGUGUAGGUCAAAUGAUGGAGCACGGUUAUUACUUGGUGUUUGGAGGUCAUAAAGUAGAGAUCUAUGAUGAUAGCUCAUAUUCCAACCUGAUUGCCAGAGUACCAAUGAAGGGAAAUCGAAGUUUUCCAAUGAAGUUACAGUCUGGAAUACAUAUUGCCUACAGGGCAAAUGUAUGUCCUUCUACUGCUAUGUGGCACAGAAGAUUGGGUCAUCUGAACAUGAGCAGUUUGAAAUUGAUGCAGGAACAAGAAUUGGUGGUCGGGUUACCGGAGAUCAAAGUAAUUAAAGGAGUGUGUGAAGGCUGUGUUCUUGGCAAACAAUGCAGAGAAGCAUUUCCAAGAGAAGCCACUACUAGAGCAUCAUUUCCUCUUGAGCUUAUACACAGUGACAUUUGCGGACCAAUGCAGACAACUACAACAGCUGGAAAUCGAUACUUUCUCACUUUUAUAGAUGACUGCACCAGGAUGUGUUGGAUUUAUUUUCUAAGGCAUAAAUCUGAAGUUCUCAAUGUGUUUAAAAGGUUCAAAGCUACUGUAGAGUUGCAGAGUGGAUAUAAACUGAAGAAGCUUAGGAGUGAUCGAGGAGGUGAAUACACCUCAAUGGAAUUUAACAGAUUUGUUGAAGAUGUAGGCCUGGAAAGACAACUUACCACUCCAUACACACCAGAGCAAAAUGGUGUGGCAGAGAGAAAGAACAGAACCAUCGUGGAAAUGGCUAAGUGUCUUAUGUUGGAGAAGAAGGUUCCACUUGAAUUCUGGGCUGAGGCAGUCAAUACCUCUGUGUACAUUCUGAAUCGAUGCCCAACCAAAGCCUUACAUAAGAAGACACCUUUUGAAGCUUACAGUGGGAGAAAACCAGGAAUUAAGCAUCUAAAAGUGUUUGGUUCUUUGUGUUAUGCUCAUGUGCCAAGUCAACAGAGACAAAAACUCGAUUUGGCAAGCAAGAGGUGUAUUUUCUUGGGAUAUGGUAGUUGUGAGAAGGGAUAUAGACUGUAUAACAUUGAAUCUGGAAAGGUGACUAUUUCCAGAGAUGUUGUGUUUAAUGAAGAAGCAUGUUGGGAUUGGAAUGCACAGAAGGAAAGAAGGGAGAGUAUCCAGAUCAUUGAAAUGUCUGCAGGAGAACAAAACUGUGAAGGAAGUGCUUGUGAUUCUGAAACACAAUGUGAAGUCAGUGAAGAGAAUGUUGGGUCAGAUUUAGUUACUGAGCUAUCUGAUCAUCAAGAAAGAGUGACAGGUCCACAGGAUUUUGAUCACACUCCUCUCAAGUACAGAAACAUUGCAGAAAUAUAUGAAAAGUGUAAUCUGUGCAUAAUAGAACCCGAAUGUUUUGAAGAGGCUGCCAAGGAUGAAUCAUGGCAGAAGGCUAUGGAAGAUGAAAUCUCUAUGAUUGAGAAGAAUCAUACUUGGGAUCUUGUUGAUAGACCAUUUGAUAAACCAAUCAUUGGAGUCAAAUGGGUUUAUAAAACAAAACUAAAUCUGGAUGGUUCAGUGCAGAAAAACAAAGCACGGUUGGUUGCAAAGGGGUACUCUCAGAAGCCUGGAAUCGAUUUCAAUGAAACUUUUGCACCUGUGGCAAGACUUGAUACUGUGAGAACCUUGGUAGCCCUUGCUGCACAGAAAUGAUGGAAAUUAUUUCAGUUAGAUGUAAAGUCUGCAUUUCUAAAUGGAGUGUUGAAUGAAGAGGUGUAUGUGGAUCAACCAUCUGGUUUUGUUAUACAGGGCAAGGAAGACAAAGUGUACAGGCUCAGGAAAGCUUUAUAUGGUUUGAAAACAAGCUCCAAGAGCUUGGUAUGAAGAAAUAAAUUCCUAUUUUGCAAAGGCUGGAUUCCACAGAAGUCCGAGUGAAGCUACUCUUUAUAUCAAGACAUCUCACAGUGGCAUUCUUAUUGUGUCACUGUAUGUAGAUGAUAUUAUUUACACAGGGAGUUCAAAGGAGAUGAUAGCUGAGUUUAAAGGUGAGAUGAUGAGACAAUAUGAGAUGACUGAUCUAGGAUUACUUCAUCAUUUCCUUGGUCUUGGAGUAUUGCAAACAGAUAAUUACAUCUUCUUGCAUCAAAAGAAAUAUGCAAAGACUUUGCUUGAGAAAUUUGGACUUAGGGAUUGUAAGCCGGUUGCAACACCAUUAGCUAUGAAUGAAAAACUUACAAAAGUAGAUGGAAGUGAUCUGGCAGAUGAGACUUUAUAUAGACAAAUGGUGGGAAGUUUGCUAUAUUUGACAGCAACAAGGCCAGAUAUUAUGUUUGCAGCAAGCUUAUUGGCUAGGUUUAUGCACAAUCCUACCAAGAAGCAUAUGGGGACAGCUAAGAGAGUUCUGAGAUACAUACAAGGCACUGUGACCUAUGAAGUUGUCUAUGAAAAGGGAAAAGGAGCAGUGUUGGUUGGUUAUUGUGAUAGUGAUUGGAGUGGAAGUGAAGAUGAUAUGAGGAGUACAUCUGGCUAUGCAUUCAAUCUUGGUUCUGGUGUGUUUUUCUUGGGCCUCAAUCAAACAAAGCAGUGUUGCUCUUUCAACUGCAGAGGCAGAGUACAUCAGUGCAGCAGAAGCUACUGCACAGGCCAUUUGGCUAAGAUUUGUACUCUCUGAUUUCGAGGAAGAACAAGCAGAACCAACUAAGUUGUUGUGUGAUAAUACCUCAGCAAUUGCCAUAUCAAAGAAUCCAGUUCAUCAUCACAAAACCAGGCACAUUAAUCGGAAAUUUCAUUUCAUCCGAGAUGCACUUCAAGAUGGUGAGAUUGAUCUGGUAUACUGCAAGACUGAAGAGCAGGUUGCAGAUAUAUUCACUAAAGCUUUGGCAAGGGAUCGAUUUGAAGUACUGAGGACAGCUUUGGGAGUGAUUUCAGCACAUCACUUAGAAGGGAGUGUUAGUUUAUAAGUGUAUUUGCUGAAAUAUAAUAAGAAGUCAGUUUUAAAUAUCAGCCCUUGGAUCAUAGUCCAAGUGUGCAGCUAAGAUGUAAUCUUAGAUUAAUUAAUAUUUCCUCUUGCUACAUGUGCUAAGUGUGUGUGAAUGAAUGAAACAAUGCAGAGUUCGUUUCUUCUUCCUCAAGCUGAAUUCUCUCACUCUCUCUCUAGAUUUCUUACUCUCUUCCUUUCUUCAGUAUUUUAUACAUUAAUUGAAACACUCAUACAAGAUCAUAGUCUGUAUGCUAACAAUACUUAGCCUUGUUCACCGCCCAGAGAUGAUAACACUUAGUGUAUUUCCUUUAAGUUAACAUGGGCUUCAUAAAAGAAGGGAACCUUUCCUGUAUCUUAUAUCACAACAUAGCAAAAUGAUUGACUAAAAAUACUACCAAACCUGAGAGACGAAUUUGAACUUGCAACUAACUGCUCAAUUAUCACCUAUGGAAAAAAUGACGAUAUAUAAUAUAAUCACCUUUCUUUUGUUGGAAAAUAAUAAAGUAGACGCCCUUUAUGACAGCGAGAUCGAAACAGUAUUUGUUCAAGGCCUUCAUCCUCGCGCAUUUUGAUUGCUUUUGACACUGUUAAAGCACCCAUUAAAAUUUGAAAGGGUCACCAUAGAUCAACAACUAUACAAUACAGAAAAGUAACAUCAAAGCUAAUUAAGCAAAAACAACAGUUGGAGAAGAGUAUGGCAUUUUGUUUGGCCAGGGCUGUGGAAAAUGUCAAUAUCAUUUAGUUGUAAGGUGAGAAGCAUUCUUUAUCCUUUCUGUACGAGAGACAAUAAAUUUAAAGUUCUUGUGAUGAAAUCAUGUAAAACAUUCAGAAGUCUUGAUUUAACCCUUUCUCAAGAUCAUAGGUUUGUCAUCUCAACUUAUAUCUUAGGUCUUAUGAGUGCUCGUAAUACACUAAUAUGACACUUGUGUUCUAGCCAGGACAGAAACAAAAUCAUGCAGGAAAUUGUCAUGACAACUCAAGUGUAAAAUGCGACCGGAAAAACACUAAACAGGAUAGCUAUGCUCUCUUAGUGUAAACCUUAACAACAAAGACUAUACCGUAUCUGUCACAGUGAUAUGCGACCAUAAGCCCAACUCCAAGGAUCAGCUUUCCAAGAGCUUUGAAGGCUACAAAUCAAAAGUUACAUGCAGUGAUGACAUAAUCAUGCAAAAAUACAAUCAUAAAUUAAAGGAAAACAUACUGACUUCUAGUUCUGGCAAUUCACUAUUGGGCCAUAUAUUUGAACCACAGUAUGAUGGAUACCUACAAUACAGAUCACAAAUAAAAUCUGUGCAGACACAAAGUAUUAUGUUUUGUUUACGCAAAAUCUGUAAGUUCUCAAAUAGGAUAAAUAAAGGUAAACAUAUCCUAGCAUAAAGAAGAUUUGUCCUGGCUAAUUCUAAGAAACCUUGUAUCAAAUGUAUGAUAGUUAUUCAUAACUAACACAAACAACAGUUUGGCCAAACAUUACUGGUCUGAGCGAUAUACUGUGUGACCACAGACAUAACAGACCCCACAUGUACUCAGAUUAUGAUUGAUGUCCCUAUAGACUUUUACCUUUGAAUUAGAGAUUUAUCUGUUGUAGGGCUAUCCAAUAUUGGAUUUGCAUAAAACGAGCCUUUUAACGUAUCUGCAAAACCAGAACACAAACGGAAAAUGAAUGAUGCUAAGAUCUUAGAGUUUCCAAAGAAACAAAAUUUAAAACAAAGAACAUAAAGUGAUACCAGGCUUUCCAGAUUCCAGCUUCUCUUUUCCAUGACUCCAUCCAAAAUUGUACCUAAACAUGGAUGGCAGGUAAAAAGAAGAUAAGCAAUAAAACAUUGUAAAGAUUCCCAAGAAAAGCAAUAAAAGUACGUAAAUAUUAGUUAAUAAUGCCAAGACCAUAGUCUGUGACAAAUCCAAGAGUUGAGAUGAGACUAUCUUUGUGGCAGGAAUUUUUGGAAUUUUUCUCUAUUGUAAGGAAAACAUAGAUUGAUGUUUGCGUUUACACGAAAAUUAUGUCAACGGCUUAAGAGAAAUCAAAGUAUAACAAUGGGAGUAAAAUGACUUACCUACUAUGAGGAUCUUCAAGUUCCUUCUUCACCUCUUCGGGCAGAUUGGCUAAUCUAAUAAACGAAAAGAAAACUCCCAUGAGCAGUGCUAUAACAAACUAUCUUCCUAAAUUCAUUAUGAAUUGCAGUUAAAACUUAAAAUGAACAUGAAAAUCCUACGUAGAAGGGAUAUACCUAGGUGACAAGCCUAGAAGAUUCCCGCGCAAGGAAGAAUAUCCCGGAACCUGCAAUUGGAAACUCAACGAAACAAUUACAAAGAUGCUAGAAAGAAAAUACGUAUUAGUUUACAACAAAACGCUAGCUCUCACGAGAAUCGAUUAGGUAUGAAGCAUCAAAACAAUAGCAUGAGACACCAUAAUUUAUGAGCUAUGAAUGGAAUAAUGGAGCAAAAUAUCGUUGCCCAAAGCACAAUCUACAAUCUACAUGACAGAGAAAGUACCCCGACAUUACAUAUGCAAGUUCAUGUGGUUUAUCUUUUUAACCGAUUCGUUAACAAAUUCUUUCUGCACAUAUAGUUUUAACUUACCAAAACUGGUAAUGGAAGAGAUAAUCAGUAAUUAACAACGGAAAUCGCAUAACGAAAUCAUACUUGAGUGAUUGAUAGGAUUCCCAACCCAUUUGGUCCAAAUCCUUCUUCAAUCUUCACUGACAAAUCUUUGUCCCUGUCCUGUAUCAAUCCAAAAUAAAAAAACGAUAAUUAGAAAAAUCGAAUUCUCGACAUGAUCGACGAGUUAAAACAUAGCAAUUAAACAAAACUAUGAAUAAAACAAUUAGAUUCUGUUUGGUUGCUGAGAAAAUGAAGAGAAUAACAACCAAAAAGUCAACUGAAAUAAAAUUUUGCUCUAACUUCAACGAAUUCUCUUGAGUUUCUGAGCACCCAAACAGAAAAAAAAAAAUUAUAGGCAAUCAAACCAAACUCUCAUGCUCAAUUUUCUCGGCAACCACAAAAAGAACUUAGAGGGGGGGGGGAGAGAGUUACUUGGAGCUCGGAGUAGGAUAUGGUGACUAGUGUGACGGUGGGGACGGCGGGGUCGGAGGACGGAGGCAUAGUUCGACAAUAAAUUUGGCGGGAAAGACGGCGGUUGGAGUGUGACGAUGGGGAAGAAUCCGUGGGAACGAAGAGGAAUUUUGGUGCGGAAGGAGGGUUUUUAUAUCGGAGGGAGGGAGGGAGGGAGGGAGGGAGGGAGAGAGGUUGAGAGCGAAAGGUGUGAUUGUCAAUUUCAAAAGAAAGAAGAGAGGUUUAGCGUCAAUUCCCUUUACCUCCAAACCAAAGAAUGCAUUCACGAUCAUGACGUGGCAAAAAUUGAAGGUGGAGACGAAUAUAUUAAAUAGGUAUAAGUAUUAGUUAAAUUUAAAAUUAAUUGUGUACUAUUAAAAAUUUGUUUGAAAGGAUUUUUAAAAUGACUGAAAGCGUUUUUUAUUAAAAUAUUUUUCAAAUCAAUUCUUAGUAAAACCAAGUGGAUCCUAAAAAGUUAUUUGGAUUACUUUAUACAAAAGCCGCAUAUCUUGAGCACGUAAAUAACAUGCUCUCUACUACUUUAUCUAAAAUUAAUUGACGAUGAGCCAAUAAACUGAAAGAUUAUGCGCAACUUUGAUUAUCCAACGAGUGAAGAGGCAAUUUACACCGACCUCAAGAAUUUGGGCUCACAAUCACUAGCCGAUAUGUUUUUUUCUCACAUUUACCUGACACGGCAAGUUCAUAGUUCAAUAUUCUGGUUCUGGUGUCCUAUGACCCUGACACGGCAAGUUCCACUUUUUGUUCAUUUUCUUGACGAAACCAUCACAUUUACCCUUACGGUACGGCACGGUUCCGGGCAUGGAGUAUGGAUUGGGUUCCGUUGCAGUCCCGACACUACUUGGCACUGUAGAGAGGGAAAUACAAAGACAACUUUGGAUUUCUUACAACGUAUUGUUCUUAUUUCACGUCCUGUUUCUCGAGUUCGGUGUUUCCGGUUGCAAAUUUUGGUUCGGCAGUGUAGUGCUCAGGAGAGGGGACUGUCUCACAUUGUUCCAAGCAGAGGCGUUUGACAACGAUUGCGAUAAUGUGUUUUUCUACUGGGAGAACAUACAGCAGUCAGCAGUUAUCUUUUCACAACCGUCUUCAGUAUUUGGAGGCACCUCAAGAAAUUAUCAAGGACAAACGAAUGUAGAAAAGAAGAAAUAUCGAAGUUAGUUGACAAAAGGGGACGAAAAAUUGUGAGAUACAGAGAAGAAGAUAAGAAGAAACUCGAUGCAAAUUUUAAGCUAGAUUAGUUCUUUUUCAUUAACGAGCGAUACAGAGAAGAAGAAACAGCUGCAUUUGGAAAUAGCCGCUUUAGUUGCCUAGUUUGUAACAUUAGCUUUAUGUAAAUCCGGGGAAGAAACAGGAGUAAAUAAAACACAAUCAGGCAGUACCACAAAAGAAAAAUGUACAAUUAGGAACAAUCGUCACUUCUCAAACUUUGUAGUAGAUCCAGGUAUCCGAAGGACUCGGGGCUAAUGUACCUGCAUUAACAAAAGACAAAGAUCAGAUUUGUGGAAGGGAGUCGCAUGGUAGUUAAAAUACUCAGCCAUGCGUGAACGGUUUGAGAUACCACCAUAGAGGCAUCCUCCAAGUGUGAGUUUCUCUCGUAUAGGAUCACUUAUUGUAAGAAUAUCAGUAGUGACAGUGAAAUACCUUUGUCGGGAAAGGAAGUCAAUGAUGACAAAAAAGUAAUUUGGCUUGAAACAUUGUGUCCUCCGUAUGAUGCUUGCAACAUGCAUCACUGAAUCAACUUGAAGCUCUCCACCUCUCCAUCUGUUAAAUGUUUCAUAAGCAGCAUUGUUAAAGUUCUCUCUGUUUGGGGGGAUAUUGCAGAUGGUUUUGAAUGAAGAAAGGCAAAAAUUCAUGCUAAAGGCAUAGUUUACAACUAGUAUUUGUAAAAGCUAAGCUCUAUAGGUCUCACCUUGAUUCUUUGGCACAAAUAGCUAAAGUUUUGAGAUGGGACAAAAUGGGUCCCAAGAUCCACAUACAGCGCAUCCGAUGGUGUUGAAAUCCUUUUCCCAGAGAUAAGCACCAAGAAAGACAUGACAGUGCUAAACUUAAAACAAAUACAAGGACAAUCGCCACUUCUCAAACUUUGUAGUAGAUCCAGGCAUCCGAAGGACUCGGGGCUAAUGUACCUGCAUUAACAAAAAAAAAAACAAAGAUUAGAUUUGUGGAAGGGAGUCGCAUAGUAAUUAAAAUACUUGGCCAAAUUCAAAACAUUUGAACAAUCAUAAAAUUUUGAAAGAAAUACGAAAUACAGACUUGCCUUCAUUAUCGAACUAAGAAAUCGAAAAAUGAAAGAGGCGUUUGACGAACUGAUUGUGAUUUGACUCAAACAUAUGAUGAUGACAAUGCAUCACCACCUUGAUUGUGCCUCUGGAUCAAAAACACACCAUCAGGAUCAAAAUUGUGCACAUUUUCCUUCAUAGGUUUGUCCCAUACUAGAUUAACCCCUGUUCUCUUAAUUGUCACAUAAUGAGCAUUUCUAUCUGGCAUUUCAAAAGUUAUAUCAACUUUAUCCCCGCUUUGCAAAUUGAGCUUAUUGUUCGAUAUUUGUCCCUGCCAAAGAAAAUAGUCUCUAAACAUAAUAUCACCCUUUUCUAUAACCCAAUCUUCCUUGCCUAUGCAGGUCUGCAACUCAGUACGCUUGGUAUUAUUUAUAUCAAUACUGGCACGAGGAUGACCAUCUUUACAUCUGAUAUAAGGUAUUGAGUGGUGAAAGCAGAAUAGAGUCAGUCCUUCAAAAUUACGACCAUUACUCGGUGGAAUUUCAAAACUGAUUGUAUUACCAUCUUCGACAAACUCAAACCAAUCAGGAACAUAAUUCCCACCGAGAAAAAUGCCACCAUAUCCACAAUAAGUCCAUUCCUAUAUAUACAAUGCAAGUGUCAUAUAUACUAGCAUAUGGGCACACACAAAGUGUGAGAAAUUUUUUUAUUUUUGUUUUUGAAAUAGGAGAGAGGAAGCGAGUGAUAGAGAACGUGGGAGUGGGAAAUUUUUUUAUUUAAUUUUUUAUUUUUAUAAUUAGAAAUAUGUUAAAGAUUACAUAUAGGUGAGGCCUUGAAAGAAAAAAACAAAUUUUGGUUGUGUGAAAUUACAUUUCUGCCUCAUAUUUCUUAUUCAUGUUCUGUUUUAAUUAGAUGGUUAAACUGGUAAUUUCAUAGGAUUUUGGUUGACAAUGAGUUUUAUUAAUUAGUAGAGAUAUAUAUAUAUACACACAAACACAUGUACAUGUGAUCGUUGUGUGUGUGCAAGUGCGCCAUAGGAAGGAAAUUAGAGAGAGAGAUAUAUACACACAAACACAUGUACAUGUGCGCGUUGUGUGUGUGCAAGUGCGCCAUAGGAAGGCAAUUAGAGAGAGAGAGAGAGAGAGAGAGAGAUACCUUUAGGAUGUUCCUCCUAAAAUCAGCUGUGAGUUUGGUGCAACAUUGCAUAUCAAUCCAUGUCAUGGAGUUUAAUGACUUAUCCAAGCCUGGAACCUCAGUGAUUGCGCUUGAAUCACGUACAUUCAGUUCUAUCAUAUUCGACAUUUUCGAAAAAUUGGGCAAUGUUACCAAAUUAUAGCAAUCAGAUGCACAAAGAAAUUUCAAAUUUGUUGGUAAAUCAUAGAUUGUAUGAAGGCCAUAUCAAUCAUCUAACCAGAGACUUUCAAGCUUUGAAAGAUCACUGAGGCUGGGUAGGGUGUGAAUGAUAUAGCAGUUACUUAACUCCAGAGUUAUAAGCUGUGAAAGACCACUCAGGCUGGGUAGGGUAUGAAGGGAACUGCAGUAACUUAACCGCAAACUUUCUAGCUUUGAAAGGCCACUGAGGCUGGGUAGGGUAUGAAAAUCAUUAAAUGAAAGAUUCAAAUGUUCUAAAGAAAUUAGACUCCCAAAACCUUUUGGGAAUGCAUCAUCGCUUAAACUGUUCCAUGAGAGAUCUAAAUUUCUUAAAGAGUCUAAGCCGUGUAACGAAUCGGUAAAUUGCAAAGGAAACGUCAUGCGCGCUAGAGAUAAAUGAGUGAGAUUCUUCAAUCUUACUGUGGAACGCGGUACUUGGCUUAUGGCUGUGUAAGAUGCUUUAAGUACUCUCAAUGAUAUCAUCUUCCCUAAAUCCUCGGGCAGUUCACUGAAUUGCAAACAUCCAUUAAGAAUAAGAGUAUGAACGGAUUUGGACUUGUAGAAAUCCCCAGGAAGCGAAAUAAGAUUCCUGCAGUAAUCAAGGUUCACCAAAGAAAGUUUUUUAAGAUGACCAAUGGAGGGGUGAAUCUCGAACAAACUCUCACACCAUUCCAAUAUCAACUCUUCAAGAUUUGGGAGAUUUGAAAAGUCUGGUGAUUUUUUUAAGUCAUGGCAACUUCCGAGAUUAAGGAUUUUCAAGUUUCCAAGCGACUGUUGCACAAAAUCAAAGGAAAAUUAAAAUUAAUAUCCAAAAGGAAUAUCUCGUAAAAAAGAGAGGGAAAAUCAAAUAGAAACAUAACAUCAUUAUGUGUAAUCGAUUGUACCUUGGAGCCCUCCCAAACUUGUACCAGUUUGCUAAACGUUAUUUUUAAAAUAACUAGUUCUCGUCGUUGAUCAAAGAAAUCAUCUGGUAUGGACUCUAAAGGGCAUCUAUCCCAGCACAACCAUAUUAACUCUUUGGAAAGAUGUUUGUAUUCUCCAUUGAGCUGCAAGUCAUAGAGCUGGAGCAGUCUCAGUUUCUUCAUAUUGGCAAAUGCUUAUGUACUAAAACUAGCCUGCAUAUAGCUUGGAAACGAAUCAGGGAAACCUACAACAAGUCCUUCAACUUCUUUAGUUCCCUGUUAACAACACAUUAUAGUGGGUAAGAAAAGGAUUAUCUGCAUCUAUUCCUAAUUGAGCUUCUUUAUGUAAAUACAUAUAUUUACACGUGAAUGUUUCUAAUGUAUAAUAGGCAUACGUGAAUGUUUUUAAUGUACGAUGCAUUAAUACAAAAUUUUAUUUAUCGAGAAUGUACUUAUAGAUUUAUCUCUCAAUACAUCAGUGACCUCUUGAUGGUUCCACAAUCUACUCCAUUCUCCAGGAGGACGACGGGGAUUUCCAUAAAUGAUUACUUUGGUCAUUUCUCGAAGCAAAUCAUGCAUAUUCAACUUGUUGUGUUCAACAGUUAUAAGGCAUCAUUCACAGAGGACACUGAUUCCUAUUGUUGCAAAAAAGUUACAUCCAUCUAAUAUUUUUGCGACAUCGUCCUUAUCCCAUCCAAUAAAGAAACAAGAUAUGUCAAGGAAUAUAUCCUUUUGUGUAGGAUCUAGCCUUUCAAAGCUUACUCUUAGAGCUUUCAUUAUUCCUUCAUCAGGAAAUUUUUUCAAUUUCUCCAACUGAUUUUCCACUAUGUUGGGGUUCUUUCAAUCAUAGAAGAACCUAAAACUUCAAGGGCUAGUGGCAAACCACCACAAUAAGAAACAACCUCUUUUGAGAGUUCAAGAUAUCCUUCAUUAGGCCAACUAUUUCCAAAGGCAUGCCAACUAAAGAGCUUCAGAGCUUCUUCUUCAUUCAUUUCCUUAAGCGGAUAUGUCUUGUCCACUUUCAUGUUCACUUGCUUUAGUAAACGUUCAUCUCGUGUCGUUAUGAUAAUUCUACUUCCUGGGCCAAACCAAUCACGAUUUCCAGCUAUUGCAUUUAGUUGUUCCACUUUGUCUACAUUGUCAAUAAUGACAAGUACGCUUCUACGUUGGAGAUGAUUUUUUAUCAGACCCAUACCUCGAUCAACACUGGUUAUCUUAGACUUGGUAUGUUUCAAGAUGUCAGAAACAAGUUUUCCUUGCAAAUCAACCAGAUCAUAUUCACCAACGUUGGCAAGGAAACUUUUGAAUUGGAACUUAUGAUGAAUGUGGUUAUAAAUGGCUUUGGCAGCUGUUGUUUUACCCAACCCACCCAUCCCCCAAAUUCCAACCAUGCGAACAACAUCUGAUCCACCAUUUGAAAUAUAAGUGAUGAUAUCUUGAAUGCGAGUAUAUAUUCCAACUGGGUGCUUGGCCACAUGUAAUUUUUCUGCACUUGGAAGCCAUUCCGGGAUAAUCUUGUCAACAAUUUCUCUAAUAAGCUUUGCUUCACGCCUGAAAAAUUAAAUUGGUAAGCUUAGUACGUAGGCUCAGUAGGAGCUAUUAGUACUAAUAUAAACAAUUUUCUUUCCUUCUUUCCUUCGCGUGUCUCUGUAUAUAUAUAUGUACACAAACUAGCUACUAGCUAGUAUGUGAUUUUGUGACCAACUUCAAUAAAAGAAACAAAUUCAUUCAUGGAUAUAUUAAAGUUAGGUGUAUCAAUUAAACUCCAAUUAAGAUUCAAGAAAUUUGUGGGAUGCAGGUUCGGGGUUCGGGUGAAGGCUGUGUUGAGAAUCAAUGUCAACCCAAAACCAUAAGUAAUCCACAACCCAAUCUAAAGUCCAAGUCCAUAUCUAGUUUGAUGAUGUAAGUGCUUACAAUUGCAAAGUUAGGCAAGUUAGGUUGUGUGUGAAAACAAAGCAAAGUUAGGCAAAGUUAGGUUGUGUGUGAAAACAAAUAAUUAGGUGCAAUUAAUGUGUUUUGUGUGGUAGUAAAUAAUCUUAGUUUAAUUAAGUAGCUUUCAUUUGGUUUGCUAUAAAUACCCAAGUCCCCAAGCCUUGUAAUUCAUCCAAGGAAAAACAAAGCCUAGAGCUAAAUAAGAAAAGCUUUGCUAAUUAGUUUGUUUUGUGAGCUUUCUUUAAGAGUGUGCUCUAUUUUUCUUCUUCUUGGGAUCAUUAGAGUUAUCUUGGAUACUCUUCUUAUUCAACAAUUAGUAUCAGAGCCAAGUCGGUCAGGGAUCGUUCUUGGUAGAGCAUUGGUUGUAAAGUCUCUUGAAAUUCCGAGUAUGCUCUGUGGUUGCAGUUUUGACUGAUCUUCCACAUCAGAAAAGAUUUCUUGAGAUUAUUGCUGGGGUUAUCACAAACCUUGAGAGGGAGCUUCUUUGUGUCGAGAGUAGUGUAUUACUCUGCACGGUAGUCACUCAAGCUUGUUCGGUGUAGUCAAAGUCUUGCCGAUACGAUGGGUGAUCUUCAAGUUGUUGGAGGAAUCAAUAAGCUCAACAACCAAAACUAUAACACGUGGGCAACGUGUAUAGAGUCUUACCUUCAAGGUCAAGACUUGUGGGAGGUUGUCGGUGGUAGUGAAGUUACACAACCGGCAGCGGAAGAUGCUAAUGGCAUCUUGCGAAAGUGGAAAAUUAAAGUAGGCAAAUCAAUGUUUGCCUUAAAGACCACAAUAGAAGAAGAAAUGUUGGAGCACAUUCGAGAUGCUAAAACGCCAAAGGAAGCAUGGGACACUUUUGUUACACUCUUUUCGAAGAGGAACGAUACAAAAUUGCAACUUCUCGAGAAUGAGUUGCUAUCGAUGGUACAACGCGACAUGACGAUUGCCCAGUACUUUCACAAGGUGAAGUCGAUAUGCCGCGAAAUUUCAGAAUUAGAUCCAACAACUCCUAUUGGGGAAACCAGGAUGAAGAGAAUAAUUAUCCAUGGUUUGAGACCCGAAUAUCGAGGGUUCAUUGCCGCUAUACAAGGAUGGCCGACACAACCAUCGCUUGUUGAGUUUGAAAAUUUGCUUGCAGGUCAAGAAGCUAUGGCCAAGCAAAUGGGAGGAGUCUCACUGAAGAGUGAAGAGGAAGCGCUCUACACCAACAAAAGCAAAGGCACCUUCAAGCGGUACACUGGUAGUGAAUCUAAAAAGGAUGGAGAAAAGGUGCAAAGUCACCAAGGAAAUGGAGGCUCUCAUUCUGGGGGAGCUUGGAAGAAUCGCGGUAAUAGUAAAAAGUUUAGUGGCAAGUGUUACAACUGCGGGAAGAUGGGCCACAUGGCGAAAGAUUGCUGGACCAAGAAAGAGCCUGCUGAAAGUAAUACUGCUACUUCCAGUUCGAAGGAGAAUAGUGAAGAUGGCUGGGAUGCUGAAGCAUUAUUCGCUACAGAGGAAGAAGAAUUAGCUCUCACGGUAACAACACCAGAACGAAUUGACUACAAUAAUGAUCCAACAAGUGGAAGAUGUUACACUUCACGAGAUGUGGUGUUUGAUGAAGCGUCCUCUUGGUGGUCAUCAGAGAAGGAGGUGCUACCAGACUCUAGAGAAUUUGGAGAACAGCUGCAACAGAAGAUGGGGGAGCAUACUAUCCAACUCCAACCAAUUUCAGAUGAAUCAGGAGAUCCAAAUGGCAAUGAUGUCGAACAAAGAGUGGCUCAGAAUCCUUGGGAAACUGGCGUGUAUCAACAACCAAACGAAGAAGGUGGGCCGAGUGAAACGGAAGAAUCAACUCCACAAUCUCAACUCCGAAGGUCAACAAGAACACGAAGGCCAAAUCCUAAAUACGCCAAUGCAGCCAUAAUUGAAGAAUCAACAGAACCUGAGACGUUCGAAGAAGCAUCGCAGAGUUCUGAGUGGAUGACAACUAUGAAAAAAGAGAUCGAUGCACUUCAGCAAAAUCAGACUUGGGAUCUCGUGCCAAAGCCAAGAGAUGUGAAAUCCAUAUCCUGCAAGUGGGUUUACAAGAUAAAUCGCCGUCCAGAUGGGUCAAUCGAGAGGUACAAGGCACGAUUGUUAGCUCGUGGUUUCUCUCAACAGUAUGGACUAGACUAUGAUGAAACGUUUAGUCCAAUGGCGAAACUUACAACUAUACGAGUCCUACUUGCACUUGCAGCCAACAAAGACUGGAAUCUGUGGCAGAUGGAUGUUAAGAAUGCUUUUCUUCAUGGAGAGCUGGAUCGGGAGCCAAAUGUCAAAAUGAGUGCAUAUGAAGGAAAAGAUUUGGAAGAUGCGACGAUGUAUCGACAAUUGGUAGGUAGUUUGAUCUACUUAACCUUGACUCGACCUGACAUUUCUUAUGCAGUUGGUGUGAUGAGUCGGUACAUGCAAAAUCCAAAGAAGCCUAAUUUGGAAGCAGUUCGACGAAUACUGAGAUAUGUGAAGAGUACAAUUGACUAUGGUCUUUUGUACAAGAAAGGUGAAGACUGCAAGUUAGUUGGUUACUGUGAUGCUGACUAUGCGGGAGAUCAUGACACCAGGAGAUCAACAACUGGGUAUAUGUUUAAGCUUGGUUCUGGAACCAUCUCUUGGUGUAGCAAGAGACAACCGACGACAUCAUUGUCAACCACUGAAGCUGAGUAUCGAGCAGCAGCAAUGGCAGCUCAAGAGAAUGCAUGGCUGGUACAGUUGAUGAGUGAUCUACAUCAACCAGUAGAUUAUUCAGUACCACUGUACUGUGAUAACCAAUCGGCAAUUCGCUUGGCAGAAAAUCCAGUCUUUCAUGCAAGAACUAAGCAUGUGGAGGUACACUACCAUUUCAUUAGAGAGAAGGUCUUGCAAGAAGAUAUUGAGAUGAGACAAAUCAAUACAGAUGAUCAAAUUGCAGACUUGUUCACAAAAGGUUUGAGUACUGGCAAGUUUGAAAAGUUUCGUCGUCAACUCAGCAUGGAGAAAAGAAUGAGAGCUGACAUUGAGGGGGAGUGUUGAGAAUCAAUGUCAACCCAAAACCAUAAGUAAUCCACAACCCAAUCUAAAGUCCAAGUCCAUAUCUAGUUUGAUGAUGUAAGUGCUUACAAUUGCAAAGUUAGGCAAGUUAGGUUGUGUGUGAAAACAAAGCAAAGUUAGGCAAAGUUAGGUUGUGUGUGAAAACAAAUAAUUAGGUGCAAUUAAUGUGUUUUGUGUGGUAGUAAAUAAUCUUAGUUUAAUUAAGUAGCUUUCAUUUGGUUUGCUAUAAAUACCCAAGUCCCCAAGCCUUGUAAUUCAUCCAAGGAAAAACAAAGCCUAGAGCUAAAUAAGAAAAGCUUUGCUAAUUAGUUUGUUUUGUGAGCUUUCUUUAAGAGUGUGCUCUAUUUUUCUUCUUCUUGGGAUCAUUAGAGUUAUCUUGGAUACUCUUCUUAUUCAACAGGCUGUGGUCCGUGGGCUACAGGUUGGGGUCGGCUGGGGAGUGGGGAUUAGGGAUUGGGGGUUGAAAGUGGGAGGUUGACGGGGUGUGAAUCAAAGAUGGAAGGUGAAGGGGUGGGCUGCGAGCUUGCGAGCGUUGGUGGGAUAAGGUAGGCCUACAAUUUUAUAUAGAUACAUAGGUGAAACUAACAUGUAAAGUUGUGAACACUUGUAACUAAAAUUUAAAGGAAUUGGUUACGAAGGACUAACGCUCCAUAUUUUAUCAAGUUCAAGGACAAAAUGUAAUGAAUUUUUAGUUGAGGAACCAAAACUACAAUUUUCCUCUAGAUUUUAUAUGAGAGAUUAAGGUGUAUUAAUUAAGCAUGUUAAUUAGAGUAAUACAACUUAAAUAUUGAAAAGCACGUGAAUGAUUACCUAUUAUCAGUGAUUUGAAGAUGGUAGCCAGACAAAUUUGCAGCUUUUGUAAGAACCUCUCCCCACUGCUUUACCCCUUUUUGUUUAGCUUCACGUUUCUUGUCAUCCUUUUCUUCACCCAUGCCCUCUACGUGCUCCUGAAAUUCUUCGGCUAACUCUGCAGCUUCUCUAAGAGCCUUUCUCCACUGCUUUACCCUUUCUCGUUUUUUUUCACGUUUCUUGUCAUCAUUUUCUUUACGGAUGUUCUUUUUGUGCUUCUUAAAUGCUUGGGCUAAAACUCCAUUCUGCUUCCUGACAUGUGAAGGAUCAAUGUGAUAGAAUAUUGGCAAAACAUGUCGCCCCAGUUUGUCUCUGCACUCCAUGAUCUUCACCAGCUCGUUAAGACACCAACUCGAAUCCGCAUAGCUCUCCGAGAAGACAAUGAUAGAGAUCUUCGAUUUUUCGAUUGCCUGUUCCAGUUCUUUUUGUAUUUCUUCCCCGCUUUUUAGAUCAUCCUCAUCAAUAUAUGCCUGGUAUCCCUUGUCUGUUAAUGCCGCGUGGAGGUGGUCUGUGAAGCCAUUGCGUGUGUCUUCACCGCUGAAGCUCAAGAACACAUUGUAAUUCCAAAGUUUUGACUUGGAGGAGGAUGAAGAGGAGGCUUCGUGGCUUGUCAUGGCGGUAUCCACCGUUAUGGCACAGCAGUGGUUCAUAUCACGAUUGAAAAAUGGCAGUAGUUCUGUUUGUGCUGUCGAACGGAUGAUCCUGAAAUACCUAAACCCAAGUCAAGCUCCUUCAGUCAACAAGAACAAAGUUUAUAACAUAAUAAUGUUGGCGUAUGGACUUGAGAAACAACAUAAUGUUGGCCAGAAGGUGCAGAGACAAACUUGAAUGCAAGCUUUCUCAAAUUUUCCAAACAAUACAGAUGACAAAAUCAACAAAAUAGAAUGGAAAAUGACUUACACUUUUAAGGCAUGCUCGAAUCUUGAUCUAAAAUUGGUGCUGGGUCGAUUGUUGGUCACCAAAUCUAAAUGAAGAAUUCCUCAGACCAAAUGAAAUUAAAAGUUAGGACUUCACAAAACCAAUUGAAAAUCUGAUUCCAAAGUUCCAAACACCCACCAAAUGAUUCCGGAUAAAGUUUAAACUCAAAAACCCAACAGAAACAAAAGCAUUGGUGUGGAUUAACUAUAUCUGAUUGUCGAACGGAUGAUACUGAAAUACCUAAAAGGCUAAACCCAAGUCAAGCUCCUUCAAUCAACAAGAACAUAGUUUAUAAUAUAAGGGCACGUUUGUUUGACAGGAUUAGCAAGGCUUGGACUGGACUAGACUAUAGUCCUGUGUUUGGUGUGCAACCGGAUUAGCUUUAAUGGGCUUAGGUGGGACUCGCUCGGAUUACACGCCUCCUUACAAGUUCUUAACGAAGAACCCCAAUUUUGGGCGGACUCGUAAGCACGGAGAGAAAACCGCGAGGAUCCCCAACGUCCUGCUCGUCCUCAUCUCUGCGAGGAUCCCCAACGUCCCUCGUCCUGCUCGUCGCUCGUCGUCGAUCUUGCCCUGCUUCCUCGUCGUCGUUCUCCUCACCCUCAUCGACGAAAGCUUCUCGUUGGUGCCCAACCCCAUGCCUUUGCCUCCCAUCAACGAUCUCACUUGCAUUGUCACUGGAUCCACCAGCGGCAUCGGCCGCGAAAUCGCCAGGUCUCCUCCUUCUCCUUCCUUCAAAUCUCCAAACAUUGACGAUUUCAGUUUUCUUGUUAGCUUGUUUGUUUAGUAUAAAUAAAUCAACUCAAUUUGCAAGAUUGCAUUAAGACUUAGGGGUCCCACUGUUUGGUUACUGAGAAUUUUGAUAACCUGGUGCCCAUUUCUCAGUUUCAAUUGUGAAUUUUGAAUUAGUUUUGCUUAAACAUGAAAACUGAACAGGCAGCUGGCGGAAUCAGGCGCGCAUGUUGUAAUGGCGGUGAGGAAUACGAAAGCAGCUAAUGAGUUGAUCCAGAAGUGGCAAAAUGAAUGGUCUGGAAUGGGGCUUCCUCUCAAUAUUGAGGUAACUUAUUAACAGGGCCAACGCUAAUAUCUACAUUUCAUUAAUUAUAUACAAACAAUACUAUUGUUUAACUUUAAUAGGUAAUGGAACUUGAUCUGCUUUCAUUGGAUUCUGUUGUGAGAUUUGCCGAAGCAUGGAAUGCUCGUUUAGGACCUCUCCAUGUUCUUAUCAACAAUGCUGGGAUAUUUUCAAUUGGAGGUUGAUCGCUUUGUUGACAUUUUUACCUGAUUUCAAAUGUUCAUCCCUUCAGAAUCUGAUCGGUCAUUUGCUGGACUACACUGUCAUUGGUGUGUUCAGAGCCGCAAAAGUUUUCUAAAGAUGGUUACGAAGAACACUUGCAAGUGAAUCAUCUGGCUCCAGCGUUGCUAUCCGUCUUGCUAUUGCCUUCCCUUAUUAGAGGAUCUCCGAGUCGAAUUGUUAAUUUGAAUUCCGUUGUAAGUUCCAUGGUCAUCAUGCAUACAAUUUUACACUCUUCUACUUUUGCUUUUCUGGGUAUAUAUGAUAUAUAUAACAUUCGCACACCUACGUACACACACAUGGAAAGAAAAACUAGUUGGCAUAUAUGCUAACUAGUUGUAGAUACAUCCUUAGGUUUUUAGAUUGGCACUAUAAAUGUAUUUCACAGUUUGAUAUUCUUGUUUUAUUGUUAUGUUAAUCUGAGAAUGCUCGUUCUUUCUUUAUAUAGAUGCAUUAUGUUGGCUUUGUUGACACAGAAGACAUGAACGUUGUUUCCAGGAAAAGAAAAUAUACAAGCUUAGUGGGUUACUCAAGCAGCAAGUUGGCACAGGUGGUCUUGAAAGUCUUUAUUGUUUGAUGGUUUCCAUAUUUUAGCUGGAACAAGCUUGUAAGAGCUACAAGCUUUUCUUCCUAUCCAUCUUUGUGGAAAUGAAUUCAGGUCCUCUUGAUCUGUAAAGUUUAACUACUUUGUGCGAUAUAUAUAUAUAUAUAUAUUUGAAAUACAGGUGCCUCUGUCUUUAUUUAGAUCUUUUUAGUUACUUGGACCUGUACAUUGAUCAAGUGCUUGAUGAUUGGGUGCUAUAAUCUGCUUGUGUUUUUUUUUUAAUUUUUUUUUUAAUUUUUUUAAUUUUUAUGGUUUCAACUUCUGCUUUGAUCUCUCUUUUCUAUUAGUUUGUAAAAGCUGGUCAUCUAUUACCCAAGGCUGGACACUUGCACAUAAUUAAAUGUCAAUUAACUGCGGUGGUAUGUAUAUAAUUUUCGACGCUAAAACAAGACUACUCUAACCUAGUCGUAUAUGGAUUGCAGAUUAUGUUUAGUAGUGUCCUACAUAAGCGGCUGCCUGCUGAAUCUGGCAUUAGUGUAGUGUGCGUUUCACCUGGAAUUGUCCAGACUAAUGUUGUAAGUAUCUUGACGCGUUCCCCUCCCUUCCUUGUUAUCUCGAAGAAGGAUGUGCCUUCAAGGUUUCUAUAUGAAAGUUCUAAUUGACAGUCUUGCAUGUUAUUAUUUUAUGUACCUUGAAGAUUUUACGUUCAAAUAUUAUUUACAUAUACAGUAUAGUAUAUUGAAUUUUAUGUAUCAUUUUGGAUUUCAAUUAAUUACAGGCAAGGGAUCUACCCAGGAUUGUUCAGGCUGCGUAUCAUCUAGUACCUUAUUUGCUGCAACAUUCACUACUUUGCUGGCGGCCGUCGUAAGCACCCCAGGCGCCGCCGCUGGUUUUCUGUUAAAUGGGUUUUUUUCUUUAUUUGAGUUAUUUUUGUUUUUGUGGGGAAGAAGAUUGGUAGAUGAUGUGGUCCAAUCUGGGAACCAAUGCAUUUUCUUAAACGGCUGAGAUUGAAAGACUGAUUUGGCCUGGUAGAGCAUCCAAGUAAAAAUUUGGGUGUGUAAUCUGUGUGUGUGCAUCUGUAUGUGUGUGUGUGUGUGUGUAAUCUGUGUGUGUGUAAGUGUAAUAUGUGUGUGUAUGUAAUCUGUGUGUGUAUACUAUGUGUGUGUGUGUGUGUGUAAUCUGUGUGUAUGUAAUCUCUCUCUCUCUGUGUAAUCUGUGUGUGUGUGUGUAAUCUGUGUGUGUGUGUGUGUGUGUGUGUGUAAUCUGUGUGUAUGUAAUAUCUCUCUCUCUGUGUGUAAUCUGUGUGUGUGUGUGUAAUCUUUGUGUGUGUGUGUGUAUGUAUGUAAUCUCUCCUCUCUCUGUGUGUAAUCUGUGUGUGUGUGUGUAAUCUUUGUGUGUGUAAGUGUAAUAUGUGUGUGUGUGUGUGUGUGUGUGUGUAUAAUAUGUGUGUGUGUAAGUGUAAUAUGUGUGUGUGUGUGUGUUUGUGUAGUGUGUGUGUGUGGGUGUGUGUGUUUGUGUAUUGUGUCCGUGUGUGUGUGUGUGUGUGUGUGUGUGUGUGUGUGUGUGUGUGUGUGUGUGUGUGUGUGUGUGUGUGUGUGUGUGUGUGUAUUGUGUGUGUGUGUUUGUGUAGUGUGUGUGUGUGUGUGUGUGUGUGUGUGUGUGUGUUUGUGUAUUGUGGCCGUGUGUGUGUGUGUGUUUGUGUAGUGUGUGUGUGUGUAUGUGUGUUGUGUUGUGUGUUGUGGUAUUGUGGUCGUGUGUGUGUGUGUGUAUUGUGUGUGUUUGUGUAGUGUGUGUGUGUAGUGUGUGUGUGUAUUGUGUGUAAGUUUGAACCAACUUAAGUAGUACAAUUUGAUUAUGUAUGCAGUGUAUGUAUGUAUGCAGGGUGUGUGUGAGUGUAUGUCAGUGUGUGAGAGUGUGUAUGUCCGUGUGAGUGCAGUGUGUGCAUCUGACCAGUGUGUGUGUGUGUAUGUAUGCCGUGUGUGUGUGUGUGUGUAUGUAUGCAGUGUGUGUGUGUAUGUAUGCAAUGUGUGUGUGUAUGUAUGUAUGUAUGUAUGCAUGGUGUGUGUGAGUGUAUGUCCGUGUGUGAGAGUGUGUAUGUCCGUGUGAGUAUGUGUGUGAGUGUGUAUGCAGUGUGUGUGUGUAUGUAUGUAUGUAUGUCGUGUGUGUGUGUGUGUAUGUAUGCAAUGUGUGUGUGUGUGUGUAUGUAUGCAAUGUGUGUGUGUGUGUGUGUGUGUGUGUGUAUGCCGUGUGUGUGUGUGUGUGUGUGUGUGUGUGUAUGUAUGCAGUGUGUGUGUGUGUGUGUGUGCAGGGCAAUCAAACCGGAACUCAAGAAAGUGUUCGUCCAAAGGCUUUUAAGCGACAACGCAAGUGGAUGAAGAUUUUGGCUAAUGUUAACAUGGAUGUAUUUUAUUAAUGUUAACAUGGAUGUAUUUUAUUAAUCAUACAAUCUUAUGUUAUGGCUUAUAACUUAGCUUUGCACUAGUAUUUUGGCUUAUGUUAACUAGCCAUUUUGUAAAUUAUGGAGAUCUAUUUUGGCUAAUGUUAACUAAUGUUAUGUUAACUAAGAUUUUCUAAAUUAUGGAGAUCUUCUUAUGUACUUGUAUUUGUUGAAGUUGCAUGUAUUGGGCACUAUUAUUUUUCUUCUGUUGGGUGAUAGAGUUUAAACCAAGCUACAUUUGCAAAUUAAACCCAAUUCUAUUAGCAGGUAAUAGAAACAAAACAAUUGUCAAUUUUUUUUAAGAUUCAUAAUAUACAUGGCAAAAAUAUGCUCCAAUUAACUCAUAUCAUGAGAUUUGUAGCAUUACUCUAUUACACAAUGGCAAAAAUUUGUAGUCCUAGUCUAAGCAAACACAAAUCUGGUGAACAGUAUUGUUUUUCUUAUCCUGCUUCUUAGUCCGACAUUACACCAAACGCUUCACUAAAUUAGUCCAGCUUAGUCCAGUCUAAGCCAGUCCAGCUUAGUCCCGGCAGCUAGUCCAGCCCGAGACAGUCCGGCGCAACAAACGCACCCUAAUAAUGUUGGUGUAUGGACUUGAGAAACGACAAAAUGCCGGUCGGGAAGGUGCAGAGAAGAGUAAGAGAGAGAAAAGAGGAAAGAAACAAACACAAAAGGACAAAGAUUAUCAAAUAGAUUGUAACAAUGACUUCUUUGGUUGAAAUGUGUAAGCAUACUUCUUUGGUUGAAAUGUGUAAGCAUCUAAGAAGUAGCAUGACAACAACCGCAUAAUAAACAAAAGUGAUAGAAAAAAGGACCCAAAUGUGAAACGACAACUAAAAACAAUUGUCUCGCAAGCCGUCGGGUUUCGCCGGAAAAUCUGGGUUUUCGAAGAAAACAAGUGUGCAUGAAUAAAUAGUCCAAAAAUGGACCUCAAAUCAUCACCGGACAGGAUUUAACCCAUGAAUAUAAAGGUUAAACGAGAAAUCUCACCUGGGUUUUGAGUUUCGAAGCUUGAAACUCUUGGCUCCAAGGGUGGAUCACUGAAAUGGUGCUCCGAUGAUGCAUGCAAAGAUAUAUUCGAGUUCCUUGAGUCUCAGGGAUUCCAAAUAUGUGAUUUUGGGGCUGGGUUUGUGAGAGAAUCAAAGUGAGAGCAAGGGUUAAGCUCUCGGAGUUUAGAGAGAGAAUGAGAGAAUUUGAGAGUUAGAGAGAGAGAGUGAGUGACAGGUGUCGAGCAAGGGGAAGAAGGGAGAGAUUUGUCACGGGUGAGGUAAAAACAAAAACUGUGGGCCGGAUUUUUGGGUUUGAGAGUCCCACGCCCAAAGAUUUGGGCCGGAAUGACAAAGCCCAACACGAGGGCAUAAUCGUAAUUUGCACCUACUUUCAGAACGGGUUGUUACGGUUAUCCACCGUUAUGGCACCGCCGUGGUUCAAAUCACGACUAAAAAAUGGCAGUAUUUGUGAUUGUGUACCGAACGAAUGAUAUUGAAAUACAUAAACCCAAGUCAAGCUUCUUCAAUCAACAAGAACAAAGUUUAUAAUAUAAUAAUGUUGGCGUAUGGACUAACGACAAAAUGCCGGUCGGGAUGGUGCAGAGAAGAGUAAGAGAGAGAUAAAGAAACGAACACAAAAGGACAAAGACUAUCAAAUAGAUUUAACAAUGACUUCUUGGUGGUGAUUACAAGUAUUCAACCAUCAAUAAUGUUUUAUUUUAGGUUAAAAUGUGUAAGCAUCUAAGAAGUAACAUGACAACAACUACAUAAUAAAUAAAAGUGAUAGGAGAAAAGACCCAAAUAUGAAACGACAACUAAAAACAAUUAUUCAACGUGAGUGAUAAAUGAUUCAACCAUUUACAAUAUUCAAACGUAGAACCACGAUUCACUGGACGGUUGUAUUAACUAUUAGGAGGUGCUCUAAUAUAAUACAUCCAAAUGGGGGUGGACCACAUAAUACACCCACAUCGUUUUAAGCUCCUACAUGCUAAAACUUUUGCAAAAUGCGCAUUAGGAUUAUACUUCUAUUAGAUGCGCAUUUCCUUACUAGGCAAAUGAACCAUAUAAUCCGCCAAGAUGGAUGUUAUACACGUUGGAGUUUGAGCAGAUUUUUUUUUGUUAUCUCAUAGUCUCACAUUGCUAGAAUUGAAAAUUUUAUAAUAUAAUAACGUUCACGUAUGAACUUGAGAAACAACAUACUUUACUGCCGGUCGAUCGGGAAUGUGCAGUGAAAGAGAGGAAAGAAAGAAAGAAAUGAACACGAAAGGACAAAGACUAUCCAAUGGAUUAUAAACAAUUACUUCUUGGGGUGAUUACAACUAUUCAACCAUCAAUAAUGCAUUACUUCAGUUUAGAAUUUGGAAGCAUUUGAGAAGUAACAUGACAACAAUCACAAAAUAAACAAAAGUGAUUAAUAAAAAGACCCAAAUGUGAAAGAAUAAUUAAAAACAAUUAUUCAAGAUAAGUGAUAAUGAUUCAAUCAUUUACAAGAUAUGAACGGUUUGGAAACGCAUCACAUAGUAGUUAAAAUACCCGGCCGUAAAUGAACGGUUUGAGAUACUGCCAUAGUGGCAUCCCUCGUAUGUGAGUUUCUCUCGUAUCGGAUCACUUAUUGUAAGAAUAUCAGUAGUGAAAGUUAAAUACCCGUGUCGGGAAAGGAAGUCGAUGAUGACAACUGACAAGAGAGAAAUUUGGCUUGAAAAAUGUAUGAUGUUUGCAACAUGCGUCACCGGAGUAUCAACUUGAAGCUCUUCAUCUCUCCGUCGUUAAAUGUUUCAUAAGCAGCAUUGUUAAAGUUCUCUCUGCCAGGGGGAACUGAAGAUGGUUUUGAAUGAAGAAGAAUGGAAAAUAUAAUUUAGAAAAUGAGAAAGAAAAAUAUAAUUGAAACUAAAAAAAAUAAGAAAUAAAAAGAGAGAUUUACUAUUUUCUAGGAGGUCUUGGAGUUGGCCGUGACAGUAAGAGAGGAUGAGCGAAUAAAUUGGGCCAAUUACUUGCUCUCUUGGACUUUGGGCUUUUGGUUUGGACUGGGCCAAUUACUUACUUGGGCCCCAUCCCAACUUGACUUUUUGUCGGUCGGUAUUGGCUAAGGUGAACGUGCUAAACUAGAAAUUUGAGGUUUUGAAUUAGCGAAUGAAUGUUAAGUAAGAGUGUCAUGAUCAGACUUGUAAGACUGUCUUUAAUAAGAAGUUGUUGCGUUUUGUCAAAACCGGUCCAUCUAAUUACAAAUUGUAACCAUAUUAGUUGAGUGCAUAUGCUACAUCACAUUUAGUGAAUAUUCAGUACGGGUGAUACAUGGUCAAACUUGUAGGUUGUUCAUUAAGAAGUUACCACGUUCUCAAGAGUGGAGUUAGAGGGGAGCACUUCCCUACCAAAGUGUUUUCCUUCUCCCCUUUACAAGGGAUUUGUGUCACUAUUAGAUAGGAGAUUCGAACACAAGACCUUGAAUUGAGAGGUAAACGAUUUUACAAAGCUUCUACGAGCACCUUCUUGUUUACCAAACUUAAUGAAACUAAAGGAGGUCUUAACGCCAUUUUGGCUAAUAGUAUUCUGUAUAUUUACGAAUGGUUUUAAGUUUGGGCUUAAUUGGAUAAUCAGAGAGUAGUGCAUCACACUAUGGAUAUUCAGAAACCGAAGGCAUAAUUCAUAUUCCUCCAACAAGUCCACGCAAAUAACCACAAUCAGAAUGUUAGUUCAUAACUGGCCAUAUAGAACGCAAUACAAAAGCACUAAAAGCGUCCAAGUGAAAGUGCUUUCUCCUCAUGUAGUUUCAUUUAACUUAGUUUCACAUGCCAGUCCGUCACACACUCAACUCCUCAACGUUCGGGCUCAAAGCAUUCUUUAUCCCUUAUGUACGAGAGACAAUAAGUUUAAAGUUCUUGUGAUGAAAUCAUGUAAAACAUUCAGAAAUCUUGAUUUAACCCUUUCUCAAGAUCAUAGGUUGUGUCAUCUCAACCUAUAUCUUAGGUCUCAUGAGUGCUCGUAAUACACUAAUAUGACGCUUGUUUUCUGGCCAGGACAGAAACAAAAUCAUGCAGGAAAUUGUCAUGACAACUUAAGCGUAAAAUGCGACCGGAAAAACACUAAACAGGAUAGCUAUGCUUUCUUCGUGUAAACCUUAACAACAAAGACAAUACCGUAUCUGUCACAGUGAUAUGCGACCAUAAGCCCAACUCCAAGGAUCAGCUUUCCAAGAGCUUUGAAGGCUACAAAUCAAAAGUUACAUGCAGUGAUGACAUAAUCAUGAAAAAAUACAAUCAUAAAUUAAAGGAAAACAUACCGACUUCUAUUUCUGGCAAUUCACUAUUGGGCCAUAUAUUUGAACAACAGUAUGAUGGAUACCUACAAUACAGAUCACAAGUAAAAUCUGAGCAGACACAAAGUAUUAUGUUCUGUUUACGCAAAUUCUGUAAGUUCUCAAAUAGGAUAAAUAAAGAUAAGCAUAUCCCAGCAUAAAGACGACUUGUCCUGGCUAAUUCUAAGAAAGCUUGUAUCAAAUGUAUGAUAGUUAUUCAUAACUAACACAAACAACAGUUUGGCCAAACAUUACUGGUCUGAGCCAUAUACUGUGUGACCUCAGACAAAACAGAUCCCACAUGUACUCAGAUUAUGAUUGAUACCCCAAUAGACUUUUAGGCGGUGCUCUGAUAUAAUACAUCCAAAUUGGGGUGGACCAUAUAAUACACCCCAACGGAUCGUUUUAAGCUCCUCCACUGCUAAAGCUAUUGCAAAAUGCGCAUUAGGAUUAUACUUCUAUUAGAAGCCCCUUUCCUUACUAGGCAAAUGAACCAUAUAAUACACCAAGAUGGAUGUUAUACACGUUAGCGUUUGAGCAGAAUUUUUUUUGGUUAUCUCAUUGUCUCACAUUGCUAGAAUUGAAAAGUUUAUAAUAUAAUAACGUUCGCAUAUGAACUUGAGAAACGACAUACUGCCAGCUGGCCGGGAAGGUGCAGUGAAAGAGAGAAAAGGAAGAAAGAAACAAACAUGCAUGAAAGGACAAAGACUAUCCAAUAGAUUAUAUACAAUGACUUCUUGAGGUGAUUACAGCUAUUCAACCAUCAAUAAUGCAUUAUUUUAGUUUGGAAUUUGGAAGCAUUUGAGAAGUAACAAGACAUCAACCACAUAAUAAACAAAAGUGAUUAGAAAAAAAACCCAAACGUGAAGGAAUAAUUAAAAACAAUUAUUCAAGAUAAGCGAUAAAUGAUUCAACCAUUUACAAGAUAUGAACUUAGAACAACAAUCUAUUUGAUCGUUGUAUUAACUAUUAAGUGGUGCUCUAAUAUAAUAUAUCCAAAUGGAGACGAACCAUAUAAUACACCCAAAUGGACCAUUUUUAGGCUCCACUGCUAAAAACUAAUGCAAAACGGGCAUUAGGAUUAAACUAUAAGAACUAGGAUUGCAGGGAAGACAAAACACGCAGGAAAGCUGUAAGACUACACAAGGUUUUCACUGUGAUUGCAUACCCUCAACGUUGUAGGGAGCAACCUUUUUAUAAUCACUUUUCAGAUUACAUCAGGGUUUCAAAAACCCUAUUUACAAGCUUACAUUUUGAAAUUCAAAUACUAUAACUAAUUCUGAUAAAACAAAUAUUUAAAAAUUCAAAUGAUUUUAACAGAAGCUCCACUUGAUAAGUGUUGUUGACUGAGUAAACCAACUGAAGAAUUUCUGUUUGAAGAGGAAACUUGACUCCGUCUAACAUAAACUUGUAUUAGCUAGCUUUCCUAGUCAAAUGAACCAUAUGAUACACCCAAAUGGAUGCCAUCAUGCCAUAUAUAAACAAUGUUUUGAAAGGACAAGGUACCUAAGACUGUCUUUUUAUAUAAUGUAAGCAACAACCAUAAAUCUUAUUGGAGCUAAUUAACUAAUGUAUUUAUUAGACAGUUGGAUUCCUUAGCAAGUGGUUAACUAUUUUUGUUUAGUUUAGUAGUCAGGUCGUAAUUAAUUAGUCAAAUGAACCAUAUAAUACACCCAAAUGGAUGCCAUAUAUGCAAUAUAAACAAUUUUUUCAAAGGAUGAAAUGACCUUCUUGCGGGUAUAGGGGAAGAGGAAAGAAACUAGUACGAAACUGCAGACCCUAUCGAUCCAUUAUAAUAAAUUUCAAGGGUCCAAGUUGUAAGUUAAUUGUGCAACGUAAAAACUUAUUCACAAUUAUCAACUUAACCACGUACCUGUGGAAGACAUCGUCUUUGAAAACUAAGAUUAAGAACUGAAGUUCUCCUGCAACUCUACACAAUUGAAAGCUCGCUCAAUGGGGCUUGAGUUUUCUGUAAACUUGUGUAGUUAGGGGAGAGAUCAGGGACCUCAAUUUUAUACAUGGAAUUUAAUAAGGAACCCUCUCAUUAAUUGAUCCUUAUCAAAGAGUAGCCUUAUCACCGUGAAACACUAAUGCAUUAUAUCAGCUAGAAGAGUUCUAGUUUUAUCGAAAAUGUAUCUGACUUGAAAUUGUAAAGAAAUACAACUCCUAAUAAGUCUACCACAAGUGUCAAUCCUUAUCUCCUUAUCAUUCCACAUCACCAAGUGUUUGCUCUCAUAUAGAACUUACACAAAUCUCAUGUAGUUUCAUCUAACUUAUUUUUCACAACGGUGAAUAUAUUUCAAUGGCUUGGUUUUCACAUGCCAGUCAGUCACAUGCUCAACUCCUCAAAGUUCAGGCUCAAUGGCUCAAAGAGGGCUUCCACUUCACUCUGAUUCACCUCCCUUUUACUUUGACGGGUUCCACUUCGGAUUCUGCAUUGACAAAAAACAGAAGCAAAAGAUUGUUGAGAGUUCUCCCACAUUGGUGAGGGACAAAGCUUGUUAUGUGCUUAUAUGAUCUUAGGCUACUUCCAAUAUUGCCAAUUUGUUUUAUGGUGGAACCUCAAUUUCAUCAUGGUAUCAAAGCCAAGUUGUCGACAUGUGAAGCCCAAUGGCCACAUGCGCUCCACGUCACCCAGUUGUUGUACACGUGUAGGCUUGAAAAUCCGUCACAUGUGCGGGGUCGUGUUGAGAGUUGUCCCACAUUGGCGAGGGACAAGACUUGCUAUGUGCUUAUAUGAUCUUGGACUACUUCCCAUAUUGUCAAUUGGUUUUAUGGUAAAACCUCAAUUUCAUCAAAGAUAACGAUCUGUUCUGAUACAAGGAAAGUAAGAUGAUUAUAUAACUGUAGGUCUAGUAUAGGCUGUAAUGGUUUAUGUUGCAGCAACUCCGUCAGCAAGUGAUUUUCAAGUAAGGAAUCUUGAGCAUAAUUAACGAACCUGAUCCUUGUCCACCAAAACUGCCCGCACACCUUCAGCAAAAUCAUUCCGCAAAGACGAUCUUCUAGCAACGCGAUAUUCAGUUUUCAUCACACCAGUUAGCUGGUAUGGAUCAAGUAAAGCACAUGUUACUCACUCAGAAAAUGUGAAAUACUACAACACAAAAUCUAUCAAAAGGAUGCAACCUUGAAGAGCUUCAUUUGCCCACUCCACCACUACAACGGAAACAAUUUGAUAGAAAAUACUUGACAGCCAUGUACAAGCCUCUCAAUAGAAGAGUAAGACAGAUUUCAUUUCAUCAUCGAUAAACAAAUGGCAUUGACAAACUUACCAGUAGCAUCUGAACUCUGCUGCUGCUUUUUAAGUUCAUCAAUUGCCACAAGAACCGACUUAUUUGCACCAAAUGCUGAAGUUAUUUGAGGUAAAAGACUCCUGAGCUGCGAUUCGAAUCUGGGUUGCUGCUGAAUUUCACCACAGUUGUAAUUGACAACAUUGACAAUUGUCUCUCUCGCAAUAGUACCUUCGUAAUGAUCCGGUACUGACCUUGGCCCGAUAGGCCAAUACCAAAGGCCAUUGUUAUGGCCACGAAGCUUAUACGUGGCUGUCAAGCCCGACACGUGAAUAGCAUACUCUACUACUGUGUUACAUUGUGAGAAUUUUAUCCAAAAUUAAUUGACAAUAAGUGAAUAAGUUGAAAGAUUAUGUAUGACUUUAAUUAUGCAAAGAGUGAAGAGGCAAUUUUCACCAAACUCCAGUAAAAAAUUUGGGCCUCACAAAUCACUAAACCCAAUAUGCUUUUCUCUUAUGCCUUUUGUUCAUGGUUCGAUAUUCUGGCGUCCGAGGACCCUGACAUGACAAGUUCCAACUUUUGUUCAAUUUCUUGACGAAACAAUCACAUUUACCCUUACGGCACGGCACGGUUCCGGGCAUAGAAUAUGGGUUGGGUUCCGUCACAGCUCCAACACUGUAGAGAAGGAAAUAAAAAGACAACUAUUUAUUUCUUACAACGUAGCCAGUCUCUUGACAUGGCUCCUGCUGUUUUGUUCUUAUUUCACGUCCUGUUUCUCGAGCUUGGUGUUUCCGGCAGGGCCGGUCUAGAGAUUUUUGAGGCCCGGAGCGACGUAAAAAAAUAUGCUCACUUUAUAUAAGAAAAUUAUUUGUUUUCACAUGUAAGACAUGGAUAAAAUUAUACUUACAAAAACACUUAAACUUAAUAAUUUAGAAACAAGGAAAAACUAAUUUAUUUUGUAUCGUGAGAAUGAAACAAAAAAACUCUGGUCUCUUCCGCUCCACCUCGGCCUGGAUUAGGCAGGUUGGAGCUCUCACCCCUGGCCAUGUACGAGGCAUUUUGGAUAGGCAACUUUUAGUUUCUCUUGGAAUAUCGCCUAACUCCUGUAAAGCUCCUUCUAUUGUCCCUGUUCAUUGGCUCCCCCCUCCUUUUUCUUGGGUUAAAGUGAAUACUGAUGGCCUUGCUAAAGGUAAUCCGGGUCCUGCGGCAUGUGGCGGGGUUUUUCGUGACUCUGCAGGUUAUUUUCUUGGUGGUUUCUCCCUAAGCUUGGGUCAUCGUACUUCUUUCUAUGCGGAGCUCCAUGCUGUCAUCCUUGCUAUCGAAUUGGCCCACACGCGGGGCUGGCUAAAUUUAUGGCUUGAAAGCGACUCUUCUAGUGUAAUAUCAUGUUUUGCUUCUGGAUCUUUCUCUCCCCCUUGGUCUCUCCAGACACGCUGGAACAAUUGUACUCUCCAUUUGCAGAACAUGGUUUUUCGUUGCUCUCAUAUUUUUCGAGAAGGGAAUGUUGUGGCUGACAAAUUAGCCAAUUUAGGGCUUCUAUCAUCUUCCCUUGUUUGGCAUUCCACUCCCCCUAUAGAGAUCCUUCCUCCUCUGCACUCAGAUUUCUUGGGCAUGCCAACCUACAGGUUUGUCUCCUCUUCUUGAUGUGUGUUCUCCUUUCUUUUCCUAACCUUUUUUGGAUUCCCUUUUGUUUUGCAGCUUGUCUUGCAGGUUAUUACCUUUUAGGUUUAUUGAGGGGUUUGGGCUUAUGUCCGCCCAGUCUUUUCCUUGUAUUUUCUUUUCCAAGAGGGGUACGGUCUAUGUCCCCCCCUCUUUUGUAUUUUCUUUCUCAAAAGGGGUAAGGUGCAUGUCCCCCCCUUUUUUGUAUUUCUUUUCUCUUGUUCUAUGAGGGGUUAGGUUUAUGUCCCCCCCUGUCUAGGUGUAUUUUCUUUUUUCUUAUCAAUAAAUUUCCCUCGUACCGCCGAGGUUCUCCAAAAAAAAAAAAAAAAAAAAAAAAAAAAAAAACUCUGGGUUUACAAGUAGAUAGAUAGAUAGAUAUGGCACAAGUUGCGGAUUGCUUUGCUAACUAUGAUGUUGAUCUGGCUGGGGUUCAUUGGUGAGAUUCUUGAUUUCCUUGUGCUACUUUGACAUAUCACCAUAAGUUGUCUUUUUUGCCUUGUUAUAGUUUCGUGUGGGGUUUUUUUUCUUCUAAUGUUGAUUGGGUUCUUUUCUUCCAACUCCUGCCCACUCAUUAUUGUCUGAACCACACCUAGUAUUACCCUCAUAUCCACUAAAACUUCAAGCUUUACCAAUUUGUCACAAGCGAAGAUGGUAGCUCCCAACACCAAUGAGGUUCCAAACAAUUACGAUCGAAAAAGCGAAGUGAAAGCUUUUGAUGAGACAAGGGAAGGCGUUAAGGGUCUUGUUGAUGCCGGGAUAGCCGAGGUUCCUAGAAUUUUUCAUCAACCACCACAAUUGGACGAUCAGUACUCCAUCAACAAUACAAGCACUGACUCAGAAGCCACCCAGUUUAGCAUUCCGCUAAUAGACCUUGAAGACCAUGGUAAUCCAACUAAGCGCAAUGAGAUUGUUGCAAAAGUUGGAGAGGCAUCAGAGACUUGGGGCUUCUUUCAAAUAGUGAAUCAUGGGAUACCUGUAGGUGUUCUGGAGGCGAUAAAGGAUGGGGUACGUGGGUUUUAUGAGCAGGACACUCGAGUCAAGAAAGAGUUUUACACUCGUGAUCACUCUAAACCUUUGUUUUACAAUAGCAACUUUGAUCUUUAUAGUUCACUGGCAACGAAUUGGAGGGAUACUUUUAAGUGUUACAUGGCUCCAUAUCCUCCUAAGCCAGAAGACUUGCCAGAAGUAUGCAGGUAUUUGACAACCCAAUUCUCUGGUUUAAUUGGUGACAUUAACCUGGUGCAGAUUCCUUCCUUGAUGGAUUAGAUCAUUAAACUCCAUACUUUUGACAAGUUUAAUGUGCUUUCCUGGUUUUCAACUUGCAGAGACGUACUGAUCGAGUAUUCAAAGCGAGUAAUGGAGUUGGGGAAAUUGUUGUUCGAGUUGUUGUCGGAGGCCCUUGGGCUAAAGCCAAGCCACUUGAAUAGCAUAGAUUGUAGUAAGGGGCUACAGGUUUUUAGGCCAUUUACUAUCCUGCUUGUCCACAGCCAGAGUUAACUUUGGGCACAAGCAAGCACGCUGAUGAUUCCUUCCUUACGGUCCUUCUGCAAGAUCAUAUUGGUGGUCUGCAAGUUGUUGAUCGUCAAAAGAAGUGGAUAGAUGUACCCCCUGUGCCUGGGGCUUUAGUGGUGAACAUUGGAGAUCUUUUACAAGUAAGCACACGUAUUACAAUUGCCCUUUUUUUUUUCUCCCUAAAAACUACUAUUAAAUUAAGAGAAUAGUAUCGUAAACUAAGCUAGUUUGUUAAUGACUAAUACUCGAGACAAGCUUUGGUCGCAUGUUAGCGUUUCUCUUAGAAUAUGUCUUAGAAUUCUUCGAUUAUCAUAAUUAGGUCUUUUAUGUUCAAUUCUUUUUGGGAUUUUCAGCUCAUAUCAAAUGAUAGAUUCAAAAGCGUAGAACACAGGGUAUUGGCGAACCGUGAAGGUCCAAGGAUAUCCAUUGCCAGCUUCUUUAGCACAGGUUUGCUACCAUUUACAAAUCUCUAUGGACCUAUUAAGGAGUUGGUAUCAGAAGACAACCCUCCAAAGUACAGGGAGACUACUGUGAGGGACUACGACACCCAUUUCUAUGACAAAGGCCUAGAUGGAACCUCUGCCUUAUCUCAUUUUAAGAUCCCAACUUAGACAUGGAGGAGCACAGACCGCAACGAACAAAUCCUGUCUACUAAAUAAUUUUGCAUGAAAAUAUAUAUUGGUUGUUUAAUCUGAAAGCGCUUUCGCACCACAAAAUUCUGGAUAUGCAUAUUAUUUUGUUUUCUGUUUGCAUAUGGUCUAAUAUACUUGUAGAAAGGGUUGGGCUUCUACCCAUGCAUCUCAGGUACAAACUUCCCCUCCUAUAAAUUAUUGUAAUAGUUUCGAACUCUCUAUCUUCCGCAAAAAAAUUUAAAAAGUAAAUAAAGAAGUAAAAUUUAAAAAAUAAAAGGGGGUUUUCUAACACUUUUAUUCAUCAUGUUUACAGUUUUUGUGGCAUGCUGCUUAGCGCUUAACGAAUUCAACUGUGGUUGUGGUUGCGGUUGCGGUUGCAUAUCAAUACUAUUAUACCAUAAGUGUGGGCUUGUUUGAGAAUGUUUUUAUUUGUAAGAAGCGGUUUUACACAAUUGUGUCGAAAACCUGUUAAAGUAUUUAUUAUAAUCCAACUGCUUCUUGGAGAAUCACUCUCCGUAAAGUCAGCUAAAAAAAGUAGCCAAUCCCGUCCAUCCUCCACACUAUAUAACCCGUACACGAAAGAGGAAGCUGAGGAGAAAGCAGCCAAAAAUGCUAAGAAGAUUAUAUUUUUAUACUAUAUUGAUGUAUGACAAGUGAUAUGUACAUUUCCGGUUGCAAAUUUUGGUUCGCCGGUGUAGUGCACAUGGGAGGGGAUUGUCUAGCAUUGUUCCAAGCAGUUAGAGGCGGUCGGUUGCGAUGAUGUGUUUUCUACGGCGAGAACAUACAGGAGUCAUCAGUUAUUCUCGCAACCGUCUUCCAUAAUGAAGGACGAGAGAGAAAAAAACGAAUGUAGAAAGAAAACAUACAAGUUGGUUGACAAAAGGGGAAGAAAAAUUGAGAGAUACAGAGAAUAAGAAAAGAAGAAAAUCGAUGCAAAUUUUAAUACAUAUGUAGUAGAUCCAGGUAUCCAAAGGAUUCGGGGCUAAUGUACCUGCAUUGGUGAAAAAACAAAGAUGAGAUUUUUGGAAACGCAUCACAUGGUAGUUAAAACAUCCGGCCGUAAAUGAAGGGUUUGAGAUACGGCCAUAAUGGCAUCCCUCAGGUGUGAGUUUCUCCAUCGGAUCACUUAUUGUAAGAAUAUCAGUAGUGAAAGUUAAAUACCCAUGUCAGGAAAGGAAGUCGAUGAUGACAGAAGAGAGAUUUGGCUUGAAAAAUGUAUGAUGUUUGCAACAUGCGUCACCGGAGUAUGAACUUGAAGCUCUCCCUCUCUCCGUCGUUAAAUGUUUCGUAAGCAGCAUUGUUAAAGUUCUCUAUGUCAGGGGGGAAUCUGAAGAUGGUUUUGAAUGAAGAAGAAUGGAAAAUAUAAUUUAGAAAAUGAGAAAGAAAAUUAUAAUUGAAACUUAAAAAAUGAGAAAUAUAAAAAGAGAUUUACUAUUUUCUAGGAGGUCUUGGAGUUGGCCGUGACUGUAUGAGAGGAUAAGCUAAGUUCCAAUGGAAAGUGGAAAUUUUCAGAGCGAGAGGGUAGCGGUUUUUUCGCUUGCUCUCUUGGACUUUGGGCUUUUGGAUUGGAUUGGGCCAAUUACUUACUUAGGCCCCAUCCCAACUUAUGACCUUUUGUCGGUCUGUAUUGACUCAUGAGUCAGACUUGUAAGGCUGUCUUUAAUAAGUUGCCGCGUUUUGUCAAAACUGGUCCAUCUAAUUACAAAAUUGUAACCAUAUUAGUUGAGUGCAUAUUCUAAAUCACAUUUAGUGAAUAUUCAGUACGGGUGACACGUGGUCAAACUUGUAAGGUUGUUCAAUAAGAAGUUAUCACGUUCUCAAGAGUGGAGCUAGAGGGGAGCAUUUCCCUACCAAAGUGUUUUCCUUGUCCCCUUUACAAGGGAUUUAUGUCACCAUUAGACAGGAGAUUUGAACACAAAACCUUGAAUUGAGAGGUAAACGCUAUUACAAAGCUUCUACGAGCACCUUCUUGUUUACCAAACUUAUUGAGACUAAAUGAGGCCUUAACGCUUAUAUCUUAGGUCUUAUGAGUGCUCGUAAUACACUAAAAUGACACUUGUUUUCUGGCCAGGACAGAAACAAAAUCAUGCAGGAAAUUGUCAUGAAAACUUAAGUGUAAAAUGUGACCGGAAGAACACUAAACAGGAUAGCUAUGCUCUCUUAGUGUAAACCUUAACAAGAAAGACCAUACCGUAUCUGUCACAGUGAUAUGCGACCAUAAGCCCAACUCCAAGGAUCACCUUUCCAAGAGCUUUGAAGGCUACAAAUCAAAAGUUACAUGCAGUGAUGACAUACUCAUGAAAAAAUACAAUCAUAAAUUGAAGGAAAACAUACCGACUUCUAGUUCUGGCAAUUCACUAUCGGGCCAUAUAUUUGAACCACAGUAUGAGGGAUACCUACAAUACAGAUCACAAAUAAAAUCUGAGCAGACACAAAGUAUUAUGUUCUGUUUACGCAAAAUCUGUCAGUUCUCAGAUAGGAUAAAUAAAGAUAAACAUAUCCGAGCAUAAAGACGAUUUGUCCUGGCUAAUUCUGAAAAACCUUGUAUCAAAUGUAUGAUAGUUAUUCAUAACUAGCACAAACAACAGUUUGGCCAAACAUUACUGGUCGAGCCAUAUACUGUGUGACCUCAGACAAAACAGAUCCCACAUGUACUCAGAUUAUGAUUGAUGUCCGUAUAGACUUUUACCUUUGAAUUAGAGAUUCAUCUGUUGUAGGGGUAUCCAAUAUUGGAUUUGCAUAAAACGAGCCUUUUAACGUAUCUGCAAAACCAGAACACAAACGGACAAUGAUUGAUCCUAAGUUCUUAGAGUUUCCAAAGAAACAAAAUUUAAAACAAAGAACAUAAAGUGAUAUCAGGCUUUCCAGAUUUCUUUUCCAUGACUCCAUCCAAAAUUUAUGAGUUAUGAAUGGAAUAAUGGAGCAAAAUAUCGUCGCCAAAACAGCGCAAUCUACAAUGUACAUGAUGGAGAAAGUACAGCAACAUUACAUUAAGUUCAUGUAACCUUUGGUUUCACAUGUAAGCCUUUGGUUUAUAUUUUUAACCGAUUCGUUAAUAAAUUCUUCCUGCACAUAUAGUUUCAACCCGAAACCGAAAAUUCCAUUGUCAAACAAAUAUGUAUAAUACCAGAAUUAAGUAAAUUACAACAUAUCACCAUACCGAUACUGAUGUGAUUCAGAAUUAAGCAUUUUUAACUUAUCAUAACUGGUAAUGGAAGAGAGAAUCAGUAAUUAACACUGGUGAUUCAGAAUUAAGCAUUUUUAACUUAUCAAAACGCGUAACGGAAUCAUACACGAGUGAUUGAUAGAAUUCCCAACCCAUUUGGUCCAAAUCCUUCUUCAAUCUUCACUGACAAGUCUUUGUCCUUGUCCUGUAUCAAUCAAUCCAAAAUCAAAAAACGCAAAACUAGAAAAAUUGAAUCCUCGACAUGAUCGACGAGUUAAAACAAAACUAUGAAUAAAACAAUUAUAUUCUGUUUGGUUGCUGAGAAAAUGAAGAGAAUAACAACCAAAAAGUCAACUGAAAUAAAAUUUUGCUCAACUUUCAACGAAUUCUCUUGAGUUUCUGACCACCCAAACAGAAAAUAAAUUAAAGCCAAUUAAACCAAACUCUCAUGCUCAAUUUUCUCGGCAACCACAAACAGAACUUAGAGGGGGGAGGAGAGAGUUACUUGGAGCUCGGAGUAGGAUAUGGUGACCGGUGUGACGGUGGGGACGGCGGGGUCGGAGGACGGAGGCAUAGUUCGACAAGAAAUUUGGCGGGAAACACGGCGGUUGGACUUUGACGGUGGGGAAGAAUCCGUGGGACAGAAGAGGAAUUUUGGUGCGGAAGGAGGCAUUUUAUAUAGGAGGGAGGGAGAGAGGUUGAGAGCGAAAGGCGUGAUUGUCAAUUUCUUUUUUUUUUUUAAGGAAUAAAGAAAGAAAAGAGGUUGAGCAUCAAUUGCUUUUCCCUCCAAACCAAAGAAUAUAGAGAGUUUUAACGAAAAGUCCACGAUACUAUUUACUUUAAUGAAAAAUUAUAUUUUUACACUAAAAAAUCAAACCUGCUAUUAUUCACUUUAACCUUUAUUUUGUCUUUAUCGUUGAAACUCAAAGUUUUCAAAUCAUUUUCAUUAGUUUUCCUAAGAAUAUAUUCACGAUCACGAUGUGCGGCAAAAAUUGGUGGUGAGGACAAAUAUAUUAAAUACAUGUAAGUAUUAGUUAAAUUUAAAAUUAUUUGUGUACUAUUAAGGAUUUGUUUGAAAGUGUUUUUAAAAUGAUUGAAAGUAAUUUUGGUUAAAAUGUUUUUUAUAUCAACUUUUAGUAAAACCAAGUGGAUCCCAAAAAAACAUUUGGUGUACUUUUUUACAAAAAAUGCAAUUUUAGAAUCCAAAAUUAAUUUAAUAAAAGUGGGUUUAGUCUUUUUUUAUUAUUUUUUAUUUUAACAAAGGAUAUAAUCUAUCUUGAAGGUGAGAGGGUAGACUUAACCUCACAAUGAGCUAGCACAUUAAUAAUGUGAUUCAAAUUCGCCUUUGCGAAAAUUGAAUUUAAGACCUCUCACUUACAAGUGAGGAGGAAUGCCUUAAAUCGUAGUACUAAGUAAUGUGUUUAAUCAUUUUUAAAAGACUUUAAAACGAGCCCUAAUUUGUAUCAAAUUAAAAAAUGUUGAAUUGGCCGGAUGUAAUAUGUAUUGGGUAUUUCCUCAUUCAAUAAUAUUUACGUUGUUUUCGGCAAAAAAAGAAAGAAUUCAAUUGGAAAAAAUAAAAAAAUGGGAAAUAAGGAUAUUCUAAUUAAGGUUUUUAUUCAUUGUUUUAGGUGGAUGGUUCAUAUGAAGAUUAUGAAACACUUUAAUUCUCUAAUGUGAGGUUCCGCCUCGAUCCAAAGUUAAACAGUGAAAAAUAUAAUUAAGAUUGUUAUUAAUUAUCAAUUCAUGUAUAUUUCCCCAUGUAUUACGUUUACUAAGUUAGACAAUGAAAAAUACAUAUAAGGCGUUACGAGAAUAUGCGUGGCUGUCAAGUCUGACACGCAAAUAGCAUGCUCAACUUGUAUUACUCCCUAAGGAUUUUAUCCAAAAUUGACGAUGAGUGAACAAGUUGAAAGAUUAUGCACUACUUUAAUUAUGUAACAAGUGAAGAGUCAAUAUUCGCCAACCCGACAAGUUCCACUUUUUGUUCAUUUUCUUGACGAAACAAUCACAUUUACCCUUACGAUUCCGGGCAUAGAGUAUGUGUUGGGUUCCGUUACAGUUCCAACACUACUUAGCACCGUAGAGAAGGAAAUAAAAAGACAACUUUGGAUUUCUUACAACGUAUUGAGUCUCUCUUCAUGGCUCUUGCUGUGUUGUUCUUAUCUCACGUCCUGUUUCUCGAGCUUGGUGUUUCCGGUUGCAAAUUUUGGUUCGCCGGUGUAGUGCUCAGGGGAGGGGACUGUGUCACAUUGUUCCAAGCAGACAGAGGCGGUUGACAACGAUUGCGAUAAUGUGUUUUUCUACGGGGAGAACAUACAGCAGUCAGCAGUUACCUUUUCACAACCGUCUUCAGUAUUUGGAGGCACCUCAAGAAAUUGUCGAGGACAGAAUGUAGAAAAGAACAAAUAUCGAAGUUGAUUGACAAAAGGGGACGAAAAAUUGAGAGAUACAAAAAAGAGGAAGAUAAGAAGAAAUUCGAUGCAAAUUUUAAGCUUGAUUAGUUAUUUUUCAUUAAUGAGCGAUACAGAGAAGAAGAAACAGCUGCAUUUGGAGAUAGCCGCUUUAGUUGCCUAGUUUGUAACAUUAGCUUUAUGUAAAUCCGGGGAAGAAACAGGAGUAAAAAAAACACAAUCAGGCAGUACCAAAGAAGAAAAAUGUACAGUUAGGAACAAUCACCACUUCUCAAACUUUGUAGUAGAUCCAGGUAUCCGAAGGACUCGGGGCUAAUGUACCUGCAUUAACCAGAAACAAAUAUCAGAUUUGUGGAAGGGAGUCGCAUAGUAGUUAAAAUACUUGGCCGUGCGUGAAUGGUUUGAGAUACCACCAUAGAGGCAUCCUCCAGGUGUGAGUUUCUCUCGUAUCCGAUAACUUAUUGUAAGAAUAUUAGCAGUGAAAAAGAAAUACCUGUGUCGGGAAAGGAAGUCAAUGACAAAAAAGCAAUUUGGCUUGAAACAUUGUGUCCCCGUAUGGAGCUUGCAACAUGCAUCACGGAAUCAACUUGAAGCUCUCCACCUCUCCAUCUGUUAUGUUUCAUAAGCAGCAUUGUUAAAGUUCCAUCUGUUUGUGGGGAUAUACCUACAGAUCCUCCUCCUGGAUUCUUUGCCUCUAUACGUGAAAACCCAACAUCUGGGAACAAACAAAUUACAUUCUCUGGCAUAGCAAGAACAGUCCUCUGAAAUGUAUCCAUACAAAGUUAGGACACAACAAAUUCAAUAAGGCAAUGUAAUUCACAACAUUGACAAUCUCUGUCUGACAAGGCAAUAAUACCUCUGUAAUGAUCCGGUAGCGACCGUGACCUGAUAGGCCAAUACCAAAGCCCACUGUUAUGCCAUCCAUGAAGCUUAUAUGGGCUUCUUGAACUCAGAGAGUUUGCAUAUUAGAGAAUACUCAGCAGUGAAUACCUGAAAAACGUGCAGCACAAAUAUCAUAUCGGCAGCCUCUCAAAUCUUAAGAAAACUACAAAUGGUAUCUUAGAAUAGAAAUGAAUCCUCUCCAACCAAUACAAAUCAUAUUACCCAAGUUCAAGCAAAAUCAAGAUUAAACAAAUGAUCAGAUUUGUAGGUUGCCCGAGAAUGUCAAACAUGAUAUUACAAAAGAAAAAAAAAUAUUGUAUGUAUUGAUAUUAAUAAAUACAUGCUGAAAGCACAAUCUUAGCCGCAAUUUUCGCCCAUGAGCGGUAGGUCUCGGGUUCGAGACUUGGGAGCAGCCUCUCCAUAAAUUGGGGUAAGGCUAGCCGACAUUCACCUCUCCCAGACCCUGCGUAAAGCGGGAGCCUUGUGCACUGGGUACGACCUUUUUUUUUAUACGAGAUUGAAUAGCCAAAGCAAUUAAAGAAGUAGCAGAACUCAUAUAAGUGACUUUCACAUUGAACUUUUAGGCUUAUCAACAAAUACAUCAUUAUGAUUCUAAUACAUGAAUUUUGUUAAAAGGGCUUGCUUGCUUGUAUUAAGGCUUAAUCAUCAAUGAUUUUGCAAGGGUCAAUCGUAUUGCUAGUUAUAAAUAUAUUCACUAUGAAAAUUACCAAAAUUACAUCUAAUAUGGUAGUGAAGGAAGUCAUCUUAUAUUAUCUUGAUUUUAGAAAACUGUGUAAGGUUAUAAGUCUGCUAUUAUAUAUAGUUAAAAGGACACAAUUAGACCUCAAUCAUAUUCGGUGGUUGGUUUUUGGUCGUGAUCUGCUUCACAUCACCGCCUGCAGGUAAUCUAAAUCUGGGUUAUUACUUAUCAACAUAGUUGCCAGAUACGGAUACAGUUCGAGUUCCUGAUUCGGUUCGGGUACGGAAUUCGAUGGUAACCUAAAGUAUCAUUCGUUAGAGAGUAUACAUAGACAGCACGAUAUUUAGUUCGAUCCGUUCUUAAUUCGUUAAAAAUAUAAAUUAAAAAUAUUUAUAAUAUACAUUUUACAAUAAUAUUUAUAGUUAUUGUAAACAACUAUUUUUGUUUAAAUUGAUUAUUUUAUAAGCAACUAGUUAUUUACCCAGAUGGGUCCCCCCCCCCCACUAACACAAUAAAAAAAUGUAAAAAUUACAAUUAAACUAAACAUUUUCUCUUCGUCUGCCCUCUACCUGAUGGAGAGCUUCCCAAAAUUCCAGUUGUUUCCAUCCUCUCUUCUCAAAAAAUUAAAGGUGUUUUUUCUUUUCUGUAUUCUGAUUAAAAAUUAUUAAAGAUUAUUGGAUGAAUCACCGAACUGACCACCGAAUCCAAAAAGUACUGGUGCGUACGUACCGAUACGGGAUUCGGACACCAUUUCACCGAAUCCGGCAACUAUGCUUAUCAAUGAAUCAACGUGCCAACUUAAUGGACACCAUCUAUCUCUAUAUGGCAAAAAAACAACACAAAAAUGAACAAUGAAGUGAAACAAUAAACAACAUGACGUGAAACAGCAUGAACAUCAAAGACUAACUUUGGUUCAAAGCAAAGCGUAAUGUAGAAACCUUCGGCAGAACAGGGGUGUUUUUGUCCUUUUGAAACAACCACUUUAAUAUCCUUUCCUGCAUUUACCAUGAUUGGUCACUCUUAAAACCUUACCUAAGAGACCCAAAAACAAAAAUAACCGCCGAAAGAGCUAAACAUACAUAUCUAGAAAAACUUAUUUAACUGCAUGCUAAAAUGGAAGUGUAAAAUUGCCAGGAAAGAUAAGAAACUAUUCAAAUACGAGUUCUGGGCGUUACCGCCACAAAAGGCACGACCCGAGCGGCUAUCAACAAGAACACACUUCACAUUUGUGUCAGCUUCCCCUUCAUCUAGAUAGCUCUUGUAUUUCACAUCCAUAUCUGCAUUUUCCAACAAUUCCCACUUAAACUGAAACACAUAAUUCUUUGGAAAAAAGCUAACUUCUUCGAAAUUUGAAUCCAACGUUUCGUCUUAUAACAAAUGCAAUACCAUAGAUUUGUAAUCAAUACGAUGCCAUAAAGUUCAAGCUCAAAAAUUCAAAUCAGCUCCAAAUCAAAAGCAUUUACAGAUACAUACAUAUAUACAUGUGCGUGUGUGUGUGUUUAUCUACAUACCUAGGUUCAUGGCGUUGAGAGCUCGGGGGGCGACCGAGGGUGAUGACGGCGACGCCAAUUGGGUGGAUGCUGCUCUUGACGAACGCGUCGGCGGCGGCCAUGAUCCCGAAGGGGCGGAGGAGGCGAGGGGAUUUGGAGGGUUUGUAAAGAGGGAGGUUCGAAUUUGGAUUGAGGAAGAAGAAAGCGGACGACGAUUUGCUCAGAAUUUGGGUCGCUCCUCCCAAUAAGCUUCCCAUUACUUCCGUUCGAGAGUGACUCUGUCAGUGUAGAGAGAGAUAUAAUUUUUGUGCUUCUAGACCGGACUACCCUUGAUAUUUCGAUUAAAUUACCGGGAAAAAAGAACUGCCGCGGUGGCUCCAGAGGGAAACUUGAAAUUUGAAAGAAAUUUGAAAGAAAUAUGAAAUAUGGACUUGCCUUCAUUUAUCGAACUGAUUGUGAUGAUGACGAUGCAUCACCACCUUGAUUGUGCCUCUGGAUCAAAAACACAUCUUCAGGAUCAAAACCGUGCAUAUUUUCCUUCAGAGGUUUGUCCCAUACUAGAUUAACCCCUGUUCCCUUAAUUGUCACAUAAUGAAUUUUUUUGAAUGCCUCUGGCAUUUCAAAAGUUACAUCAACUUUAUCCCCGCUUUGCAAAUUGAGCUUAUCGUUCGAUAUUUGUCCUUGCCAAAGAAAACAUUCUUUAAAUACAAUAUCGCGCAUUUUUAUAACCCAAUCUUCCUUGCUUAUGCAGGUGUGCAACUCGAUACGCUUGGUAUUAUUUAUAUCAAUACUGGCACGAUGAUGACCAUUCCAUCUGAUACAAGUUCUUGGCUGAUAAGGAUUGAAGCAGUAAAGGCAUAACAGAGUCAGCCCUUCAAACUUACGACCAUCACUCAGGGGGAUAUCAAAACUGACUUUAUUACCAUCGUUGACAAACUCGAACCAAUCAGGAACAUAAUUCCCAUUGAGAAAAAUGCCACCAUAUCCGCAAGAAGUCCAUCCCUAUAUACACAGUGCAAGUGUCAUAUAUAUAUACAUGUACAUGUGCGUUGUGUGUGUGCAUGUGCCCAAUAGGAAGACAAUUAAAAAGAGAGAUACCUUUAGGAUGUUCCUCCUUAAAUCAAUCCUGAGUUUGGUGCAGUUACUCAUAUCAAUCCAUGUCAUGGAGUUUAAUGACUUAUCCAAGUCUGGAACCUCAGUGAGUGCGUGUGAAUCACUUACAUCCAGUUCUCUCAUAUUCGACAUUUUCGAAAAAUUGGGCAUUGUUACCAAACAAUAGCAACUAGAUGCACCCAGAAAUUUCAAAUUUGUUGGUAAAUCAUAGAUUGUAUGAAGGUAACGGCAGUUACUUAACUGCAAACUUUCAAGAUUUGAAAGAUCACUGAGGAUGGGUAGGGUAUGAAAAUAAUUACCCGAAAGAUUCAAACCUUGUAAAGAAAUUAGACUCCCAAAACCUUUUGGGAAUGCAUCAUCGCUUAAUCUGCACCAUGAGAUCUAAAUUUCUUAAAGAAUCUAAGCCGUGUAACGAAUCGGGAAAUUGCAAAGGAAACUUCGAUUGCACACGCUCUAGAGAUAAAUAAGUGAGAUUUUUCAAUCUUACUGUGGAACGCGGUACUUGUCUUAUGGCUGUGGUAGAUGCUCUAAGUUCUCUCAAUGAUGUCAUCUUCCCUAAAUCCUCGGGCAGUUCACUGAAUUGACAACAUAGAUAAAGAUCAAGAAUCUGAACGGAUUUGGACUCGUAGAAAUCCCCAGGAAGAGAAUUAAGAUUCUUGCAGGCUAUGAAGUUCACAAAAGAGAGUUUUUUAAGAUGACCAAUGGAGGGGUGAAUCUCGGACAAUCUCUCACACCUUUCCAAUAUCAAAUCUUCAAGAUUUGGGAGAUUUGAUAAGUCUGGUGAUUUUUUUAAGUCCUGGCAAUAACUGAGAUUAAGGAUUUUCAAGUUUCCAAGCGACUGUUGCAAAAUCAAAGGAAUAUUAAAAUUAAUAUCCAAAAGGAAUAUCUCAUAUAAAAAAGAGAAGUAAAUAAAAAAAACAAAUAGAAACAUAACAUCAUGAUGUGUAAUCGAUUGUACCUUGGAGCCCUCCCAAACUUGUACCAGUUUGCUAUUCGUUAUCUCUAAAAUAACUAGUCUUGGUUGAUCAAAGAAGUCAUCUGGUAUAGACUUUAAGGGGCAUCCUUCCCAAAGCAACCAUAUUAACUCUUUGGGGAGAUGUUUGUAUUCUCCAUUGAGCUGCACGUUGUAGAGCCUGAGCAGUCUCAGUUUCUUCAUGAUGGCAAAUGCUUCUGUACUGAAACUAGGCAUGUUAGAGCUUGGAGGCAAAGAAGGGAAAUAUGGUGCUAGCCAUUCAGGGAAAGGAGGGAAAUAUAGUGCUAGUCCUUCAACUUCUUCAGUUCCCUGUUAACAAAAGGUUAUAUUAAUGUGUAAGAAACGGAUUAUUUGCAUACGUUUACAUGUAUGAGUACAUGCAAGUACUAUCGUUGGCUAAUUGAGAUGAAUGUUACUUAUUGUAUAAUUCACACCCGUGAGUUAUAUGUGCUUUUCGUGUACAAUGCAUUAAUUCAGAAUUUUAUUGGGAAUGUACUUACAGAUUUAUCUCUCAAUACAUUAGUGACAUCUUGAUGGUUCCACAACCUACUCCAUUCUCUAGGGGGACGACGGUAAUUACCAGAAAUGAUUACUUUGGCCAUUUCUCGAAGCAAAUCAUGCAUAUUCAACUUGUUGUCUUCAACAGUUAUAAGGCAUCGUUCACGGAGGUCAUUGAUUCCUAUUGUUGCAAAAAAGUUACAUCCAUCUAAUAUUUUUGCGACAUAAUCCUUUUUCCAUCCAAUAAAGAAACAAGAUAUGUCAAGGAAUAUAUCCCUCUGGGUAGGAUCUAGCCUUUCAAAGCUUACUCUUAGCGGUUUCAUUAUUCCUUCAUUAGGAAUUUUUUUCAAUUUCUCCAACUGGCUUUUCCACUCUGUUGGGGAUCUUUCAACCAUAGAAGAACCUAAAACUUCAAGGGCUAGUGGCAAACCACCACAGUAAGAAACAACCUCUUUUGAGAGUUCAAGAUAUCCUUCAUUAGGCCUACUAUUUCCAAAGGCAUGCCAACUAAAGAGCUUCAGAGCUUCUUCUUCAUUCAUUUCCUUAAGUGGAUAUGUCUUGUCCACUUUCAUGUUCACUUGCUUUAGUAAACGUUCAUCUCGUGUCGUUAUGAUAAUUCUACUUCCUGGGCCAAACCAAUCACGAUUUCCAGCUAUUGCAUUUAGUUGUUCCACUUUGUCUACAUUGUCAAUAAUGACAAGUACGCUUCUACGUUGGAGAUGAUUUUUUAUCAGACUGAUACCUUCAUCAACACUGGUUAUCUUAGACUUGUUCCGUUUCAAGAUGUCAGAAACAAGUUUGCCUUGCAAAUCAGCCAGAUCAUAUUCACUAACGUUGGCAAGGAAGCUUUUGAAUUGGAACUUAUGAUGAAUUUGGUUAUAAAUGGCUUUGGCAGCUGUUGUUUUACCCAAUCCGCCCAUCCCCCAAAUUCCAACCAUGCGAACUUCUGAUCCACCACUUGAAAGAUAACUGAUAAUAUCUUGAACGCGAGAAUUGAUUCCAACCGGGUGCUUGGCCACAUGUAAUUUGUUUGUGCUUAGAAGCCAUUCCGGAAUAAUCUUAUCAACAAUUUCUCUAAUCAGCUGUGCUUCGCACCUGAAAAUUGAAUUGGUAAGCUUAGUAGGCUUAGUAGGAGCCAUUAGAACAUAAACAAUUUUCCUUCUUUCCUUCGUGUGUGUGUGUAUACACACACACACACACACAAUAACUAGCUACUAGCUAAUAUGUGAUUUUGUGACCAACUUGAAUAGAAGAAACAAUUUCAUGCAUUGAUUUAUUAAAGUUUGGUGUAUCAAUUAAACUCCAAUUAUGGUUUAGAUUUUAAAGGAAAUUGGAGAAAUGGUCCCUGAACUAUGAUCAAAUUGUGGCUUUGGUUCUUAAAACUUUAAAUUAUUAAAGUUAACUCUCUCCCACCUCCCUCCCACCUCACCUCCUCCAAACCCCAGCCACACCAUUGUAGCACUUUCCCAACAGCCAAAACAAAAGAAAGUUUCUAAUCCAAAUUUGGAACACAUCUCCCCUUGCAAACAAAUUCACAAUGACAUCCAUCCACGCUAUCUCGAAAGGUAAAAUUCAAGAAAUUUGUGGGAUGCGGGAUCGGGGUUAAAGUGAAGGCUGUGGUCCAUGGGCUAUAGGUUGGGGCCGGCUGGGGAGUGGGGAUUAGGGAUUGGGGGUUGGAAGUGGGACGUUGACGAGGUGUGAAUCAACGAUUGAAGGUGAAGGGGUGGGCUGCGAGCCUGCGAAUGUUGGUGGGACGAGGUAGGCCUGCAAUUAUAUAUAUAUAUAUAUAUAUAUAUAGGUGAAACUAACAUGUAAAGUUGUAAACACUUUCAACUAAAACUUAAAGAUAUUGGUUACGAAGGACUAACGCUCCAUAUUAUCAAGUUCAAGGACAAAAUAUAAUGAAUUUUUAGUUUAGGAACCAAACUACAAUUUUCCUGUAGAUUUUAAAUGAGAGAUUAAGGUGUAUUAAUUAAGCAUGUUAAUUAGAGUAAUACAACUUAAAUAUUGAAAUGUAGGAGAAUGAUUACCUAUUAUCAGUGAUUUGAAGAUGGUGGCCAGACAAAUUUGCAGCUUUUGUAAGAGCCUCUCCCCACUGCUUUACCCCUUGUUUAGCUUCACGUUUCUUGUCAUCCUUUUCUUCACCGAUGCCUUCUUUGUGCUUCUGAAAUUCUUCGGCCAACUUUGCAGCUGUUGUAAGAGCCUUUCUCCACUGCUUUACCCUUUCUCGUUUAUCUUCACGUUCCUUGUCAUCUUUUUCUUCACGGAUGUCUUGUUUGUGCUUCUUAAACGCUUGGGCUAAAACUCCGUUCUGCUUCCUGACAUGUGAAGGAUCAACAUGAUAGAAUAUUGGCAAAACAUGUCGCCCCAGUUUGUCUCUGCACUCCAUGAUCUUCACCAGCUCGUUAAGACACCAACUCGAAUCCGCAUACCUCUCUGAGAAGACAAUGAUAGAGAUCUUCGAUUCUUCGAUUGCCUGGAACAGUUCUUUUUGUAUUUCUUCCCCUCUUUCUAGAUCAUCCUCAUCGAUAUAAGCCUGGUAUCCCUUGUCUGUUAAUGCCGCAUGGAGGUGGCCCGUGAAACCAUUGCGUGUGUCUACACCGCUGAAGCUCAAGAACACGUCGUAAUUCCAAAGUUUUGACUUGGAGGAGAAUGAAGAGGAGGCUUCGUGGGUUGUCAUGGUGGUAUCCACCGUUAUGGCACUGUAGUUGUUCAGAUCACGACUAAAAAAUGGCAGUAGUUGUGUUCAUACUGUCGAACGGAUGAUCCUGAAAUACCUAAACCCAAGUCAAGCUCCUUCAGUCAACAAGAACAAAUAUUAUAUAUAAUAAUGUUGGCCGGAAGGUGCAGAGAAAGGGAGAGGAAAAGAGAUAAGAAAGGAACGAAAGGAAUGAAAGGACAAAGACUAUCCAAAAGAUUCUUGGCUGUGAUUACAGCUAUUCAUAGGAGAAACAACGGACAUAUUUUUAUAGGAGAAACAACCUGCCCAUCUUCAUAUAUAAUGCAUUUCAAUAGGAGAAACAACUUUAGUUUGUACUAGAAUUUUUUACCCGCGCGUUGCUGUGGGAUUUGAAAUUGUAUGAAAGAUUAUCUUUGAAAUAUAUAAUAGAUUGUGUGAUCGAAGAUUAAUACUAUUUACAUUGCAAAUGUUGAAAAAAGUUUUACAUACAAAAGAUUUUACGAUACAAUCCACAUACAAAAGAUGGUAAAUUUUUUUCUAUCUACAACAUGCAUUAUGUUAUGGAAUGAUAUAUAUAACUAAGUGCCAGAAUACAUAACUUCAUAACUUAUAUUUUUUUUGACAAAUUAAUCACAUUCAACUGUGGGAUAGCAAGGUUGCCUAUAAAAUUGUGAAGUCAUGGAAGCAUAAAGGACAAAUAACAAAUGAGUUUUGAGAAAUUAUUCCACAAAUGUCAUUCUGCAAAAUGUAUUAAAGACGAUUGGUAUAAGAUUAGUAAUCAUGAGUAGUGUAACAACAUCAACAAAGUAACUAUAAACCAUAGUUGAACAUAAUCCAAAUAUCGUUUGCAAAAACAAAAGAAAAAGAAAACAGACUUACAAUAAUUCAGCCUUCAAUCCUGAAGUCCUACUCAAAGAGCCAAACUUGAAUGCAAGCUUUCUGAAAUCUUCCAAACAAUACAGAUAAAAAGGUAACACCCUAGUCAGAAAUGAACCGAGCUGCUAGCUUUCAAAGAAACCCAGAUGACAAAAUAAAAAAAUAGAAUGGAAAAAUGACUUGCACAUUUAAGGCUUGCUCGAAUCUUGAUCUAAAAUUGGUGGCGGGUUGAUUGUUGGUCACCAACUCUAAAUAAAGAAUUCAUCAGAACCUAGAAAUUUAAACAAAGAAUUUUCCAAAAUCAACAUUUACUAAAAACCAGUUACUUGGUUAUCAUGCAUGAUGGCUUGCCAAAGACUGAAUUAAGGAAUGCACAACUUUACUUUUAUGAUUAUUUUCAAUGACAGCUAAAAGGUCAGAUCCAAAUGACAGUUAAAUUCCUUUUCUACAAAGUUCGAAAUUAUAUGGCAGUUUGGCAUCUGUUGAAUAACAUGGUUGAAAGAUUUAAAAUUGAUACAUUCAAUUUUUAUGUGUAAAACUAUAACAUAUACCUAAAGCUAUUUGGUCUAUAUAUCCAUAUCAAUCAUGUUGUAAUUAAAUGUUUAUCGAUGUAAAUAGAUGAUUUCAGUCAUGUGAUAACAUGUUUCUUGAUGGUAUACGCUGAAGUUUGGUCUAAGUUGGAUAAAAAUCGACCAAAAUCUUAGUAAGAGACUCUUUUAACUUUUAACCAAAAAAUGAGCACCACAAUACUACACUUAUAAGUUUUUAUCAUGCACAAAAUAUACAGCACUGAUAGCCACUUUUAGAGCAAGAACAAUACUUUACCAGACGAAAACAACAAAACACUCAAAACCCAGAAACAAAAACACACUUAGGACUCAAACUCCUCAAAAACAUGAGAAAGAGAGUGCGUGAGGAGAGAGAAUAAAAAAAAAUAUUAUUUUUCACAAACUCAAAAUUGUUUAUAAAAUUACAAAUCAAAACAAAUGAAAAUCCAAAAUUGCCCUAAAUUAAAUCUGUUUAGUUAAAUGUUUAUUGCCCUUCAAAUGUUAUUACACCUGACAAUUGCUUUGAAGUUGAUAUUUUGGUCAAUCCAGGGGAAAAGGAGUUAUUGCUUUUGGAGCAGUUGUCAUGGAGAAUCCCAUCUCCAUGUUAAAUAAAAAAAGGUCGUACCCAGUGCACAAGGCUCCCGCUUUACGCAGGGUCUGGGAGAGGUGAAUGUCGGCUAGCCUUACCCCAUUUUAUGGAGAGGCUGCUCCCAACUCUCGAACCCGAGACCUACCGCUUAUGGGCGAAGACACUUGCCAUCGCACCAAGUGGCCACAAUAAUUUAGGAGGCCCUUCUCUCCAGAUUUUCUCAAUAACUUUCCUUUUCGUAGCUGGUAAGAUUGCAACUCCAAGAAUUGCUCUGAAGAGAUAUAUACAAACAAAAUCAAACUAAAACUAAGCUAUUGGAAGAAAUUUACAAAACAAAAACACAAUUUCAACUCAGAGUUAAAGUCAACAGAAACCAAAUGGUACAAGUUGACAAAAUAUAUGGUCAUGAAUCGAGAACUUCAUCAAACUAACAGCAAUAAAAUCUCCUAUAAUCUGUCUAAAACCAAAAAAGAGAGAGGUAAUUUCAAGACCUUGUAACGCUGAGGCCUCGUACAGUUGUAGUAAUAAUAUAUGGUUGAUGCACCUGUUGCUCAAUCAAAUCCUUUGUCUGGCUAAAAAAAUAAAAAUCUAUAAAUACAUUCACGUCCAAUUUAUGAGAAAUCAUGGGAAAGCAAAUGCACUGAUAACGGAAUCAUGAAUAUGAAGAACUUGCCAAAAAGAAAAAGAAAACUUCUUGUAGUGUGCCAAGAACAUCCUCCUACUCCUAGCAAAUUUUUUAUGGCAUUAUCCACUUCUCAAUUCAUAAUUCAACCAGUAACUCAAAGUCUAUAGUGUAUGAAAAAGUGAUAUCUUAGUUGAUCUCGAUGAUAAUUAAGUAGAUUAAAUGACGACCCAUAAAGCAUACAAAUUCAGAAAAGAAAAGGUUGAAAACUGCCAUAAGAAAACGCAGAAUAUAUAAAUGGGAAAUCAAAAGAAGAGAAGCGAAAAAGGAAGAAAAAACCAAACAAAAUUAUUAGGUUUGGGAUAUACCUUUAUCCGAAAGGCCACAACCAUCAAAGUCAAACAUAAACAAUCCAAAAAUUUGUGGAAAAUAACAAUAAAUGCUUAACUAAAAAUGAAAGAAAACGUAGAAUAAGUUUACCUGUUCUCCCCCUAAUUAAACUGGAAUACAAUUCACCACUAAUAUUCUUGUCAUCCUCUUCAGCCUGAAAAAUUUAGUAGAAAUAUUCAAUGAAGACGCUUAAUGGAGACAGUAAUAUUAGCAAUGGAGGAAUUGAAUUGAUAACUAAAACUGCAAGACCAAAUGACUACAAUAGGUUCAAAACAGAAACUCGUCUGUUAGAUGUCUCAUCUUUAGGCAGUGCCUUGUUCUUUGUUGCAUGUCUUGUGAAGUUCAUGUAAAUCAACAAAAUUGAUACUUUGGACACACCAACAAUGGAGAGGUAAAAAGUGAAAAACAGAAGGAAUGUCUUCAGAUUUGUAAUGGAUUUUGCAAGUCAGAAAUUCUGUUCGAGAAUUUGCAACCCAGAAAGUCCACCAGCAAUUAUUAACAAUCACAGAUAAGCACCGAAUGAAGGCCAAUCUAAUACAACAACAACAACAACAACAACAAAGCCUUUUCCCACUAAGUGCGGUCGGCUUGAAGGCCAAUCUAAUACGCCAAAAUAUUCAGGGCACUAAAGAACUUAUUGCCCAGUAUCAACGAUAGAUAAGCACAUGUGAAACUAAAGAAAUUUUUCAUUACUAUCAACUCCAAAAAAGAUAACCUAUGCAAUCCAAAAAAUGUUGAUACAGAGUUGGAGUAUCGAUGCUUGAAAUUGGUAUUUGAACCACCAACUACCUCCGUGAAUAUGUUUGUUUGCUUAAUGGUUUGGGUUGAAGUUGCGAAAGGAAAUAUAAUUUCUUAAAAGGAGAGAAUGCAGAGACAAUACAGAAUGGUUCACGUGGCCACCUCAAAACAGAUUGACAAUUAAGCUUCAUUAUGAAUGGAAAGAUUAAUAGAUGAUAAUUAAGAAGGCCUGAUACCCAAGCCGAAAUCAGAGAUAUCCUUUGUAAACAAAGAGAUUGAGCAUUUCCACUAAAAAAUAACCUUUUUUGUGAGGGGUGGGAUUGGGUGGAAGGCUAGAUAAAGACAUCAAAUUUUAUACUUAUUGCAUGCAAGGUAUGCAACAGCCUCCCGCCGAUUAAAAAUCCCAGAAAUAAAAGAAAUCGAAUCAAGAAAGAAGAUAAUUGCACAAUAAUUACACCUUCACUAAGAAAAUAAAUUAUAAAAUCGAAGACCGUGAGAAUAAUGUCUUAUACAUUAAGCCUGCCAAUUACUAAAAACAAAACAUUUUGCCAUGAGGAGAAGUAAGAACAUACCCAAACUUGUUUGCAAAUAGAUGAGAAAAAUUUAUACCUGAAACAGAUGGAAAAUUUAUUAGGAAAGAUAAAUCAGCCCACAUGUGUGUAAUCUAUAUACAAAAAACCACUCUUUUCAUUAACCAAAUCGUUUCACAAAUCCAAAAACACAGAAUUAUAUCUUGAACAAUGCCAAUUAAUGAUUUCCCAUUUACUUAAGCCCAACAUCAAAGCCAAUGAACUGAUGAAAGAGCGAAAAUGAGAAACAUAAAACCUCAAUUAAGCAAUUAAAUGGAGUAUUACUUGAUAGAGCUGGAAAAUUACCCAGUAAGAUUAAAAAAAAGAGAGAUGAGAUGGAGUGAGAAUCACAUACCGGCAUCACCUUUAAAUAUGUAGUGCUCCUCAGAGAGAGGAUCAAGAGUGACUGAUGAGAGGGCAGAGAACGAAUGAUUGAGAAAUUCAAGCUCUGAGCUCAAAGUUGGGGCCUCCACUUUCCAACUGGGGAAGAAAUAACAGAGAAAACACAGAGAGCCAAUCCACCAAAACUAUUAAUCAAAUGGGUUCCGUCUAAUUCAAAAUUUGGACCACCCAAAUUCCGAUGAAGCAAUAACCAUUCAAAAUUCCAACAGAUUGAAGCCCUCACAGACUACAAAUUAUCAAUACCCAGCAAUAAAAAAUUUGAAAACAGUAAUAAUGAAGGAAAAAGAAAUUAAAGCCGCAAGCCAUUCUCUAAAUCUCAGGCACCAAUCCAAAUCACCAGUAAUUUGCACAUAAUGAUAAGAAUCUAGCAGUAUUUCCAUUGUUUAAAACCCAAAUUCAAGAAAUCAUGAAAAAUGGAAACUUUAUAUAGAAAUUGAAGCUUUACCUGCAGAUCAGCAGCAGCAAACGGAAUCCAACGGCAUGUACCUCAAAAGUGAGAGAGAGCUGAGAGAUGAGUAAGAGAAUCGGUAAACAAAACCCCCAAAAUCACAGAAGGAAAUUUAAACAGAAAACAAAUUUGCAAAUCCAAAAUCACAAAAACGAAAUUGAAACACGAAAGCUGUAAAACUGACCAGGAACGCUAGCUUUUCUGGGUAAAAACUUUAUUCGAAUCGAAUAGAAGAACCGAGGAAAGUUCUACUGGUUCAGUGGUUAUUCCAGCAAGAAAGCACCUUGUUUGUAAUUCGUGAGAGGUUGGAACUUGGAGAGCGAGAGAAGCCGAUUUGGGAGCCAAAGAAAGCGAGGUUGGAGAACGACGGAAGCUGAGAAUUGCGAGAGAGAAAAACGAAAAGGAAAGGAAAAGCGGAGAAAAAGUCACGAUUAUCGAAGCGUGCGAAAAUGAACGGGGAAUGGGGAUCUGGCUGAGGGAGACAGAAUUCGAGAAAGCGGAAUGAAGAGAAUCGAGAAGAGGAGGAAUCAUUUUAAGCGGAUGAUCGACGCGUGGGAAGUAAACUAUUAUUUACAAAUCUAAAGCAUUACCCGAACUUAUAAUACAAUAGCUACUUUGACAGAAGAAAAGAUGGAGAGUGAGAUGAUUGCAUUCCUUUUCAAAACAACUUUUAAGAUUCCAUAAUAAACUAAUAUAUAUGAAGAUGUGCCCCGUGGUAAAAGAGAGGAAGGAAAGAUUAUCAAAAGUUUAUUGUUCGUGAAUCGUGAUUACAGCUAUUCAACUUUUGUAAAUUUUCUUAACAUGAGUGAGAUUUGCAUUCUUUUUCAACCGAACUUCUUUUGAUUUCAUAAUAGAUUAUUAUACGAAGGAUAAAUGCUUAACAGAUUCUCUCAAAAUCGAUGCUUUUCAUGAACUUUUUAGCUAUCUUAUGUUUUUAGACUUAAUUACACUAACACUUUCUGUGGUUUAAGAUAGUCUUACGUUUGAAAUAUUACACUAACAUCCUUUUAAUGUAAUGUCUCAAACGUAAAGGAAUUUUGUGAAAACUCGACUAACUUUAGGAGUGUUAGUGUAAUUAAUCUAUUUUGUGCAAAUAUUGUAAAAUAUUUUACCAAAUACAUUAAGAGCUCGUUUUGAUGUGUUUUUAAAAUGACUAAAAACGUUUUUAAAUAAAAUAUUUUUUUGUUCCAAAAGCACUUAAAUUGUUUUAUGCAAGAAGCACCAGUUAUGUGCUUAUUCCAGAAAGCACUUUAAAUGUUUUUCUAGAAUUUACUUACAUUUUUAUUAAGGAUUGGUUUAAAAAACAUUUUCACAAAAAACGUUUUCAGUUAUUUUAAAAACACAUCCAAACAAGCACUAAGUAGCGGAUAGUUUAUAGACACUUUCACUUUAAAAAGUAGGGAACUUUAACGAAAAGCACCCGGUACUGUUCACUUUAACGAAAAACCAUAUUUUUACACUAAAAAAUCAAUCUUGGUACUAUUCACUUUACCCUUUAUUUUGUUCUUAUCAUUAAAACUCAAAAUUUUCAAGCCAUUUUCAUUAGUUUUCUUUAAAAAGUAUUCUUGCAUAUUUCUAACAGACAUGUACGGUGGAAAAAGAUCACUUCAUAAUUAAAUAUUAUGUUGUUGAUUACGCCUCUCUCUAUUUGAUUAAGUUUCUUUUCACUCUUCUCUAAAAAAUAAUGGUUUCUUUUCACAUUAUUAAACCGUUGUAAAGUAAACUUUUUUUUUGUAAAAGUGUUUUUAAUUAAAAAAAGUAAUGUCAAAGUGUUUGGUAAAUUUUUAUAUAAAUUACUUUGAAUAUAUUAAAUAACUAUAAAAUAUAUACUAUUUAAUGUGAUAUAAUAAUUGUCAAAGACAAUAAUGUAUGAGCAAAAAUUGUAAUUUGUAAAACAUGUAGAGGUAUACUAUUUGAAAAGUUCAUUAAAUGAGCGUUAAUUAUUAUACUUUGAAAAAGAAAAAAAAAUAUACUUUUUUAGAAGCAUAGUACACCCUACUUCUCAUUUUCUGUACUUUUUUCUACUUUUAUUGACAGUAGUUUAAUAAGUUGCUUUCUUUGAGAGUACUCAAACCAAUCCUUAAUAAGUGACCAUUUUGAACUUUCUUGGCGCCAUCGGUGUGGAGGGAGAGAAAAGAAACUAGCGCAAAACUACAGACACUCGAUUCGUUGUAAUAUAUAAUAAAAAAUAAUAGUCACGUAUAAAAUAUGGUACAAUUAUAGUUCUGGCAUAUGUCUCUACCAAAGAUAAUCGCCGUGUCUUUCAAAUUUGUUGUUAAAUUGGGGACAACAUGAAGAUUUUCACACUAAUCUAAGUACAACGUUUCAAACCUUGAAAGACCACUAAAGCUUUGAAAAGUCUGGUGAUUUUGUUAGGUCAUGUGAAUGACUGAAAUUAUCGAUUUUCAACUUCCCAAGCAACUAUUACACAAAAUAUAAUUUAAAACUCAAGAGGAGGAAUCAAAAUCGAUAGUGUCUUCAACUUAACCACUAAUAAGUGUAGAGUACAAAAGACCAUGCAAUUAGUAGUUGUGCCCUUCAACAAAAAGAGAAUCACAAUGUUAGUUGGUCACAUCACAUGCCCAAGGAAAACACGGUACAAAAGCACUAAAAGCGUCCAAGCGAAAGUGCUUUCUUCUCAUGUAGUUUCAUUUAACUUAUUUUACCACAACAGUAAAUAUAUUUUACCACUGCGCCAAUUACGAAAAUGAACGGGGAAUGGGGAGCUGGCUGAGGGAGACAGAAUUCGAGAAAGCGGAGUGAAGAGAAUCGAGAAGAGGAGGAAUCGUUUUAAGCGAUGAUCGACGCGUGGGAAGUAAACUAUUAUUUACAAAUCCAAAGCAUUACCCGAACUCAUAAAGAUGCUCUAAAAACUUUCAAAGAUUCCACAAUUUCUGUUUGAUUUCAUAAUAAACUAUUAUACGAAGGAUAAAUGCUAAAAAUUAGUCUCAGGAAAGCACUUUGUUUGUAAUUCGUGAGGUUGGACAGCGAGAGAAGCCGAUUUGGGAGCCAAAGAAAGCGAGGUUGGAGACAGAAUUUGAGAAGCAGCUUCCUGAUUUUUUUUUUUUUAUGAGAGAAGGCGGAAUGAAGAGAAUCGAGGAGAUGAAUCAUUUUAAGCGAUGAUCGACAUGUGAGAAUUGAGACGAUCUUAUAGCAACGCGAUAUUCAGUUUCAUCACACCAGUUAACUUGUAUUGGUCGAGUAAAGCACAUGUUACUUUCUGAAAAUUUGAAAUACUACAACGCAAAACCUAUCAAGAGGAUGCUACCAUGUGAUGCAAGAAACGAAAAGGUACAAAGUCCAGACUCACUCUGGUUGUCAUUUUCCCCAAGCGCAGAUGCAACUUUAGCGAAUUAAGUUUGUCUCAAAGAAAGUGUCUUUCCAAAAAAAAAAAAAAAAGUGAAAACGGAGCACCCUUCCCCAGACAUUAAGGGCGUGUUUACGUACACGUAAUCAGAAUAAGAAUGUGGAAUUGAAUUUCGAUUACGGAGUACUCUGAUGUUUACUAAACAUGGAGAAUAAAAAAAGCAAUGGGGCCCACACAAAUUUUGGAAUUCAAUUCCUUGUAUUGGUGGAAUUUGAUUCCCUAGAUAUAUGUUGUAAUUCAAUUCCUGCUUGUUUGGACAAUCGGAAUAACACUUUUGUUCCCUUUAUGUCCUCACUUACUUUUUUUAUUUCCAAGACUAUCCUUUAUAAACUCAUUAAAGUAUAUAAAAUAUUUGAUUUGGGACAAGGGUAUUUUAGUAAUCAUACUGGUUUAUAAUUCGAUUCUGCUGAAUUAGUAAAAAUCUUUAUGGAAUUAUAUUCUGAUUUCAGAACAUUUAAGUAAACAGUUUCAACAAGAAUCUGAUUCUGACUUCUCUUCAUUCCAACUCCUCCUUAAUUUAAUUCCUCAUUUUUUUCAUUACCGUUAUAUAAAUGUGCCACAAAGAGCUUCAUUAGCCCACUCACCACUGCAAUAGAAACAAUUUGAUAGAAAAUACUUGAUAGCAACAUACAAGCCUCUAUUUUAUUGGAAAAAUCAAAAUACAAAAUCAAUGUUAUCAAUUUUCUAUCUAAAUGAGAAUUACGGUUUAAGCGAGUUAUGUGGAUACCUAAGCAGGUCUAGCGCACUUUCUUAAUUUUCAAAUGCUUAAGAACUAAUUAGGACGCUGAUCAGCAGCCUAACGUUAGGCGAAGAUUUUUAGAACAUUAAUUACUUGUUCUCCUAGAUCUCCGAGUCCAAGAAAAUUAUGAUCACCCAUUGUUCAAUCUUAAUAUAGUCAGUACGUGGUUAUUUAACCAUUUUGUUAUAUUUAUCCUUUCUCGUUAAAUUAAGUAAGUGAUAAUAACUUUCCUGGAUCCUGUAAUCUAGAAGAACAAGACUAUAUAUCACAUGGAUAAACAUAAUCAGGCAUAAGAAAAAGUCGAAGAAUUCAUAACAUAGAGUAAUGCUAAAAAUACUAAAUUUGUAAACUAAAUGACAUAGAAGUUGAUCGUUAAAUUAUUAUUUAAAUAUUAAUAAACGUGUUCAUGCUCACACAUCAUUUAAUUUGUAAAUUUUAUUUAUAAAUCUUAAGCAUUACCUGAACGCAUAUAAUACAAUAGCUGCUUUGACAGAAGAAAAGAUGGAGAGUGAGAUGAUUGCAUUCUUUUUAAAAGCAACUUUUGAAGAUUCCAUAAUAAACUAUUAUGUAUGAAGAUGUGCCGUGGUAAAAGAGAAGUAAAAAGGAGGGAAGGAUUAUCCAAAAAAUUAUUGACCGUGAUUACAAUUAUUCAACUUUUAUACAUUUCUUCGAACGGAGAUCCAAGAAAAGAUGGAGAGAGAGAUUGGCAUUGUUUUUCGACACAACUUCUGUUGAGUCCAUAAUAAACUAUUAUAAGAAGAAGGAAUGCUAAAGAGAUUCUUUCAAAAUCAAAACUUUCUCAUGUUUUUGGGGUUAGUUAUACUAACAUUUUUUCUUUCGUAUAAGAUAUUACGCCAACACUCCUUUUAGUGUAAUGUCAAACGUAAGGGGAUUUUGUAAAAUUUGAUUAACUUCGACGUUAGUGUAACUAACCUAUUUUUAUGCAAAUAUUAUGUCAAAUACAUUAAAUGGCGGAUAAUUUAUAAACAAUGUCACUUUAACAGAGUUUUCUUACAUCUUUUUUAUAGAUAUGGACGGUGGAAAAAGAUCACUCCAUAAUUAAAUAUUGUGCUAUUGAGCGCGCUUUCGGGGCGCUUUCGGUGCGGGGUUUUGGCCUCCGCCGCUCCGCGUGCUGUUCUUUUACCUUUUUAUCUGCCAUUCGCGUGCUCCGCUGGUCCCAGACCCCUGAACAAUGUGAUGAUGCCAACUAACGUUAACCCCACUAAAGCAUCGGAAAUUGCGUCUGAGGAUAGAAAAGGCAUACAUGCAGAUCCUCCUCCCGGACUCUUUGCCUCUCUAUAUGUGAAAACCCAUCUGGGAACAAACCAAUUCCAUUCUCUGGCAUAGCAAGAACGGUCCUCUGAAAUGUAUCCAUACAAAGUUCGACACACAAAAUUCAAAAAGCCAUUGCAAUGUAAUUGACAACAUUGACAAUCUCUGUCCGACAAGGCAAUAAUACCGAAGCCCACUGUAAUGAUGGUAACCUGAUAGGCCAAUACCGAAGCCCACUGUUAUGAAAUCCAUGAAGCUUAUAUGGGCUUCUUGUACUCUCAGAUUUUGCAUAUUAGAGAAUACUCAGCAGUGAAUACCUGAAAAACGUGCAGCACGAAUAUCAUAUCGGUAGCCUCUCGAAUCUUAAGAAAACUACAAAUGGUAGCUUAGAAAAGAAAUGAAUCCUCUCCAACCAAUACAAAUCAUAUUACCCAAGUUCAAGAAAAAUCAAGACUAAACAAAUGACCAGAUGUUGUAGGGUGCCUGAGAAUGUCAAACAUGAAAUUACAAAAGAAAAAAAUAAUCGUAUGUAUUGAACAUUAAUAAAUACAUGCUGAAAGCACAAUCUUAGCCGCAAUUUAUGACAUUCAUACAAGAUGGAAUCGCCAAAGCAGUUAAAGAAAUUGCAGAGCUCAUAUAAGUGAUUUUCACUAUGAACUUUUAAGCUUAUCAACAAAUACAUCAUUUCGAUUCUAAGGCUUAAUCAUCAAUGAUUUUGCCGUUGGAUAGUGGCCAAAUUAGCGGCCGACUGAACAACAAGCCAACUCUCCUUUCGGCUAUUAAACAAAGAAAAGUUUGGUGGACAUCAUCAUGAGUAAAGACACAAUGAUGAUGUUUGUUGAAAAGAAAAAGGAAGGUCAUAAUGAUGUUUGUAACUUUGGAUUUUUUAUAGUCAAAUGGAAUUGGGUUUAUUUGGCUCCUUCCUUUGCAACUUGACAAAAGAGCUUUUUUUUGGUAUUUUCUAAGGCAGCAGCAGCUGCUAUAUGUUUGAGGAGAAGCCGAGAGAUACCAAGAAGAGCGUUCGGCUCUCCCAUUUGAAAUUUUGUUAGUAAUCACUCAAUCAAAGAUGUUGGUGCUACUUGUGUAGCUUUUGGGAGAGAAGGAUUUUGAUAUGUGUUUCUUCUUCUCCAUUUGUUUCUUAGUUUGAGUGAGAGCUAUUGGUUGUAUGUGGGAUUUAGGUUUGAGAGUUAAAACUCUAUUUGUAAUUUCCUUUUGAUAUUAGUGGAAUUUCCUCGCCGUCUCGGAACUGGACGUAGGCUUACGCCGAACCAGUAUAAAUCCUUGUGUUUUUUGGAUUAUUUGUCUUGUCAUAUUUUGCCGUAUUAGCUUUGGUUUCAUAUUUGAAGCUUUCACACAACAUUUGCAAGGGUCAAUCGUAUUGCUGGUUGUAAAUCUAUUCACUAUGAAAAUUACCAAAAUUACAUCUAAUAUGGUAGUGAAGGAAGUCAUCUUAUAUUAUCUGGAUCCAAAAUUGUACCUAAACAUGCAUGACAGGUAAAAAGAAGAUGAGCAAUAAAACAUUAUAAAGAUUCCCAAGAAAAGCAAUAAAACUACGUAAAUAUUAGUUAAUAAUGUCAAGACCAUAGUCUGUGACAAAUCCAAGAGUUGAGAUGAGACUAUCUUUCCGGCAGGAAUUUUUGGAAUUUUUCUCUAUUGUAAGGAAAACAUAGAUUGAUGUUUGUGUUUACACGAAAAUUAUGCCAACGGCUUAGGAGAAAUCAAAGCAUAACAAUGGGACUAAAAUGACUUACCUACUAUGAGGAUCUUCAAGUUCCUUCUUCACCUCUUCGGGCAGAUUGGCUAAUCUAAUAAACGAAAAGAAAACUCCCAUGAGCAGUGCUAUAACAAACUAUCUUCCUAAAUUCAUUAUGAAUUGCAGUUAAAACUUAAAAUGAACAUGAAAAUCCUACGUAGAAGGGAUAUACCUAGGUGACAAGCCUAGAAGAUUCCCGCGCAAGGAAGAAUAUCCCGGAACCUGCAAUUGGAAACUCAAAGAAACAAUUACAAAGAUGCUAGAAAGAAAAUACGUAUCAGUUUACAACAAAACGCUAGCGCUCAUGAGAAUCGAUUAGGUAUGAAGCAUCAAAACAAUAGCAUGAGACAUCAUAACUUAUGAGCUAUGAAUGGAAUAAUGGAGCAAAAUAUCGUUGCCCAAACAGCACAAUCUACAAUCUACAUGACGGAGAAAGUACCCCGACAUUACAUAUGCAAGUUCAUGUGGUUUAUCUUUUUAACCGAUUCGUUAACAAAUUCUUUCUGCACAUAUAGUUUUAACUUACCAAAACUGGUAAUGGAAGAGAGAUAAUCAGUAAUUAAAAACGGUAAUCGCAUAACGAAAUCAUACUUGAGUGAUUGAUAGGAUUCCCAACCCAUUUGGUCCAAAUCCUUCUUCAAUCUUCACUGACAAAUCUUUGUCCCUGUCCUGUAUCAAUCCAAAAUCAAAAAACGACAAUUAGAAAAAUCGAAUUCUCGACAUGAUCGACGAGUUAAAACAUAGCAAUUAAACAAAACUAUGAAUAAAACAAUUAGAUUCUGUUUGGUUGCUGAGAAAAUGAAGAGAAUAACAACCAAAAAGUCAACUGAAAUAAAAUUUUGCUCUAACUUCAACGAAUUCUCUUGAGUUUCUGAGCACCCAAACAGAAAAAAAAAAAUUAUAGGCAAUCAAACCAAACUCUCAUGCUCAAUUUUCUCGGCAACCGCAAAAAGAACUUAGAGGGGGGGGGGAGAGAGAGAGAGAGUUACUUGGAGCUCGGAGUAGGAUAUGGUGACUGGUGUGACGGUGGGGACGGCGGGGUCGGAGGACGGAGGCAUAGUUCGACAAUAAAUUUGGCGGGAAAGACGGCGGUUGGAGCGUGACGAUGGGGAAGAAUCCGUGGGAACGAAGAGCAAUUUUGGUGCGGAAGGAGGGUUUUUAUAUCGGAGGGAGGGAGGGAGGGAGGGAGGUUGAGAGCGAAAGGCGUGAUUGUCAAUUUCAAAUUUUUUUUUUUAGGAAUAAAGAAAGAAGAGAGGUUGAGUAUCAAUUCCCUUUCCCUCCAAACCAAAUAAUACAUUCACGUUCAUGAUGUGUGGCAAAAAAUUGAAGGUGGAGACGAAUAUAUUAAAGGGAUGUGCUAUCCACACACCUUUUUUACUUCUCACACACCAUUUGUUAAUUUCUGUCCGUUGAUCUUCUUCAUUUCAUCUGAUCUAACGAUCGAAAAUUAAAAGGGUGUGUGAGAAGUAAAAAGGGGUGUGUGGAUAUCACACCCCUAUAUUAAAUAGGUAUAAGUAUUAGUUAAAUUUAAAAUUAAUUGUGUACUAUUAAAAAUUUGUUUGAAAAUAUUUUUAUAAUAACUGAAAGCGUUUUUUAUUAAAAUGUUCUUUAAAUCAAUCCUUAGUAAAACCAAGUGGAUUCUAAAAAGUCAUUUGGAUUACUUUCUACAAAAAUCACAUAUCUUGAGCACUUGAAGCGCUUUUGGAACCCAAAAUUAAUUUAACAAAAGUGUGUCUAGUCUUUUUUAUUUUUGAACAAACGAUAUUAUCUACUUUAAGGGAGGGGAUGAGCUUAACCUCACAAUGGACUAUCAUAUUAAUAAUGUUCAAAUUCACCUUUAUUCAUUUUUAAAAGACUUUAAAACCAGCACUAAUUUGUAUUAAAUUCUAAAACUUUGAAUUGGGAUGUAAUAUGCAUUGGGUCUUUAAUAAUAUUUAAGUUGUUUCCGGCAAAAAAGAAAGGAUUCAAUUGGGAAAAAUAACAAAAUAUGAAAUAAGGAUAUUCUAAUUAAGGUUUUUAUUAAUUAUUUUAGGCGGAUGGUUCAUGUGAAGAUUAUGAAACGCUUUAAUUCUCUAACGUGCGAUUCCAUUUCGAUCCAAAGCUAAAUUUAUAAAUUUCUAAUUUUUACUUUCUAAUUUUUACAAAUUUCUUUUCAUAAGAGUAUAAAUUUAUAAAAUUUGGUUAAAGGAUCAAGAAGUUUAAUUAGAAGCAAUGGUUUUUGUUGUUUAAAAUUAGCAAGAGGUCCUAAGUUCGAAACGCUUUGGGCAUGUUUAUUUUUUUCAAUUUUAACAAAUUUUUGUUUGGUUGUUAAUUUAUUUUUAGUUACUAGCUAGUAGCUAUGUAGGUUGUUAUUUAAAUAUUCGUUUCAAUUCAAGUCCAAUCUUCAACAAUGAGUAAUACGUAAACCAAAUUUGUAGCGCAAAUUUGUAAAUUAUAUGACGUGUUAUCAAAAUAUUUAAUUUAAUGCUCAUUCAUUACUAAUACAUAUCAAUUAAGGACUCGAAAACAUCAUUAUUGUUUUUAGUCCCAUAUUGACAAGGUUAGUAAAUAAGAAAAAACACCUCAUGAUUUAUACAAAAACACUUUCAAAGUUCAAAUGGAAAACAAAACUCAUCGUCUAUCUACUUAUAAGCCCAGAGUUGUUUGGUUUUCUUCUCUCAAUACAAAAUAAAUUAGUCCUUUUGUGUUUCUAAAUUAUUGAGUUUGAAGUGCUUUUCUAAGUAUAAUUUUAUUAAUGUCUUACGUGUGAAAAUAAAUAAUUUUCUUAUAUGAAGUUAGGGCACUUUUUUUUGUGUCGUCCCGAGCCUCAAAAAUCUCUGGACCGGCCCUGGAUGUUAUGAGAAUAUGUGUGGUUGUCAAGCCCGACACGUGAAUAACAUGCUCUCUACUACUUUAUUACACUGUGAAGAUUUUAUCCAAAAUUAAUUGACGAUGAGCGAAUAAACUGAAAGAUUAUGCGCAACUUUGAUUAUGCAACGAGUGAAGAAGCAAUUUACACCAACCUCCAGUCAAGAAUUUGGGCUCACAAUCACUAGCCAAUAUGCUUUUUUCUCAUGCCUUAAGUUCAUAGUUCAAUAUUCUGGUGUCCGAUGACCCUGACACGACAAGUUCCACUUUUUGUUCAUUUUCUUGACGAAACCAUCACAUUUACCCUUACGGCACGGCACAGUUCCGGGCAUGGAGUAUGGAUUGGGUUCCGUUGCAGUCCCGACACUAUUUAGCACUGUAGAGAAGGAAAUACAAAGACAACUUUGGAUUUCUUACAACGUAUUGAGUCUCUCGUCAUGGCUCUUGCUGUGUUGUUCUUAUUUCACGUCCUGUUUCUCGAGCUUGGUGUUUCCGGUUGCAAAUUUUGGUUCGGCAGUGUAGUGCUCAGGAGAGGGGACUGUUUCACGUUGUUCCAGGCAGACAGAGGCGGUUGACAACGAUUGUGAUAAUGUGUUUUUCUACUGGGAGAACAUACAGCAGUCAUCAGUUAUCUUUUCACAACUGUCUUCAGUAUUUCGAGGCACCUCAAGAAAUUAUCAAGGACAAACGAAUGUAGAAAAGAAGAAAUAUCGAAGUUAGUUGACAAAGGGGACGAAAAAUUGUGAGAUACAGAGAAAAAGAAGAUAAGAAGAAACUCGAUGCAAAUUACUUGAGUCUAAAGUAGGAGGGGAAAUCGUACUAUUCAUAUGAACAGUGUUUUAGACCACAUUUCAGUUUAUUUACAAGAUUGCCACUCAGAUGCUUUUAGCUUUUAACGAAGAUGCCAUCAGUUCGAAUGAUGGGAAUGCCCGUAUGGGGUUAACAUCACACGGUUGGGGGUAAAAGUUGUGUUUGGAUCAAAACUUAACUUUGGGCCCAAGCAAAAGAAUGCCCAAAAGAAGGCCUGAAGGAAGAGUCGGCCGAAGCCCAGCCGAGACCCAGAAAAGCAGGAAAGGGCCUCCUCUGACUUGGUGCAGCUCAUGAAGACCACUUGCCCACCUACCCAAAGGUCAAGUGGUAUAGACUGACCAGCUACACAGCCCGUAAAGUACUUUAUGGUGGCAUUACAUGUAAAAAAACUGAUGAGUCAUCACCCUCAAACCGCAUUCGGGCAAGGCUGUUGCUACAGGAGGACAUGCUGGGUUGUCUAUAAAAAAAGAAAGAGAAAUCAGGAUUAAGGACACUCAAUCAAACAAACAAAUGCAAGCACAAACUCUGCUCAAAAGCUAGAUUUGCCUUCAAAACGAAGUUGUAGUCAGCCCAAGCCUUCAUCCCUCGCGGGAUAACCUUUCCUUCAAACCUUUGUAAUAGCUCUGCUACCUUGUUCAACCUUGUUGUAGUAUCGAUUCACCUUUUGUAAUCUUUCUCCCUCUCUCAAAACUUUCAGACCUUUAACAAAACUACAAAGAUAGGAGCCUGCAAGACGAGCAGCCUUGCCUGAUAAGGUUUAACCUUGCCCGACCUUCUAUGCUUUGUAUUUUUUGUCUUUUCAUUCAUUAAGCCUAGUAAUAUGUUGUAUGAUCCCAGUUAUAUGCAAGUUAUUUCUAGCAAGAUGACCAUUAAAAAGCUUUCUCAGUACAUAGACCCGAUUUGAAUAGAUCUUCAGUAUUCAAAUCAGAUCUAAGUCAUAAGCCCUCGGGCAUGUAUAUUUGAUCAGUUAAAAGUCCUUGGCCUCCAGGCAUAAAAAAGAACCUUAUGUGGACUUAACCCAUCCACAACAAUCCUUGAUAAACGAGAAGUCCAAAGUUACUUGGGGCGCAAGUAAUCGACCUACCAUUUAGUUUUAUUUCUAUUAUAUGAUGAUUAUCAUAGAACGUUUAUGCAUGGAAUGGAUUCUGAUAGGAAGCCUCAAGGCCUACACCUAAGGCCCCACAAAGGCACCUAUUUGGGUUCAUUCCGUUCUGCGGUCUAGAGCGUUCUGAGUAGAAAGAACAAAUUCUGAUAGGAAGCCUCAAGGCCUACACCUAAGGCCCCACAAAGGCACCUAUUUGGGUUCAUUCCGUUCUGCGGUCUAGAGCGUUCUGAGUAGAAAGAACAAAUUUCUGAUAGGAAGCCUCAAGGCCUACACCUAAGGCCCCACAAAGGCACCUAUUUGGGUUUGUUCUAUCUCUCGGACGCAGGUAAUCAGAAGUAUAAUAGUUAUAAAACUCCUGCAAUCAAUGGAAUAAGUAUUAUGUAUUCGAGUACUGGUUUAGUAACCGAUGGGAAGCCUCAAGGCCUACACCUAAGGCCCCACAAAGGCACCUAUCAUAACUAACCCGGUUCCUCGGGCACAUAUAUAUAUACAUACAACUAAAACUCGACAUCCAUUUCAUAUCUGCCAUGCUGAAGAUGGCAGUGGCACGCCUGAGUACCUAAAAGUUAAUUUUGAUUGUGAGCCUCAAGGCCUACACCUAAGGCCCCACAAAGGCACAUUUCAAAGUUAACUUUGUCCUUUUCUUUCAGCCUUGCCCGACGAGCCUUGCCGACGAGUCUUGCCCGAUAAAGAUUCGCCUGACGAGACUUGCCCGACAAAGCCCAACCGUGAAGCAGAAGCCCGACAGCAGCCCUCAACCGACGCAAAACCUCCAGGGGAGCUGUGCAUUUCGCCGACCAGGAUGGAAGAAUGGACAGCCUACUAAACCGAUGGGAGCCUACUAAACCGAUGGGAGCCUCUAUGAUCAGGAGAGUUCAAAGGCAGCACAAAGCCUACAUGAAUUCUCUGAAGACCCCCGCAACAUCUGAAGCCUCCCAGAAUAAAAAACUGGAGAAGACAUCAUCUGGGGGAAGUAAUCAGCUCCGCUGGAGAAGUAAGAAAGAGGUGGAAAAUGCCAGCAGCAAAAAAGAAGGUGUGGGGAAUCAUGUACCGCAGAACCAGCACCCUGGGAAGUAUAGGAUCUUGAGGAGAGCUCAAGAAGAUCUGAUCAUGGUGCCAACCCCUGGAUGGAAGCCAAAGCCUACUUGCGUUGGAGCUGUUUCAUCUGAAAGGAAACCACCUUCUCUGCCAUUGGUAGAUCCUUUUGGUGAAGUUCCAAAACAAACACUAUAUGCGGGCAUGAAUCAACAGCAACAGGAGGGGGCACCAGAACCACUACUUCCAGCCGAUGCCAUGGCCUGGUUGGAUGAGUUUAUGGACCAGAUUGGGAGCAAGAAAGAAGAUUUGCUCGAGCCUAGUAAUUUCCAUAUCAACAUGACAUACGUAUUAUCUGCCACGUUUGGUGCCCGACCUGAUCAGCCAGCUACUAUGGAAGGUGAUUACUUGACAACUGAGCCAAUGAUGGCACAUGUCAAUAUAGAGGAAGUCAAAGAAGGAGAAUCGGGCAAGGCUGAAACUUCUGAAGCAUCCAAAAGUGGUCCUUUAAGGAUUUAUACCGAUGAAAUGGUGUUCAGCCGCCCGAACAUCUCGCUAGCCAACCAUCUGAAGCCCAUAUACGUUACAGCUCACCUGGAAUGUGUGCCCUUCAAAAGAAUUUUAAUAGAUGGUGGAGCAGCUGUUAAUGUGUUACCAGCCAAGCAAAUGAAGAAAAUGGGAAGAGGAACGGAGGAUCUUAUUCCGACAGACCUCACGGUCUCUAGCUUCUCAGGCGCUAUCACCAAGACCCAUGGGAUAUUGCCUUUAGAAGUGGAUUUGGGGUCUAAGCAAAUCAUGCUGGCAUUCUUUGUGGUGGACUGCACCUCCACUUAUGGAGCCUUACUCGGAAGAGAUUGGAUCCACCAAAGUCUGGCCAUACCCUCCACUCUUCAUCAACAGGUAGCUGUUUACCAUGAGGCGGGCACAGAAGGACCAGGUUUUUGGGAGAUGGUGGAGGCCGAAUCAGGGCCAUUUCUCCCCACAGCCAACGUUGCGGAAACAAGUUUCUACAACCCCAACGUAGGAAUCUUGAAAUGUUCAGGAGCUGAUGAGAACGGCCGCCCUACCAAUGUGACGACCCAAAAGCUUUUGGAACAAGGAAUGCUCCUCACAAGAGAUGAGUGAGAUAGACCUUGUAUCAUCCCAAAUCCCCUACACCAUCAAUGACUGGACAGAAGAAAAAAGAUCAGGUAAUGGCAGUCAGAUCCCUGAUUAAAAGACUGUUGGUGUAUGAGAAUGGAAGAAGGCAAGAAAGAGAGCUCUUGGACAAGGAAGAGCAGGAAUAGCAGGUGGGAGAUACGAUCUAGACGGGCCAGAAGACCUGCCCGAGAGCCCGGAGUUGGUCGAGUUUUUGUGUGCAGAACCGGAUAAGCCACCACCAGAAGUCCAGGAUCCUCUGGAAGUUAUUGCUAGGAACAAAGGAGGAUCCGAGACCAAUACAAAUUAGUGGUUUAUUGGGGGUUGAUGAUCGGGCAAAGGUUGUCGAUCUGUUGCGAGAGUUCAAAGACUGUUUUGCUUGGCAUUAUACUGAGAUGCCAGGGUUAGAUUCAGCCUUGGUGGAACAUAGAAUGCCCAUCAAGGAGGGAUAUAAACCAGUUAAGCAAGCACCACGAAGGAUGUCAAAGGAGAUAGAAGAAAAUGUCAAAGAAGAGAUCGAAAGGCUAGUAAAAGCUGGCUUUAUCAGACCGGCCAAAUAUGUAGAGUGGUUAGCCAACAUUGUACCCGUUUUAAAAGCUAUAACAAAAGCAGUACGAUGUUGUGUUGAUUACAAAAAUCUUAAUAGUGCUACACCAAAAGAUGAGUAUCCUAUGCCCAUGGCCGAUCUAUCCAUAGAUGCAGUAGCAAAACAUAAAGUCUUAUCUUUUAUGGAUGGGAAUGCCGGGUAUAAUCAGAUAAAGAUGGCUUCAGAAGAUAUACAUAAAACAACAUUCAAGUGUCCCGGUCAUGUGGGGGUAUAUGAAUAUCUGGUCAUGCCAUUCGGGCUCAAGAAUGCUGGUGCCACCUACCAGAGGGCAAUGAAUGUCAUCUUUCACGAUCUGAUUGGCCAGAGUAUGAAAGUAUACAUUGAUGACAUCGUAGUGAAGUCUAAGACAGAAGAGCAGCAUUUGGAAGACCUCAGACAAGCAUUAACAAGGAUGAGGAUCCACAAAUUGAAGAUGAAUCCAAAGAAGUGCGUGUUUGGAGUGAGAGCAGGCAACUUCUUGGGAUUCCUGGUGCAUCAAAGAGGUGUAGAAGUAGACAAGAACAAGUCUCGGGCAAUAAUGGAGUCACCGUCACCCACCAACAAGGUACAACUCCAGAGGCUAUUGGGCAAAAUCAAUUUCUUGAGGAGAUUCAUUGCCAAUUUAGCGAGCAAGAUCCAGCCGUUGACUCCUUUAUUAAGACUGAAAGAUAAAGAAAACUUUGAGUGGGGACCACCACAUCAACAAGCCUUUGACAGCAUCAAGGUCUAUUUAACUUCUCCACCAGUGUUGGUGCCACCUCAAAGGGGAAAACCCUUAAAGCUGUAUAUUUCUGCCUUAGAGAAGUCAAUCGGGAGUUUGCUAGCCCAAAAUAAUGAAGGCGGGAAGGAGCAGGCAUCGUACUACCUCAGUAGGAUUCUGACCGAGGUAGAAACUAGAUAUUCCCCAGUGGAAAGAUUAUGCUUGGCUCUAUAUUUCACUGCCAGCAAGCUAAGGCAUUACAUGUUACCUUGUCACGUACACAUCAUCGCCAAGACAGAUGUGAUAAAGUACAUGUUGUCAAAGCCAAUGCUAACAGGGAGGAUUGGGAAGUGGAUUCUAGCAUUGUCAGAAUUCAGUUUCCAGUAUGUACCCCAGAGAGCGGUCAAAGGCCAAGCAAUUGCUGACUUCCUGGCCGAACAUCAAGAAUCUCAAGACGAAGUAAUCAAUAUCCCAGGAAGCCUGGAGGUCACUAGCAUUUGGAUCCCGCUAAGAGAAGAUAUCUCGGGCAAAGAAGAUUGGGUCCAGCAAGAGAUAAGAAGAGUGACUGGUCUCUGGAUCACUCCUUGGAGGUUAUAUUUUGAUGGAUCUCACACUCAGAAGGCUUAAGAAGCAGGGAUUGUGAUUAUAAACCCUCAUGGGGUCUAUCAUUAUUAUUCAUUCCUCCUAGACUACCAAGGAAAUACUAAUAAUCGGGCAGAGUAUGAAGCUUUGAUAAUUGGUCUGGAAAUCUUGAUGGAUCUGGGGGCAGUAGAGGUGGAGAUCUUUGGAGAUUCAGAGUUAGUAAUAAACCAGCUAAAUGGGGAGUUCAAGUGCAGACAUAUUACCAUGGCAGGAUAUUACUUGACGGCUACGCAAUUACUGAGUUUCUGGGAUUCUGAGAUAUCAGUCAAUCAUGUUCCCAGGGAAUCCAACUUAGCAGCCAACGAGAUGGCACAACUAGCCUCAGGAGUGCCAAUACAGGAGAGAAGAUAUGGGGUAGAUGUCGAGAUCCAAAGAAGGAACCUCCCUUCUAUCUUAGAAAGGGGAUUCAGCCUGGAUGUAAUAGCUCUAGAAACCGAAAUAGAAGAUUGGAGGUCCCCUAUCAUUCGUCAUUUGAAGGAUCCCUCUUCACCUACAAGCAAGAAGAAUAGACAGCAAGCAACCAAGUAUGUCUUGUGGGCGAAGAACUUGCUAAGGAAAACUCCAGAUGGAUUACUAUUGAAAUGCUUGGGCCAAGAAGAAUCCAUGAGGGUAAUGGCCGAAGUACAUGAAGGGGUAUGUGGAGCACAUCAGGCAGGAACUAAGAUGAGGUGGUUGCUUAGAAGAUAUGGUUAUUUCUGGCCCGACAUGGAAAAAGAUUGCAAGUCUUAUGCCAAAGGUUGUGAAGAAUGUCAACGGCACGGACCUCUCCAGCAUGUGCCCUCAGUACCUUUAAAUCCAGUAGUCAAGCCUUGGCCUUUCAGAGGAUGGGCAAUGGACUUCAUCGGGCAAAUCUAUCCAGCUUCUAGUAAAUGGCACACUUUCAUAAUUGUGGCAACGGAUUACUUCACCAAGUGGGUGGAAGCAUCAACAGUAAAAUCCAUAACUUCGGCCGAGGUCAAGAAUUUUAUCGAGACCAAGAUUCUGCACAGGUAUGGGGUGCCCGAAACUAUAGUAACGGAUCGUGGGCCAUCUUUUAUCUCAAAAGAAGUUGAGGAGUUUGCAAGCAAGUACAAAAUAAAGAUGAUCCAAUCCAGUCCAUACUACCCUCAAUCAAAUGGCCAAGCAGAGGCCAGCAACAAGAUCUUGGUCAACAUCAUCAAAAGAAUGGUGGUAGAUAGUCCAGAAAAGUGGCAUGAAAGGCUGGGGAACACUUUGUGGGCAUACAGAACUUCCAAGAGGGCAGGAACAGGGACAACUCCUUAUGCUUUAACUUUCGGGCAAGAUGCGGUACUCCCUAUGGAGAUCAAUGUAAGUUCGGUCAGAAUUCAGAACCAAUUUGGGUUACAUAGUGAAGAAUACAUCGAAGCCAUGUGUCAAGGAAUUGAAGACUUGGAUGUAGCCCGAAUUGAAGCCUUGAACCAGAUUCAAGAAGGAAAGAAAGUUGUUGCCCGAGCUUAUAACAAGAAGGUGAAGAUAAAGUCUUUCAAAGAAGGAGAUUUAGUGUGGAAAACAGUCAUCCCGCUAGGAGCUCAGCUCAGGGGCUUUGGAAAGUGGAGCCCGACAUGGGAAGGUCCUUUCAUUAUUAGUCGAGUUUUGAAUAAAGGAGGAUACUACCUAGCAUACCUCGAAGGAAAUGGGCAGAAACAUCCCAUUAAUGUUAAAUUCUUAAAGAAAUACUGUCCUACAUUAUGGGAUGUUAGAGAUUGUUACAUUGAAGAGGGGGCAAAGUAAAGCAGGCGUCGGGAGUUUCAUAUGCAGUGUUUGUUCAUCAACCAUUCAAAGAAAACAAAAAGACAAAAGUUGCUGAAAUAAUUUUUAUUUCAUGUCGACAAAUUGGUGAAAUUAACAAAAGAUUCAAUUUCUACAUAUUACAUUUGAUUCUCUCUAAGUAUAGUGAUUUCUUCAGCUGGUUUUCCGAUGUCUUCAUGGAUGGAACCCGAUCAGGUGAUCGGGUUGUGCGGCCAACAUAUGCUUGGUAGAGGAUCAUCCGACAGAGCCACCACCAUAUGUGAUGGUGAAGCCUGACUUAUGACGGCAGCAAGCAGGAAAUCAAGCCUUCGUGAAGAACUCGCCUGACCAAGGGUGUUGGGGAUAGCAGGGUGUUCGACCAAUGGUGUUGGAGAUAGCAGUCAUUUGAUGAAACCCCCUUUUUUCUCACGAAAAGGGAGUUUUAGGAAACUCCACUCAAAAUCUGAAGAACCCAUUUCUCAGUUUUUUUUUUUCCGAGGAAGAUUAGAUGGUUUUGACAGGAGGGGUUCCAAGCCAGAAUUUAUAGGACCCAGAGGACAGUUCAAAGGUCGUGGGAAGAUCAAGAGACUCCGGGUGCCAUUAAUUUCAUCCAAAAAACACAAGUUCCAAGGGCAAAGAUGCAGCCGCAUGAAGAACUUUUCAAUUAAUAUUGGCGCCUGGAAUUCCAGGCUAAAUAUCAAUUGAAGGGGGCACUGUUUGGAUCAAAACUUAACUUUGGGCCCAAGCAAAGAAGGCCCAAAAGAAGGCCUGAAGGAAGAGUCGGCCGAAGCCCAGCCGAGACCUAGAAAAGCAGGAAAGGGUCUCCUCUGACUUGGUGCAGCUCAUGAAGACCACUUGCCCACCUACCCAAAGGUCAAGUGGUAUAGACUGACCAGCUACACAGCCCAUAAAGUACUUUAUGGUGGCAUUACAUGUAAAAAAGCUGAUGAGUCAUCACCCUCAAACCACAUUCGGGCAAGGCUGUUGCUACAGGAGGACAUGCUGGGUUGUCUAUAAAAGAAGAAAGAGAAAUCAGGAUUAAGGACACUCAAUCAAACAAACAAAUGCAAGCACAAACUCUGCUCAAAAGCCAUAUUUGCCUUCAAAACGAAGCUGUAGUCAGCCCAAGCCUUCAUCCAUCGCGGGAUAACCUUUCCUUCAAACCUUUGUAAUAGCUCUGCUACCUUGUUCAACCUUGUUGUAGUAUCGAUUCACCUUUUGUAAUCUCUCUCCCUCUCUCAAAACUUUCAGACCUUUAACAAAACUACAAAGAUAGGAGCCUGCAAGACGAGCAGCCUUGCCUGAUAAGGUUUAACCUUGCCUGACCUUCUAUGCUUUGUAUUUUUUGUCUUUUCAUUCAUUAAGCCUAGUAAUAUGUUGUAUGAUCCCAGUUAUAUGCAAGUUAUUUCUAGCAAGAUGACCAUUAAAAAGCUUUCUCAGUACAUAGACCCGAUUUGAAUAGAUCUUCAGUAUUCAAAUCAGAUCUAAGUCCUAAGCCCUCGGGCAUGCAUAUUUGAUCAGUUAAAAGUCCUUGGCCUCAAGGCAUAAAAAAGAACCUUAUGUGGACUUAACCCAUCCACGACAAUCCUUGAUAAACGAGAAGUCCAAAGUUACUUGGGGCGCAAGUAAUCGACCUACCACUUAGUUUUAUUUCUAUUAUAUGAUGAUUAUCAUAGAACGUUUAUGCAUGGAAUGGAUUCUGAUAGGAAGCCUCAAGGCCUACACCUAAGGCCCCACAAAAGCACCUAUUUGGGUUCAUUCCGUUCUGCGAUCUAGAGCGUUCUGAGUAGAAAGAACAAAUUCUGAUAGAAAGCCUCAAGGCCUACACCUAAGGCCCCACAAAGGCACAUAUUUGGGUUUGUUCUAUCUCUCGGACGCAGGUAAUCAGAAGUAUAAUAGUUAUAAAACUCCUGCAAUCAAUGGAAUAAGUAUUAUGUAUUCGAGUACUGGUUUAGUAACCGAUGGGAAGCCUCAAGGCCUACACCUAAGGCCCCACAAAGGCACCUAUCAUAACUAACCCGGUUCCUCGGGCACAUAUAUAUAUACAUACAACUAAAACUCGACAUCCAUUUCAUAUCUGCCAUGCUGAAGAUGGCAGUGGCACGCCUGAGCACCUAAAAGUUAAUUUUGAUUGUGAGCCUCAAGGCCUACACCUAAGGCCCCACAAAGGCACAUUUCAAAGUUAACUUUGUCCUUCUCUUUCAGCCUUGCCCGACGAGCCUUGCCCGACGAGUCUUGCCCGAUAAAGAUUCGCCUGACGAAACUUGCCCGACAGAGCCCAACCGUGAAGCAGAAGCCCGACAGCAGCCCUCAACCGACGCCAAACCUCCAGGGGAGCUGUGCAUCUCGCCGACCAGGAAACUUGCCCGACGGGAAUUCCUGAAGCGAACAAGUUAGGUGGGCAUUGUUGUCAGUUAGGGUUGCAUUCGGUGGGAUCGAUGGCUCGGUGUGGGAUUUGGUGGGAAUGCAUGUUGCUUGCAAAGAGGAGGAGAGAGGGAAUGAGGGAGGGGGAGGGAGAGAUAUGGGUUUGGUGAGGGGAAGGCAUGCGACUUGCAGAGAGGAGUGAGGGAGAGAGGAUGAGAGAGGGAAUGAGGGAAGGGGAGGGAGAGAGAGAGGGGUUUGGUGAGGGGAAGGCAUGCGACUUGCAGAGAGGAAGGAGGGAGAGAGUUGGAGAGAGAGGGAAGGAUGGAGGGGGAGGGAGAGAGAGAGGGGUUUGGUGAGGGGAAGGCAUGCGACUUGUAGAGGGACGGAGCGAAGCUUAAAAGCAACUGCAAAAAGUUCAAUGGACAGGGUCGCAGCAAUGGAGACACCUCGCUCUGAACCAUUUCCCCUCUCCUCAGGCGAAUGCUGAACAAAGUUUUGAAGGAACAAAAAGAAGAAGAGCUACACAUAAUAGAAUCCGAUUUGCAAGGAAAAGAAGAAAGCCAGCUUUUCAAUGAAAAAGCUAAAAUCAAUCCCUUCAACCUCCUCAUCGGCAGCGGCACCCACGACCACCAGGUUCACUUUUAAUUUAAUUUUAAUUUUAAUUUUUUGCUUUUUUAGUGGAUUAAAGAAUAUGAAACGAAUUAUAAUUUAAAAUGGGGAAAUUUUGUUGAUUUUUGCGUUCAGUGUUCUGACUUUUGAGUGAUCAUCGAGCUGUGAUGGGUUGGUGUUGGAUUUGAUUCAAUUGAGGUAAAAGCUCUGCAUGAUUGUGAUACGGAGAAAAUGCUAGAAUCUUACCUUCGAUCCAAAUAUCUGAUUUUUGUUACAAUUGCUAUUUUCAUUGCAGGAAAAUGUGGCGGAGACAAUAAUUCCCAAAUCCUCGAGUUUUAUAAAUGCAUUCCAAUUGAUAGCCAUGUCAAAUGAUCUCGAUUUGUCAGGUAUGUUCGAGGAACAGGCAAGUUUACAAGAAAUAGAUUUACUAAAAUAACUAAUCCUACUUUUUUAGCUUAUAACGAAUAAUGUUGAACUGUUAACUUAAUUUAGGAUGAGAAAUAGAAGACAACAAGAAUUGGACCCAAGCAUACCAUUACUGAAACCAUGAAGAAAAUAGAAGCGGCUGCAACAGAUGCGAGUAUUCUGUAGCAAGAACAAACAACUUCAGGGUACAUGAAACUUAUAUUCAAUCGUACUUCUUUAUCUGCUUAUCAAAGUUCCUUCCUGCCAACUAAUGAUGUAUUAUUUUUUCAUCAGAUGUAAAUGCAUGCAAAAAUUCCAAUGGAAACGUAAAUCACCAUAUCCAGGUAAAUCCGAAUUGUAGAUCAGACUUAUAUUACAAUUUGCUUUCUUUGUGAAAUUUUAUUGUAAUCUCUGGCUUUUGAAAUUCUAUAUGAAAUUGUGAAUGUCAUUCGGAAUCAAGUCUGGCCGAGUUCUUUACUAAAUAGUGCGAAAAUAUGCAUGAUGAAACUAAAUUACUUUUGUAUCAUCUAUAUUUACCUGUUAUCAUAACAGGAUUUAAAAUAUAGAAACAUACUGCUUAAUGUAUAAUUGAGUGAAAUGCUAGUUUACAUAGAUAUUGUGCUUAUUUGUUUUAGGUGGAUUACCAAAAGGAGCUCAUCAAGUAUUCUGCGAGCACGAUCGACCUUGAUCAUUUGGAUAUUUAAAGGAGCCAUUGAUAAAGGGAAGACGACGAGUUGUGAACCUGUGUGCCAAUUUUGCCAAUUUUGCAGACAAGCAGAAACUCUGGCACUUGCCUCUGUCCUAUCCUCCUCUCGCCGCCGUCUCCCUUCUCUCACCUCCGUCGUCUUACUCCUCCUUUCUCUGUCUCUGGAAUCCUAUCGUCAUCUUCCUCGCAUGCAAGGCUCUGGCCCUUUCAAUUGAAACCAAAACGUGUUUCAGGUGCCUAACACAACCUCUCACUACUCACUCACAUCAGUUGGUUUUUGUAAUUUGAACUUUUUUUUCUAAUAAAUUUGUAUGCUUUCUGGAUUUUUAUGGCAGUUUUGGACCUUAUCUUUUCUGAAUUUGUGUGCUUCUCUGGGUUUUUUAAUGGCAGUUCUGAGGAAGAGCAAGAAAAAGGAAGAACCAGUAUUAGAAGAUCUUCCCAAAGAGUACUGUGAUGAUGUGAGUGCCUUUAUUCUUUAACUUGGCCAAAUGGGUGCUCAAAUUUCACGUUUUUCUGUGAUUAUACGAGUAAAUUUAUGUUUUUUGUUUUUGGGUUUUGCCAAAUUCAAUGGUGGUAUUUAUGGGUUUGGUAUUGAUUUUCAGAUUAACAAUGACUUUGGGGAAAUUGAUUGAGUCUGCAUUCAAUGUAACUUUUCAUGCAGUUACAUACUGAUGAAAUAGAAUUCAAUUUUUUCAUUCCUUUUUUUUUAAAUGCAGUUACAUUUAUAUGAUGAUUUACAGCAUAUAUUUAUCUUUUAGAUUCUAAUUCUUCAUGCAGUCUAAGCCAUGAAGGAUUUGAUAAACCCACAAUUGAUAACAAUGUGCGGCGGCACCAACGGUUUUGGACAAGGAACAAGUAAGUACCAUUUUGUUUCAUUGUUUCAAAGUAUUAUGUAGAGAUUGCUUUAAUAUCUUGGCUUCUUUGCUGUUUGUGGGGUGUAUGAGAUAGGAUUUAGGAGAUCUGGUUUAGAUUUUGCAAAGAGAGUGUGUCCGAGAGAAAUGUGGGAGGAUUUAGGCGAGGGAUUUCAGGGAUUUGUUUAGGGUUUCUUUUCUGCGAUUUGCAGACAGAGAGAUGGGACAAGGGUGAGAGAGAGAUGGGAGGAUUUUCUGCGAGGGUAGAGGGAACGGGUAAGGGAGGUAUGGGUAUGGGUAGGGGAUGGAAAAACAUUUCGUUUUCCAUUUGCUUCCUCAAACCCGAGGGAUUGCUGCAAUUGCAGAGAGAGAUGGGGGUGUUCGUUAGGUCCCCUUUCAGUGUCACAUUUGUGCUUUGUCCACCCUUGAUUGUUGUGUGAUUCAUUCUCACGAACGUUCUAUGCACAAGGUUUCAUGUUAUUCCUUCCUUUUAAUUUUGAUAUUAUUGUGCUUAAUUUCUAUUUUAUUUUAUUGGGUGAUUAGAUUAACAGACUUUGGAUAUUUGGUAUAAUAAUUUCACAUCACGUGUUGCCCUUUUGCAUCACCUUAAUUGUUCAUCAGAUGCUAACUUUUAAUUAUGUUUUCUUUGGGUCAGUCUCCAUCUGGUACAUGUGUCCAUCCUUCUGGAGUGGAGCACUAUCUUUCUGACAGCAUAAAUGCUCUGAGAAGCUACUAUGGAGACAAGCAGUUGUUUACUCCGUUCUAGGUAUGUUUUUCUUUAGUAUUUUAGAGGGAUUCUUAACUAUUCCCCAUUGUAAUCUUUACCUUUGUAUCUAUCUCUCUCAAAAGACGAUGAGAGUAGCAACUGUUGCAAAGCAAAUUCUCAGAUGUAUAUAAGCAUAUACAUACAUUGGACAAAAACCGAAUCUUAAAUUGGGGCAGUGAGUUCUGCAACAUCUUGGUGCUGCAUAUAUUCUCACACUUUUAAAAGUUGUAUUUCUCAUAUACAUUGGGAAUUUUAAUUAGUUUUAUUUCAUUUUUGUAGGGCAAUUUAGUAGAUAUUUAGACAUAAAAGAAGAUGCGUGAAUCAAUACAAUUAACCUAAUAGUGAUUUGGUUCAGCGUAAAGACCAUUGCUAGGGCACUCAAGCCAUUUUCUUAAUUUAUGCGCAUAUAUAUUAUACGUAACCAGAACAUGUUUCCAAAGGAUGUUAGUUAGUGUUCAUGCUCUGCUGAUAUUUUAUUCUGUUCAUUUUGAUUUUGUUUUUCAGUUGUGGUUAUAGGAUUGUUUUGUCUCUCUUUUUUUCUUUUUUGUUUUCCCUCGUACAACUUUUCUAAAAUUGAACUGUAGUUCUCAAUUUGGUUCUUUGAACCGAGGCCAAUUGGGCUGUGCCUUUGGAAGGUCUCACUGCUAUUAAAGUUGAAUGGUGCUAACUGAAUAUAAUGCGUUCAUUCUUCGGUGUGUGUGAGUGUAUGUGUAUGCAGUCUAUGCGAGUGCAUGCAGUGCGGUUAGGUUCAUUCCCGCAUGGGUUUUCGUCUUUUUUUCGUUAAAUGGUUAGGUUCAUUCCCGUAUGGGAGAGGUGUGUUUUUGCCAUCAAAUUGGUAGAGACUGAUCUUAAUCAAAUAUCAUGCCAUAGUGUUAUUUUGUUUGCAUCUAUGGAACUAUAUAUUUACUUCGUUGUUGUUGACAGCUUCGCAUGUUCCUUCCAGAUAAUGCUGCCUUUUUGGAUUUCGUAUGAGUGUCCCGGGUCGGUUCUGGACCAACAAAAGAGGGAUGAUCGCUGUCAUUCGGACUGCAGGCGUCCACUUCAAAAUCCCGGUAAACACAUCCUUUUCUUGAUUUCAGGCCAUGCAAAAUUCAUGGUGAAAAAACUGAGCUCAUGUCGUUGGUUUGUGCCUCUGUCCUAUUUCUUAUUUAUUUAUUUAUUUUAUCAAUCCUUUUCCUUCUUGGUUCUAUUUGUUGCUGCUGGUUCCGAUAUUUCAUUGCCCUAUGUGUGCAUGAUAUCAGUGCUGCCACUUUUCAUAUUCUUAUCAAUGCUUACAUCUUCACUCUUUUCCUUCUGUUUCUUUUGCUUAACAUGGUUUCGGCUUUUUGAGAUUGUGUGUUUGAUUAACAUUUGAUCGUAUGGUGUUAGAUUUUAAAUUUGAUGUGAAUAAAUUCUGCCAGCGGGGAUUUUGGUCUCUGGAUUUUUCAUGGUGUAAUUUUUAUGGCAUGAUCCAUUGGUGUUGUGUGCAUUUUUAUCAACAAUAAUAAGCUUUUUCUCAGCAUUGCAAACAAGUUUUCUUAUAACUAAGAGACGAGUGCAUGGUGCAUGUGUCUUAAUUUAUUCAGGUUAAAUAUAUCUUAUUUAUGCAGUUAAGGUGGGUGCAUUCAAGUCCCGCAGCAACACGCGGGCAUAUUUUCUCGUUGAGACUAAAGGAGGUCUUAACGCCAAAUACUGUUCUGUAUAUUUACGAAUGGUUUAAAGUUUGGGUUUAAUUGGAUAAUCAGAGAGUAGUGCGUCAGACUAUGGAUAUUCAGAAACUGAAAGCAUAAUUCAUAUUCUUCUAACAAGUCCACGCAAAUAACCACAAUCACAAUGUUAUUUAUAACUGGCCAUGUAGAACGCAGUACAAAAGCACUAAAAGCGUCCAAGUGAAAGUACUUUCUUCUCAUGUAGUUUCAUUUAACUUAGUUUUGACAUGCCAAUCAGUCACACACUCAAGUCCUGAACGUUCGGGCUCAAUGGCUCCAAGAGAGCUUCCACUUCACUCUGAUUCACCUCCUCUAACCUUGACAGGUUCCACUUCGGAUUCUGCAUUGACAAGAAACCGAAGCCAAAGAUAAAGAUCCGUUCUGAUAUACAGAAAGUAAGAUGAUUAUAUAACUGUAGGUCUUGUAGAGGCGAUCUUAUAGCAACUCAGUCCACAAAGACGAUCUUAUAGCAAGGCGAUAUUAUCACAUCAGUCAACUUUUGUUGGUCAAGUAAAGCACAUGUUACUCACAGAAAAUGUGAAAUACUACAAAACAAAACCUAUCAAAAGGAUGCAACCAUGUGAUGAAAGAAACGAAAAGGUACGAAGUCCAGACUCACUGGAUAAUUCAUAAUUGGUUGUCAUUUUUCCCAAGCGCAGAUGCCAACUUUGGAGAAGUAAUUUUUUGUCAAAUAAAGUGAAAAAGGAGCACCCUCUCCAAGACCUUGAAGAGCUUUGUUAGCCCACUCCACUGCAAUAGAAACAAUUUGGUCGAAAAUACUUGACAGUGACAUACAAGCCUCUCAAUAGAAGAGUACGACAAACUUACCAGUAGCAUCUGAACUCAGCUGCUGCUUUUUAAGUUCAUCAAUUGUCUCAAGAACCGACUUAUUUACACCAAAUGCUGAAGUUAUUUGAGGCAAAAGCCUCUUGAGUUGCGUUCCAGAAUCUGGGUUGCUGCUGAAUUUGGCCACAGUUGUUUCAAUGUUCUGAAGGGGAUCCUGGGAACUGCAUCAACAAUGGAGUUGCUUUUAUCUCAACAAACGCAUUAGACAAUGUGAUGAUGCCAACUAAAGCAUCGGAAACGCAUAGCAAGAACAGUGCUCUGAAAUUUGAAAAGCCACUGCAAUGUAAUUGACAACAUUGACAAUCUCUGUCUGACAAGGCAAUAGUACCUCUGCAAUGAUCCGGUAGCGACCGGUGACCUGAUAGGCCAAUACCAAAGCCCACUGUUAUGUCACCCAUGAAGCUUAUAUAGGGCUUCUUGCACAGAGAUUUUGCAUAUUAGAGAAUACUCAGCAGUGGAUACCUGAAAAACCUGCAGCACAGAUAUCAUAUCGCUAGCCUCUGAAUCUUGAGAAUACUAUAAAUGGUAGCUUAUAAAAGAAAUGAAUCCUAUCCAACCAAUACAUAUCAUACUACCCAAGUCAAAGCAAAAUCAAGACUAACAAAUGAUCAGAUGUUGUAGGUUGCCCGAGAAUGCCAAACAUGAAAUUACAAAAGGAAAAAUCGUAUGUGUUGGACAUUAGUAAAUAAAUGAUGAAAGCACAAUCUUAGCAAUUAAAGAAAUGUUGAAAUUUUACAUGGGUUUUUGUAAUGUUGAAAUGUUUCCGGAUGCAAUAUGUCUUCAAAAUUCAAAACAAUUACUUACUGGAAAAUCAUAAGAAUCUGAAAGAAGUAUGAAAUGUUGACUUGCUGAUGAUGAAGCUGGAGGUAAUCUGUAGUCCAGGAGCUCAGAAUGUGAUGAUGAGGAUGAGUCUGAUGAUGACAAUGCAACACGACCUUGAUCGUGUCUCACCAUAGAACCGAUCUGGGUGUGACUUAAUCUUGACAGAAGAUGCUUUCACUUCAAAAUUUUUGCCUUUUCCCCUUUCUGUCAUCUGUAGUAAUUCUCAUUUGAUUACUGGGAUUACUAUUAUCAGAUGAUUCAUGGCUUGGUUCUGCCUCAUCAUAGAACCAAGCUGGAUGUGGGUCAGAAACAUAACCAGCACUAUUCAUAGCAAGCAUAUUUUCUUUCAUUGGCUUAUCCCACGCUAGAUUAACUCCUGUUCUCUUAACAGUAAAUAAAUAAUAAGGAUCCACACUUACAAAAGGUUCUUCAAAAAUUAUAUCAACUUUAUCCCCGCCUUGCAAAUUGAGCUUAUCGUUCGAUAGUUGUCCUAGCCAAAUAUAAUCAGGUUCAGGCAUGUCGUCUAUUUCUUCUCCGUCUAUUUCUUCUCCGCGUAUGGCUAUGCAGGCUCGCAACUCAGUACGCUUGGUGUGAUUUAUAACAGUAAUGUGAAGAGAAUAAUAAUUAUUUUUUGAGUGGUAAAAGCAGAAUAGAGUCAGGCCUUUAAAAUUACGAACACUCCGGGGAAUAUCAAAACUGACUUUAUUGCCAUUGUUGACAAACUCAAACCAACCAGGAACAUAAUUCCCAUGGAAGAAAAUGCCACCAAAUCCGCAAGAAGUCCAUCCCUAUAUAAACAAUGCAAGUGUCAUAUAUAUACAUGUACAUGUGCGUUUGUGCGUGCAUGCGCACGAUAGGAAGGCAAUUAAAAGAAAGAGGGAGAGAUACCUGUAGGAUGUUCUUCUUAAAAUUAUCUGUGAGAUUGGUGCACCUUUUCAUAUCAAUCAAUGUCAUGGAGGAUAAUGACUUAUCCAAGCCUGGAACCUCAGUGAGUUUGGACGAAUCACUUAAAUUCAGUUUUCUCAUCUUUGACAUUUCCGAAAAAUUGGGCAUUAUUUUCAAUGUAGGGCAACCAGGUGCCUUCAAGACUUCCAAAUUUGUUGGUAAAUUGGGGAUUGUAUGAAGAUUUCUGCAUUUACUGAGCUUCAGAGUUUCAAGCUUUGAAAGAUCAUUGAGGCUCGGUAGGCUACAAAAAGAAUUCCCUUUAAGAUUCAAAUCUUGUAAGGAAAUUAGACUCCCAAGAUCCUUAGGGAUUUUAUUAUCAUCUAAUUUGCACCAUGAGAGAUCUAACCGAGUGAGAUUGUUCAAUCUUACUAUGGAAGGUGGUACUCGUUUUAUGGCUGUGGAAUCUGCAUCAAGUAUUUUCAAUGAUAUCAUCUUCCCUAAAUCCUUAUGCAGUUUUUUGAAAUUUGAACAGAACGAAAGAAAAAGAGUCUCAACAGAUUUCGACUUAUAGAAAUCCCCUGGAAGAAAAAUAAGAUUGUCACAGAAUCUAAGGUUCACCAAAGAAAGUCUUUUAAGAUAACCAAUAGAGGGGUGAAUUCCGGACAAUUUAUUGCAGUAUUCCAAUAUCAACUCUUCAAGAUUUGGGACUUGUGAAAAGUCUGGUGAUUUAAUUAGGUCACUAGAAAAACUGAGAUCAAUGAUCUUCAACUUCUGGAGCGAGAGCGACUAAUGCACAAAACCAAAGAAAAAUUGAAAUUAAUAUCCAAAAAGAAAAUCUUAUAAAAAAGAAGGAAUCCAAAAACAAAUAGAAACAGAACAUUAUGACGUGUAAUUGAUUAUACCUUGGAACCCUGCCAAAACUGUACCAAUUUACUAUCGUGCAUCUGUAUAGCAACUAGUUUCUCUUGAUUUAAAAAGUCAUCUGGUAUGGACUGUAAAGGGAAUUUACUCCAACAGAACCAUAUUAACUCUUUGGGAAGAUGUUCGUAUUUUCCAUUGAGCUUAUUAGCGUAGUCGAGCCGAAGUAAUCUCAGUUUCUUCAUAUUGGCAAAUGCUUCUGUACUGAAACUAGUCUUGUCAGAGCUUGGUAACCCGGGAUAAGGGAUAUCUAGAGCAAGUCCUUCAACUUCUUCAGUUCCCUGUUAAAAAAAAAAAAAAAAAGUUUAAGUAAGAAAUAGAUUAUUUGCAUAUGUUUACAUGAUUUUGCAUAAUGAAUUAUACUUGCAUUCCCCCUUUGGGGUGACAAGCUCAUUCUGCCGCUUGCAAAUAACAUUUCUUAAUCGUACAAAUUUUCAUUGUGGAACCAUUCAAUUUCUUACUCUUAUAAUCAUUACAAAAAAUUUGAAUCAGAGAUCACUUAAUUUAGACAUCCAAAUGUAUCAAUAAAUGGAUAAUUCAUUAUUGAUAUGUUACUUAGGCAAAAUCACGUACUAUGAAUAAAUGCGAGUACUAUUGUUGGCUAAUUGAGCUUUCCUUGUGCAACUAACAUAUAUACACAUGAAUGUUGUCUAAUGUAUAAUAGACAUUUUGUUAAAGAAAAAAUGUAUAAUAGACAUACGUGGGUUAUAUAUGCUUUUCCUGUACAAUGCAUUAAUCCAAAAUUUUAUUGGGAAUAUACUUACAAAUUUAUUUGUUAAUACAUUGGUGACCUCUCGAGAAUUCCACAACCUGCUCCAUUUUCCAGGGUGACCGGGGGACUUUUCAGAAAUGAUUACUCUGGCCAUUUCUCGAAGCAAAUCAUGCAUAUACAAUAUGUUGCGUUCAACAGUUACAAGGCAUCGUUCACAGAGGACACUGAUUUCUAUUGUUGCAAAAAAUUCACAUCCAUCUAAUACUUUUGCGACAUAGUCCUUUUCCCAUCCAAUAAAGAAACAAGAUAUGUCAAGGAAAGUAGCCUUUUGUGUACGAUCCAGCUUUUCAAAGCUUACUCUUAGCGGUUUCAUUAUUCCUUCAUGAGGAAUUUUUUUUAAUUUCUCCAACUGACUUUUCCACUCUGUUGGGACUCUUUCAAUCAUAGAAGAACCUAAAACUUCAAGGGCUAGUGGCAAACCACCACAGUGAGAAACAACCUCUUUUGAGAGUUCAAGAUAUCCUUCAUUAGGACAACUAUUUCCAAAGGCAUGCCAACUAAAGAGUUUCAAAGCUUCUUCUUCAUUCAUUUCCUUAAGCGGAUAUGUCUCGUCCACUUUCAUGUUCACUUGCUUUAGUAAACGAUCAUCUCGUGUCGUUAUGAUAAUUCUACUUCCUAGGCCAAACCAAUCACGAUUUCCAGCUAUUGCAUUUAGUUGUUCCACUUUGUCUACAUUGUCAAUAAUGACAAGUACUCUUCUACUUUGGAGAUGAUGUUUUAUCAGACUGAUACCUUCAUCAACACUGGUUAUCUCACGCUUGUUCUGUUUCAAGAUGUUAGAAACAAGUUGUUCUUGCGAAACAACCAGAUCUUUUUCACUAACGUUGUUAAGGAAACUUUUGAAUUGGAACUCAUGAUGAAUUUUGUUAUAAAUGGCUUUGGCAGCUGUUGUUUUACCCAAUCCACCCAUCCCCCAAAUUCCAACCAUGCGAACAACAUUUGAUCCACCAUUUGAAAGAAAAGUGAUGAUAUCUUGAAUGCGAGUAUAUAUUCCAACUGGGUGCUUGGCCACAUGUAAACUUUCUGCGCUCGGAAGCCAUUCCGGGAUAAUCUUGUUAACAAUUUCUCUAAUAAGCUUUGCUUCGCACCUGAAAAAUUGAAUUGGUAAGCUUAGUAAGUAGGCUCAGUAUGAGCUAUUAGUAUAUUUCCUUGUUUCCUUCGCGCGCGUGUGUGCACACAAACUAUCUACUAUAGCUAGUAUGUGAUUUUGGGACCAACGUCAAUAAAAGAAACAAAUUCAUUCAUGGAUAUAUUAAAGUUUGGUGUAUCAAUUAAACUCCAAUUAUGGUUUAGGUUUUACAGGAAAUUGGAGAAAUGGUCCCUGAACUAUGAUUGAACUGUAGCUUUGGUUCUUAAACUAAAAAAUUCAAUAAAUCUUGUCCUUGAACUUAACAAAAUAUGGAGCAUUCAUCCCUCCAUGUUAACACCGUAAGAUUUUCUGUUAAUUUGAUGACGUCAUCUUUGUGGGCUCUAUAUUUUUGUUUACUAGAUGCCACGUGGCUUGAAAAUUCAAAAUAAAAGAAAAUAAAUACAAACAUAGAGAAAGAAAAAGAAAAAAAAAAUAUUUCAAUUAUAAAAGUUAACUCUCUCCAAUCCUCCCUUCCGCCUCCCCUCCUCCAAACCCCAGCCACACCAUUGUAGCACUUUCCCAACAGCAAAAACAAAGAAAGUUUAUAAUCCAAAUUUGGAACACAUCUCCCUUUGCAAACAAAUUCACAAUGACAUCCAUCCACGUUGUCUCGACAGGUAAGAUUCAAGAAAUUUGUGAGAUGUGGGUUUGGGUGACGGCUGUGGUCCAUGGGCUACAGGUUGGGGCCGGCUGGGGAGUGGGGAUUAGGGAUUUGGGGUUGGAAGUGGGAGGUUGACGGGUGUGAAUCAAAGAUUGAAGGUGAAGGGGUGGGCUGCGAGCCUGCGAGUGUUGGUGGGAUGAGGUACGCCUGCAAUUAUAUAUAUAUAUAUAUAGUAGACACUUUUAACUAAAAUUUAAAGGAAUUGGUUACGAAGGACUAAUGCUCCAUAUUUUAUCAAGUUCAAGGACAAAAUAUAAUGAAUUUUUAAUUUAGGAACCAAAGCUACAAUUUUCCUCAAGAUUUUAUAUGAGAGAUUAAGGUGUAUUAAUUAAGCAUGUUAAUUAGAGUAAUACAACUUAAAUAUUGAAAAGCACAAUGAUUACCUGCAAUUAUAUAUAUAUAUAUAUAUAUAUAUAUAUAGUAGACACUUUUAACUAAAAUUUAAAGGAAUUGGUUACGAAGGACUAACGCUCCAUAUUUUAUCAAGUUCAAGGACAAAAUAUAAUGAAUUUUUAAUUUAGGAACCAAAGCUACAAUUUUCCUCUAGAUUUUAUAUGAGAGAUUAAGGUGUAUUAAUUAAGCAUGUUAAUUAGAGUAAUACAACUUAAAUAUUGAAAAGCACAAUGAUUACCUCUUAUCAGUGAUUUGAAGAUGGUAGCCAGACAAAUUUGCAGCUUUUGUAAGAACCUCUCCCCACUGCUUUAUCCCUUCUUGUUUAGCUUCACGUUUCUUGUCAUCCUUUUCUUCACCGAUGCCCUCUUCGUGCUUCUGAAAUUCUUCAGCCAACUCUGCAGCUUCUCUAAGAGCCUCUGUCCACUGCUUUACCCUUUCUCGUUUUUCUUCACGUUUCUUGUCAUCUUUUUCUUUACUGAUGUUCUCUUCGUGUUUCUUAAAUGCUUGGGCCAAAACUCCAUUCUGCUUCCUGACAUGUGAAGGAUCAACGUGAUAGAAUAUUGGCAAAACAUGUCGCCCCAAUUUGUCUCUGCACUCCAUGAUCUUCACCAGCUCGUUAAGACACCAACUCGAAUCCGCAUACCUCUCUGAGAAGACAAUGAUAUAGAUCUUCGAUUUUUCGAUUGCCUGUUCCAGUUCUUUUUUUAUUUCUUCCCCUCUUUCUAGAUCGUCCUCAUCGAUAUACGCUUGAUAUCCCCUAUCUGUUAAUGCCGCGUGGAGGUGGUCCGUGAAGCCACUGUGUGUGUCUACACCGCUGAAGCUCAAGAACACGUCGUAAUUCCAAAGUUUUGACUUGGGGGAGGAUGAAGAGGAGGCUUCAUGGUUUGUCAUGGCGGUAUCCACUGUUAUGGCACUGCAGUGGUUCAGAUUAUGACUGAAAAAUGGCAGUAGUUGUGUUUGUGCUAUUGAACAGAUGAUCCUGAAACACCUAAACCCAAGUCAAGCUCCUUAAGUCAACAAGAACAAAGUUUAUAAUAUAAUAAUGUUGGCGUAUGGAAACGACAUAAUGUUGGCCAGAAGGUGCAGAGACAAACUUGAAUGCAAGCUUUCUGAAAUCUUCCAACCAAUACAGAUAAAAAGGUAACACCCUAGUCAGAAAUGAACUGAGGUGUUAGCUUUCUAAGACACCCAGAUGACAAAAUCAACAAAAUAGAAUGGAAAACUGACUUACACUUUUAAGGCAUGCUAGAAUCUUGAUCUAAAAUUGGUGGUGGGUCGAUUGUUGGUCACCAACUCUAAAUGAAGAAUUCAUCAGAACCUAGAAAAUUAAACAAAGAACUUUCCAAAAUCAACAUUUACUAAAAACCAUUUACUUGGUUAUCAUGCAAGAUGGCUUGCCAAAGAUUGAAUUAAGGAAUGCAAAACUUUACUUUUAUGAUGAUUUCCAAUGACAGCUAAAAGGUCAGAACCAAAUGAAAAUAAAAGUUAGGACUUCACAAAACCAAUUAAAAUCUAAUUCCAAAGUUACAAACACCCACCAAAUGAUUCCAGAUAAAGUUUUAAACUCAAGGUCAGACCCAAAUGAAAUUAAAAGUUAGGACUUCACAAAACCAAUUGAAAAUCUGAUUCCAAAGUUUCAAACACACACCAAAUGAUUCCGAAUAAAGUUUAAACUAAAAAACCCAACAGAAACAAAAGCAUUGGUGUGAAUUAACAGUAUCUAAUUGAAGAAACUAAAACAAAAGUAAAGUAAAGUAUAUACCUCAAAAUAUCAAGCAAUUAAGUUCUUCCUCCGAUGACCCAAAACUCUGAAAAUUCCACACAAAAAAAAAGGUAAAUCCAUUAGCAAUUCAUAGCUUUCAAAAUCAGCAAAAACUUGGGCAACAAUAAAGAUGCGUUGAGAACCAUCACUCUUUCUCCUUAUGUAUUUGAAAAGAUAUUUUAUAAGCAAUUUAUGUAGUCAUUCUGAUCAUGUUGCAUAUAAAUUCCUUUUCUACAGAGUUCAAAAAAAAUAGGGCAGUUUAUGGCAUCUGUUGAAUAACAUGGUUGAAAGAUUUAAAAUUGAUAAAUUCAAUUUUUAUGUGUAAAACUAUAACAUAUAGCUAAAGCUAUUGGGUCUAUAUAUCCAUAUCAAUCAUGUCGUAAUUGAAGGUUUAUCGAUGUAAAUAGAUGAUUUCAGUCAUGUGAAGUAUAUGCUGAAGUUUGGUCUAAGUUAGAUAAAAAUUGACCAAAAUCUUAAUAAGAGACUCUUUUAGCUUUUAACCAAAAAAUGAGCACCACAAUACUACACUUAUAAGUUUUAUCAUGCACAAAAUACAUAGCACUGAUUGCUACUUUUAGAGCAAGAACAAUACUUUCCAAGAAAACAACAAAACACUCAAAACCCAGAAACAGAAACACACUUAGGACUCCAACUCCUCAAAAACAUGAGAAAGAGAGAGAGUGUGUGCGAGGAGAGAGAAUAAAAAACCAUAUUAAUUUUCACACAAACUCAAAAUUGCUUAUAAAAUUACAAAUCAAAACAAAUGAAAGCAAAUCCAAAUUGCCCUAAAUUAAAUCUGAUUAGUUAAACGUUUGUUGCCCUACAAAUGUCGUUACACCCGACACAACUUGCUUUGAAGUUGAUAUUUUGGUCAAUCCAGGGAAAAAGGAGUUAUUGGUUUUGGAGCGGUUGUCAUGGAGAAUACCAUCUCCCUGUUGAAUGAUCUAAAAAAGGACUUACAGCUUCUGCUGGCCAUAAUAAGGCCCUUCUCUCCAGAUUUUCUCAAUAACUUUCCUUUUCGUAGCUGGUAAGAUUGCAACUCCAAGAAUUGCUCUGAAGAGAUAUACAAAAAAAUCAAACUAAAACUAAGCUAUUGGAAGAAAUUUAGAAAACACAAACAUCACUACAACUCAGAUUUAAAGUCAACAGAAACCAAAUGGUAGAAGUUGAAAAAAUACAUGGUCAUGAAUCGAGAACUUCAUCAAGCUACAACAACAACAACAACAACAAAGCCUUUUCCCACUAAGUGGGGUCGGCUAUAUGAAUCCUAGAACGCCAUUGCGCUCGGUUUUGUGUCAUGUCCUCCGUUAGAUCCAAGUACUCUAAGUCUUUUCUUAGAGUCUCUUCCAAAGUUUUCCUAGGUCUUCCUCUACCCCUUCGGCCCUGAACCUCUGUCCCGUAGUCACAUCUUCGAACCGGAGCGUCAGUCGGCCUUCAUCAAGCUAACAGCAAUAAAAUCUCAUAUAAUCUGUCAAAAACCAAAAAAGAGAGAGAGGUAAUUUCAAGACCUUGUAAUGCCGAGGCCUCGUACAAUUGUAGUAAUAAUAUAUGGUUGAUGCACCUGUUGCUCAAUCAAAUCCUUUGUCUGGCUAAAAAAAAUAAAAAUCUAUAAAUACAUUCAUGUCCAAUUUAUGAGAAAUCAUGGGAAAGCAAAUGCACUGAUAACGGAAUCAUGAAUAUGAAAAACUUGCCAAAAAGAAAAAGAAAACUUCUUAUAGUGUGCCAAGAACAUCCUCCUACUCCUAGCAAACUUUUUAUGGCAUUAUCCACUUCUCAAUUCAUAAUUCAACCACUAACUCAAAGUCUAUAGUGUAUGAAAAAGUGAUAUCUUAGUUGAUCACGAUGAUAAUUAAGCAGAUUAAAUGACAACCCAUAAAGCAUACAAAUUCAGAAAAGAAAAGGUUCAAAACUGCCAUAAGAAAACAUAGAAUAUAUAAACGGGAAAUCAAAAGAAGAGAGGCGAAAAAGGAAGAAAAAACCAAACAAAAUUAUUAGGUUUGGGAUAUACCUUUAUCUGAAACGCCACAAUCAUCAAAGUCAAACAUAAACAAUCCAAAAAGUUGUGGAAAAUAACAAUAAAUGCUCAACGAAAAACGAAAGAAACGUAGAAUAAGUUUACCUGUCCUCCCCCUAAUAAUACAAUUCACCACUUAUAUUCUCGUCAUCCUCUUCAGCCUGAAAAAUUUAGUAGAAAUAUUCAAUGAAGGCGCUUAAUGGAGACAGUAAUAUUAGCAAUGGAGGAAUUGAAUUGAUAACUAAAACUGCAAGACCAAUUGACUACGAUAGGUUCAAAACAGAAACUCAUCUGUUAGAUGUCUCAUCUUUAGGCAGUGCCUUGUUCUUUUCUUUUUUUUGUUCUUUUUUUUUUUUUGUUUUUGGUUGCACGUCUUGUGACGUUCAUGUAAAUGAACAAAAUUGAUACUUUUGACACAACCAACAAUGGAGAGGUAAAAAGUUAAAAACAGAAGGAAUGUCUUUUGUUAUGUAAUAGAUUUUGCAAGUCAGAAAUUCUGUUCGAGAAUUUGCAACCCAGAAAGUCCGCCAGCAAUUAUUAACAAUCACAGAUAAGCACCGAAUGAAGGCCAAUCUAAUAAGCCAAAAUAUGUAGGGCACUAAAGAAAUUAUUGCCCAGUAACAAAUGAUAGAUAAGCACAUGUGAAACUAAAGAAAUUUUUCCUUACUAUCAACUCCAAAAAAAUAACCUAUACAAUUCAAAAAAUGUUGAUACAUGCCUGAAAUUGGUAUUUGAACCACCAACUACCUCCGUGAAUAUGUUUGUUUGCUUAAUGGUUUGCGUUGAAGUUGUGAAAGGAAAUGCAAUUUCUUAAAAGAAGGAGAAUGCAGAGACAAAUACAGAAUGGUUCACGUGGCCACCCUCAAAACAAUAAUGUCGUAUACAUUAAGCCUGCCAAUUACUAAAAACAAAACAUUUUGCCAUGAGGAGAAGUAAGAACAUACCGAAACUUGUUUGCAAAUAGAUGAGAAAAAUUAUACCUCAAACAGAUGGGAAAUUUAUUAGGAAAGAUAGAUCAGCCCACAUGUGUGUAAUCUAUAUACAAAAAACCACUCUCUUCAUUAGCCAAAUCGUUUCAUAAAUCCAACAACACAUAAUUAUAUCUUGAACAAUGCCAAUUAAUGAUUUCCCAUUUACUUAAGCCGGACAACAAAGCCAAUGAACUGAUGAAAGAGCGAAAAAGAGAAACAAAAAACCUCAAUUAAGCAAUUAAAUGGAGUAUUACUUGAUAGAGCUGGAAAUUACCCAAUUCCUCAGAGAGAGGAUCAAGAGUGACUGAUGAGAGUGCAGAGAAACGAAUUAUUGAGAAAUUCAAGUUCUGAGCUCAAAGUUGGGGCCUCCACUUUCCAACUGGGGAAGAAAUAACAGAGAAAACACAGAGAGAGCCAAUCCACCAAAAAUAUUAAUCAAAUGGGUUUCUUCUAAUUCAAAAUUUGGACCACCCAAUUUCCGAUGAAGCAAUAACCAUUCAAAAUUCCAACAGAUUGAAGCCCUCACAGACUACAAAUUAUCAAUACCCAGCAAUAAAAAAUUUGAAAACAGUAAUAAUGAAGGAAAAAGAAAUUAAAGCUGCGAGCCAUUCUCUAAAUCUCAGGCACCAAUCCAAAUCACCAGUAAUUUGCACAUAAUGAUAAGAAUCUAGCGGUAUUUCCAUUGUUUAAAAACCCAAAUUCAAGAAAUCAUGAAAAAUGGAAACUUUAUUUGGAAAUUGAAGCUUUACCUGCAGAUCAGCAGCAGCAAACGGAAUCCAACGGCAUGUACCUCAAAAGUGAGAGAGAGAGAGAGAGUUGAGAGAUGAGUGAGAGAAUCGAUAAACAAAACCCCCCAAAAUCACAAAAGGAAAAUUGAACAGAAAACAAAUUUGCAAAUCCAAAAUCACAAAAACGAAAUUGAAACACCCACACUGAGAAAGCUGCAAUACUCACCAGGAAGCUAGCUUUUCUGGGUAAAAAAAUUGUUCGAAUCGAAUUGAAGAACCGAGGAAAAUUCUACUGGUUCAGUGGUUUUUCCAGCAAGAAAGCACCUUGUUUGUAAUUCGUGAGAGGUUGGACGGCGAGAGAGAAAAACGUAAAGGAAAGGAAAAGCGGAGAAGAAGUCACGAUUAUCGACGCGUGGGUUGCAUUCCACUGUGCCAAGUUCGAAAAUGAACGGGGAAUGGGGAGCUUGGCUGAGGGAGACAGAAUUCGAGAAGCAACGUUCUGAUUUUUUUUUUUAUAUGAGAGAGGGAAAGAGGAAUGAAGAGAAUCGACAAGAGGAGGAACCAUUUUAAGCGAUGAUGGACGCGUGGGAAUUGAGGGCAAAUUUGCCAUUUUGCUGUGAACCCAAAAGUCAAGACUUGGCUUGGUUUAUAUAAUUAAUCAAUAAUAUUUCAUAACAAGAGCUAGGUCCAUAUAUUAUACAAGGUUCUAAUAUAAUAGAUGUUGUGGCUAGGCGAGGCUUAUUGUCUAUGCGAAUUUAAGUAAAUUUACUCUAUAUUAAAUAAAUAAAUAUAUUUUUACACUUAAAAUGACACAUAAUUGUAUUGUGAUAUAUAAAUUAUAAAAUAAAAUGAUAUAUAUAUUAUAAAGUAUUGGAGACCCAAAUGUGAAAUGACAACUAUAAACAAUUAUUCAAGGUGGACGGUAAAUGAUUCAGCCAUUUACAAGAUUCAAAACGUAGGAUCACGAUCUACUGGAUGAUUGUAUUAACUAUUAGGCGGUGCUCUAAUAUAAUACAUCCAAAUGGGGGUGGACCACAUAAUACACCCAAUAGGUCGUUUUAAGCUACUCCACUGCUAAAACUAUUGCAAAAUGCGCAUUAGGAUUUAUACUUCUAUUAGCUACGCCUUUCCUUACUAGGCAAAUGAACCAUAUAGUACACCAAGAUGGAUGUUAUACACGUUGGAGUUUGAGCAGAAUUCUUUUUGUUAUCAUGUCUCACAUUGCUAGAAUUGAAAAGUUCAUAAUAUAAUAACAUUCACGUAUGAACUUGAGAAACAACAUACUACUGGUUGGCCUGGAAGGUGCAGUGAAGGAGAGGAAAGAAAGUAACAAACACGAAAGGAUAAGGACUAUCCAAUAGAUUAUAAACAAUGACUUCUUGGGGGUGAUUACAGCUAUUCAACCAUCAAUAAUGCAUUAUUUUAGUUUGGAAUUUGGAAGCAUUUGAGAAGUAACAUGACAACAACCACAUAAUAAACAAAGAUGAUUAGAAAAAAGACCCGAAUGUGAAAGAAUAAUUAAAAACAAUUAUUCAAGAUUAGUGAUAAAUGAUUCAACCAUUUACAAGAUAUGAACUUAGAACAACAAUCUAUUAGAUCGUUGUAUUAAUUAUUAAGUGGUGCUCUAAUAUAAUAGAUCCAAAUCGGAACGGACCACAUAAUACACCCAAAUGGAUCAUUUUUAGGCUCCACUGCUAAAAACUAAUGCACCAUGGGCAUUAGGAGUAGACUUUUAUAGCUAUCUUUCCUUACUAGUCAAAUGAACCAUACAAUACACCCAAAUGGAUGCCAUCAUGCCAUAUAUAAACAAUGUUUUGAAAGGACAAGGUAGCUAACGCUGUCUUUUUAUAUAUGUAAGCAACAACCCUAAAUGAAUCUUAUUGGAGCUAAUUAACUAAUGUAUUUAUUAGACAGUUGGAUUCCUUAGCAAGGGGUUAACUAUUUUUGUUUAGAUUAGUAGUCAGGUGGUAAUUAAUUAGUCAAAUGAACCAUAUAAUACACCCAAAUGGAUGUGCAUAUAUAAACAAUGUUUUCGAAGGAUGAAAUGACUUUCUUGCCGGUAUGGGGGAAGAGGAUUGCGCGAAAAUUUUCGCACUAAUCUAAAUAUUGUGUUUCAAGCUUUGAAAAACCAUUGAAGCUUUGAAAAGUUUGGUGAUUUUGUUAGGUUAUGUGUAUGAGUGACAUUAAUAAUUUUCAACUUCCCAAGCAAUUGUUACACAAAAUUAAAUUUAAAAUCCAAGAGGCCGUGGUUACAGCUAUUCAACUUUUGUAGAUUUUCCGGUUUUAUGAGAUUGGCAUUCUUUUUCAACACAACUUCUAUUGAGUUCAUAUAAACUAUUAUAUGAAGGAGAAAUGGUAAAAAGACUCCCUCAAAAUCCCAAAUGUGAUAGGAGAAAAGACACAAAUAUGAAACAAUUAAAAACAAUUAUUCAAGGUGGGUAGUAAAUGAUUCAGUCAUUUACAAGAUUCAAACAUGGGACCACGAUCUACUGGAUGACUGUAUUAACUAUUAGGCGGUGCUUUGAUAUAAUACAUCCAAAUGGGGGUGGACCACAUAAUACACCCCAAUGGUUCGCUAAAAACUAUUGCAAAAUGCGCGUUGGGCUUAUACUUCUAUUAGCUGCGCCUUUCCUUACUAGGCAAAUGAACCAUAUCCAAAAUGGAUGUUAUACACGUUAGAGUUUGACCAUAAUUUUUUUCGGUUAUCUCAUUGUCUCACAUUGCUAGAAUUGAAAAGUUUUAAUAACGUUUGUGUAUGAACUUGAGAGACGACAUACUAUCGGCCGGCGGGGAAGGUGCAGUGAAAGAGAGGAAAGGAAGAAAGAAGUCAACACGGAAUGACAAAGACUAACCAAUAGGUUAUAAGCAAUUACUUCUUGGGGUGAUUACAGCUAUUCAACUAUCAACAACGCAUUAUUUUAGUUUGGAAUUUGGAAGCAUUUGAGAAGUAACAUGGCAACAACCACAUACUAAACUAAAGUGAUUAGAAAAAAGACCCAAAAUGUGAAAGAAUAAUUAAAAACAAUUAUUUAAGAUAAGCGAUAAAUGAUUCAACUAUUUACAAGAUAUGAACUUAGAACAACAAUCUAUUUGAUCGUUGUAUUAACUAUUAAGUGGUGUUCUAAUAUAAUAGAUCCAAAUGGGGACCGACCAUAUAAUACACCCAAAUGGACCAUUUUUAGGCUCCACUGCUAAAAACUAAUGCAAAGUGGACAUUAGGAUUAAACUUGUAUUAGCUAUCUUUCCUUACUAGUCAAAUGAACCAUACAAUACACCCAAAUGGAUGGCAUCAUGCCAUAUAUAAACAAUGUUUUGAAGGGACAAGGUAGCUAACGCUGUCUUUUUAUAUAUGUAAGCAACAACCCUAAAUGAAUUUUACUGGAGCUAAUUAACUAAUGUAUUUAUUAGACAGUUGGAUUCCUUAGCAAGUGGUUAACUAGUUUUGUUUAGUUUAGUAGUCAGGUCGUAAUUAAUUAGUCAAAUGAACCUGCAUAUAACACACGCAAAUGGAUGCCAUAUAUGCAUACUAUUUUUGUUUAGUUUAGUAGUCAGGUCGUAAUUAAUUAGUCAAAUGAACCUGCAUAUAACACACCCAAAUGGAUGCCAUAUAUGCAUAUAUAAACAAUGUUUUCAAAGGAUGAAAUGACUUUCUUGCCGGUAUGGGGGGAAGAGGAAAGAAACUAGCACGAAACUGCAGACCCUAUCGAUCCAUUAUAAUAAAUUUCAAUGGUCCAAGUUGUAAGUUAAUUGUGUAACGUAAAAACUUAUUUACAGUUAUCAACUUAACCACGUACAUGUGGAAGACAUUAUCUCAGAAAACUAGAAAGUUCAAUUGCAACUCUACACAACUGAAAGCAAGGCUCGCUCAAUAGGGCUUGAGUUUUUUUGUAAACUUGCGUAUUUUUGUAAACGCAUCACAUAGUAGUUAAAACAUCCGGCCGUAAAUAAAGGGUUUGAGUGUCACAUCCUAGCUCGGGGCAGACCACUUCCCGGGCUCACUCCACUACCGUAGCAUGAUAUUGUCCGCUUUGGGCCCCGACCACGCCAUUACGGUUUUGUUUCUAGGAACUCACGAGCAACUUCCCAGUGGAUCACCCAUUAUGGGAGUGCUCUGGCCACCUUCUCGCUUAACUUCGGAGUUCCGAAGGAACCCGAAGCCAGUGAGCUCCCAAAAGGCCUCAUGCUAGAUAGGGAUGAGAAUAUACAUUUAAGGAUCACUCCCCUGGGCGAUGUGGGAUGUUACAAUCCACCCCCCUUAGGGGCCUGACGUCCUCGUCGGCACACUUCCGGCCAGGGAUUGGCUCUGAUACCAUUGUCACAUCCCGGCCCGGGGCAGAACACUUCCCGGGCCCGCUCCACCACCGUAGCACGAUAUUGUCCACUUUGGGCUUACCAUUCCCUCACGGUUUUGUUUUUGGGAACUCACGAGCAACUUCCCAGUGGGUCACCUAUCCUGGGAGUGCUCUGGCCCCCUUCUCGCUUAACUUCGGAGUUCCUACGGAACCCGAAGCCAGUGAACUCCCAAAAGGCCUCGUGAUAGGUAGGGAUGAGAAUAUACAUUUAAGUAUCACUCCUCUGAGCGAUGUGGGAUGUCACAAUCCAAUUGUAACAGUGUCAUGAUCAGACUUGUAAGACUGUCUUUAAUAAGAAGUUGUUGCGUUUUGUCAAAACUAGGUAUGGGCAACGGUUAUGGCGGGCGGGUAACCGCGGUUAAUUAUCCAUAACCGUUUAUUCUCAUACAUGCAUAACUGUUUACCCGUUGGGUAAUUGUCUAAACGGUUAUACCCAUACCCAUAACCGUUUAUAAACGGUUAACCAUAACCAUAACCGUGUACCCAUUUAACCGUAACCGUUUAGUACCCAUUUACCCAUUUAUCAUUUUUAAACCCGUUUAUCCUUUCUUUUUUACCAUUUACUCAUUUUUCACGCAUCUACGUGUUUUUUUAACAACUUGAAAAUUAAAAAAGAAAAAUUUGUCAUAAUUUUCUUUUUCUAACAAUUAAACACCGUUGUAGUAUUCAUCAUACAUUUCCGUAUUUUAAUUUUUAAGUCCUUAUACCAUUUCAAUAAUUGAAAUAAUAGUUUACAGACAAUAUUUUUAAUUGUUAGCAAUGAAGGUAAUAUAAAAUUUGCUAAGUAUUCUUUGGUUACGAAAACUGUUAAAAGACAGUAUUCUUGGGUUAUUUAACUCAGAAUGUAUAAUAUAUAUAAUGGACCAUGAAAUUUAAAGUGGUUAAGGAAAACUAUAUUAUAUUAGCUAUAGAAAUCAUGCACUAUAGUCAAUAGCAUUGAUCUAAGUUUUGUCCGAUAGUGAACAUGGUUUGUGUUAAUUUUACAUAUAUAAAAUAAAUGGGUAAAUGGUUACCCGUUUAUAACCACGGUUAAUACCCAUACCGCCCAUUUAAAUUUCACGAGUAAACGCCCAUAACUGUAACCGUGAAAUUUAAAUAGGCGGAUAACCGCAGUUACCCAUAACCAAUGAGUAUUUACCCAUCCCUAGUCAAAACCGGUCCAUCUAAUUACAAAUUGUAACCAUAUUAGUUGAGUGCAUAUGCUACAUCACAUUUAGUGAAUAUUCAGUACGGGUGACACAUGGUCAGACUUGUAGGUUGUUCAUUAAGAAGUUAGUUACCACGUUCUCAAGAGUGGAGCUAGAGGGGAGCACUUCCCUACCAAAGUGUUUUCCUUCUCCCCUUUGCAAGGGAUUUGUGUCACUAUUAGAUAGGAGAUUCAAACACAAGACCUUCAAUUGAGAGGUAAACGCUUUUACAAAGCUUCUACGAGCACCUUCUUGUUUACCAAACUUAUUGAGACUAAAGGAGGUCUUAACGCCAUUUUGGCUAAUACUAUUCUGUAUAUUUACGAAUGGUUUUAAGUUUGGGUUUAAUUGGAUAAUCAGAUAGUAGUGCAUCAAACUAUGGAUAUUCAGAAACCGAAAGCAUAAUUCAUAUUCCUCCAACAAGUCCACGCAAAUAACCACAAUCAGAAUGUUAGUUCAUAACUGGCCAUAUAGAACGCAGUACAAAAGCACUAAAAGCGUCCAAGUGAAAGUGCUUUCUCCUCAUGUAGUUUCAUUUAACUUAGUUUCACAUGCCACUCCGUCACACACUCAACUCCUCAACGUUCGGGCUCAAAGCAUUCUUUAUCCCUUCUGCACGAGAGACAAUAAGUUUAAAGUUCUUGUGAUGAAAUCAUGUAAAACAUUCAGAAAUCUUGAUUUAACCCUUUAUCAAGAUCAUAGGUUGUGUCAUCUCAACUUAUAUCUUAGGUCUUAUGAGUGCUCGUAAUACACUAAUAUGACACUUGUUUUCUGGCCAGGACAGAAACAAAAUCAUGCAGGAAAUUGUCAUGACAACUUCAGUGUAAAAUAAAGGUCGUACCCAGUGCACAAGGCUCCCGCUUUACGCAGGGUCUGGGAGAGGUGAAUGUCGGCUAACCUUACCCCCAUUUAUGGAGAGGCUGCUCCCAAACAACUUCAGUGUAAAAUGCGACCGGAAAAACACUAAACAAGAUUGCUAUGCUCUCUUAGUGUAAACCUUAACAACAAAGACUAUACCGUAUCUGUCACAGUGAUAUGCGACCAUAAGCCCAACUCCAAGAGCUUUGAAGGCUACAAAUCAAAAGUUACAUGCAGUGACGACAUAAUCAUGAAAAAAUACAAUCAUAAAUUAAAGGAAAACAUACCGACUUCUAGUUCUGGCAAUUCACUAUUGGGCCAUAUAUUUGAACCACAGUAUGAUGGAUACCUACAAUACAGAUCACAAAUAAAAUCUGAGCAGACACAAAGUAUUAUGUUCUGUUUACACAAAAUCUGUAAGUUCUCAAAUAGGAUAAAUAAAGAUAAACAUAUCCCAGCAUAAAGACGAUUUGUCCUGGCUAAUUCUAAGAAACCUUGUAUCAAAUGUAUGAUAGUUAUUCAUAACUAACACAAACAAUAGUUUUGCCGAACAUUUCUGGUCUGAGCCGUAUACUGUGUGACCUCAGACAAAACAGAUCCCACAUGGACCCAGAUUAUGAUUGAUGUCCCUAUAGACUUUUACCUUUGAAUUAGAGAUUCAUCUGUUGUAGGGCUUCCAAUAUUGGAUUUGCAUAAAACGAGCCUUUUAACGUAUCUGCAAAACCAGAACAGAAACGGAAAAUGAAUGAUCCUACGUUCUUAGAGUUUCCAAAGAAACAAAAUUUAAAACAAAGAACAUAAAGUGAUACCAGGCUUUCCAGAUUCCAGCUUCUCUUUUCCAUGACUCCAUCCAAAAUUGUACCUAAACAUGGAUGGCAGGUAAAAAGAAGAUAAGCAAUAAGACUUUGUAAAGAUUCCCAAGAAAAGCAAUAAAACUACGUAAAUAUUAGUUAAUAAUGCCAAGACCAUAGUCUGUGACAAAUCCAAGAGUUGAGAUGAGACUAUCUUUCAGGCAGGAAUUUUUGGAAUUUUUCUCUAUUGGGACUAAAAUGAAAGCAUAACAAUGGGACUAAAAUGACUUAGCUACUAUGAGGAUCUUCAAGUUCCUUCUUCACCUCUUCGGGCAGAUUGGCUAAUCUAAUAAACGAAAAGAAAACUCCCAUGAGCAGUGCUAUAACAAACUAUCUUCCUAAAUUCAUUAUGAAUUGCAGUUAAAACUUAAAAUGAACAUGAAAAUCCUACGUAGAAGGGAUAUACCUAGGUGACAAGCCUAGAAGAUUCUCACGCAAGGAAGAAUAUCCCGGAACCUACUGCCAUUAAGGUUGUUAUUAAUAUCAAUUCAUGUAUAUUUCCGCAUGUGUCAUAUUAUUAAGUUAGACAGUGAAAAAUAUAUAUCGGAUGUUAUGAGAAUAUGUGUGGCUGUCAAGCUUGACACGUGAAUAACAUGCUCUCUACUACUUUAUUACACUGUGAAGAUUUUAUCCAAAAUUAAUUGACGAUGAGCGAAUAAACUGAAAGAUUAUGCGCUACUUUGAUUAUGCAACGAGUGAAGAGGCAAUUUACGCCAACCUCCAGUCAAGAAUUUGGACUCACAAUCACUAGCCAAUAUGCUUUUUUCUCACAUUUCCCCUGACACGGCAAGUUCAUUGUUCAAUAUUCUGGUUCUGGUGUCCUAUGACCCUGACACGGCAAGUUCCACUUUUUGUUCAUUUUCUUGACGAAACCAUCACACUUACCCUUACGGCACGGCACGGUUCCGGGCAUAGAGCAUGGAUUGGGUUUCGUUGCAGUCCCGACACUACUUAGCACUGUAGAGAAGGAAAUACAAAGACAAGUUUGGAUUUCUUACAACGUAUUGAGUCUCUCGUCAUGGCUCUUGCUGUGUUGUUCUUAUUUCACAUCCUGUUUCUCGAGUUUGGUGUUUCCGGUUGCAAAUUUGGUUCGGCAGUGUAGUGCUCAAGAGAGGGGACUGUCUCACAUUGUUCCAAGCAGACACAGGCGGUUGACAACGAUUGCGAUAAUGUGUUUUUCUACUGGGAGAACAUACAGCAGUCAGCAGUCAUCUUUUCACAACCGUCUUCAGUAUUUGGAGGCACCUCAAGAAAUUAUCAAGGACAAACGAAUGUAGAAAAGAAGAAAUAUCGAAGUUAGUUGACAAAAGGGGCCGAAAAAUUGUGAGAUACAGAGAAGAAGAUUAGACGAAACUCGAUGCAAAUUUUAAGCUAGAUUAGUUAUUUUUCAUUAACGAGCGAUACAGAGAAGAAGAAACAGCUGCAUUUGGAGAAAGCUGCUUUAGUUGCCUAGUUUGUAACAUUAGCUUUCUGUAAUUCCGGGGAAGAAACAGGAGUAAAAAAAAAACACAAUCAGGCAGUACCAAAAAAGAAAAAUGUACAAUUAGGAACAAUCGCCACUUCUCAAACUUUGUAGUAGAUCCAGGUAUCUGAUGGACUCGGGGCUAAUGUACCUGCAUUAACAAGAAACAAAAAUCAGAUUUGUGGAAGGGAGUCACAUAGUGGUUAAAAUACUUGGCCGUGCAUGAAUGGUUUGAGAUACCAUCAUAGAGGCAUCCUCCAGGUGUGAGUUUCUCUCGUAUCUGAUCACUUAUUAUAAGAAUAUCAGUAGUGAAAGUGAAAUACCCGUGUCGGGAAAGGAAGUCAAUGAUGACAAAAGAGCAAUUUGGCUUGAAAUAUUGUGUCCUCCGUAUGAUGCUUGCAACAUGCAUCACCGAAUCCACUUGAAGCUCUCCACCUCUCCAUCUGUUAAAUGUUUCAUAAGCAGCAUUGUUAAAGUUCUCUCUAUUUGGGGGGAUAUUGCAGAUGGUUUUGAAUGAAGAAAGGCAAAAAUUCAUGCAGAAGGCAUAAUUUACAACUAGUUUUGUAAAAGCUAAGCUCUAAAGGUCUCACCUUGAUUCUUUGGCACAAAUAGCUAAAGUUUUGAGAUGGGACAAAAUGGGUCCCAAGACCCACAUACAGCGCAUCCGAUGGUGUUGAAAUCCUUUUCCCAGUAAGUCAAAGAUAAGCGCCAAGAAAGACAUGACAGUGUUAAACUUAAAACAAAUACAGAACUAAGAAUUGAUGCAUGAAUCAAACAGAGAAAUGGUACAGGCCAUUCUCUUUAUAUUCUUAUAAUCUAAACAUUUCUCCUUAUCAACACUGGAAAAACAGCUUGCUUCAGUCAUAGGAAAUAAAUUGCGCCUGGAGUAUAGAAAAGACAUACCUACAGAUCCUCCUCCUGGACUCUUUGCCGCUAUACGUGAAAACCCAACAUCUGGGAACAAACAAAUUACAUUCUCUGCCAUAGCAAGAACAGUCCUCUGAAAUGUAUCCAUACAAAGUUAAGACACAAAAAAUUCAAAAAGGCAAUGUAAUUCACAACAUUGACAAUCUCUGUCUGACAAGGCAAUAAUACCUCUGUAAUGAUCUGGUAGUGACCGUGACCUGAUAGGCCAACACCAAAGCCCAUUGUUAUGCCAUCCAUGAAGAUAGGGCUUCUUGUACUCAGAGAUUUUGCAUAUUAGAGAAUACUCAGCAGUGAAUACCUGAAAAACAUGCAGCACAAGUAUCAUACCGGUAGCCUCUCAAUCUUAAGAAAUGGUAGCUUAGAAAAGAUAUGAAUCCUAUCCAACCAAUACAAAUCAUAUUACCCAAGUUCAAGCAAAAUCACGACUAAACAAAUGAUCAGAUGUUGUAGGUUGCCCGAGAAUGUCAAACAUGAAAUUACAAAAGAAAAAAAAACAAUCGUAUGUAUUGAACAUUAAUAAAUACUUGCUGAAAGCACAAUCUUAGCUGCAAUUUAUGACAUUUAUACGAGAUUGAAUAGCCAAAGCAAUUAAAGAAGUAGCAGAACUCAUAUAAGUGAUUUUCACUUUGAACUUUUAGGCUUAUCAGCAAAUACAUCAUUACGAUUCUAACGCAUGAAUUUUGUUAAAAGGGGCUUGCUUGCUUGUAUUAAGGCUUAAUCAUCAAUGAUUUUGCAAGGGUCAAUCGUCUUGCUAGUUGUAAAUCCAUGCACUAUGAAAAUUACCAAAAUUACAUCUUAUAUGGUAGAGAAGGAAGUCAUCUUAUAUUAUCUGGAUUUUAGAAGACGGUGUAAGGUUAUAAGUCUGUUAUUCUAUAUAGUUUAAAGGACACAAUUAGACAACAAUCAUAUUCGGUGGUUGGUUUUUGGCCGUGAUCUGCUUCACAUCACCGCCCGCAGGUAAUCUAAAUCUGGGUUAUUACUUAUCAAUGAAUCAAAGUGCCAACUUAUCGGACACCAACUAUCUCUCUAUGGCAAAAAAAUAACACAAAAAGGAACAAUGAAGUGAAACAAUAAACAACAUGACAUGAAACAGCACAAACAUCAAAGACCAACAAUCUAUCACAUAAGCACCUAAACAAGAAACAACUUUAGUUCAAAGCAAAGCGUAAUGUAGAAACCUUCAGCACAAGAGGCGUGUUUUUGUCCUUUUGAAUUUCGGCAACAACAACUUUAAUAUCCUUACCUGCAUUUACCAUGAUUGGUCACUCUCAAAACCUUACCUAAGAGACCCAAAAACCAAAAUAACUGCUAAAAGAGCUGAACAUACAUAUCUAGAAAAACUUAUUCAACUACAUGCUAAAAUGGAAGUGUAAAAUUGCCAGGAAAGAUAAGAAACUAUUCAAAUACGAGUUCUGGGCGUUACCGCCACAAAAGGCACGAGCCGAGCGGCUAUCAACAAGAACACACUUCACAUUUGGGUCAGAUUCCCAUUCAUCCAGAUAGCUCUUGUAUUUCACAUCCAAAUCUGCAUUUUCCAACAAUUCCCACUUAAACAGAAACACAAAAUUCUUCCAAAAAGAGCUAACUUCUUUGAAAUUUGAAUCCAACGUUUCGUCUUAUAACAAAUGCAAUAACAUAGAUUUGUAAUCAAUACGAUGCCAUAAAGUUCAAGCUCAAAAAUUCAAAUCAUCUCCAAAUCAAAAGCAAUUACAGAUAUAUACAUAUAUACAUAUGCGUGUGUGUGUUUAUCUACAUACCUAGGUUUAUGGCGUUGAGAGCUCGGGGGGCGACCGAGGGUGAUGACGGCGACGCCAAAGGUGCGGAGAAGGCGAGGGGAUUUGGAGGGUUUUGUAAAGAGGGGAUUUGCUCAGAAUUUGGGUCGCUCGUCCCUCUUAUGAGAGUGAUUCAAAAAUCGAAAAAGUUGAAAUUUAUUGAUUGUGAUCUGACUCAAACAUGUGAUGAUGACGAUGCAUCACAACCUUGGUUGUGCCUCUGGAUCAAAAUCCUGUUCCAUCAAAUUCGUGCUCAUUUUCCUUCAUAGGUUUGUCCCAUACUAGAUUAACCCCUGUUCCCUUAAUUGUCACAUUACCAUAUUUACUGUAUGGCUCUGGCAUUUCAAAAGUUAUAUCAACUUUAUCCCCGCUUUGCAAAUUGAGCUUAUCAUUCGAUAUUUGUCCCUGCCAAAGAUAACAUUUUCCAGAUACAUUGCACAUUUUUAUAACCCAAUCUUCUUUGCCUAUGUAGGUCUGCAACUCAGUACGCUUGGUAUUAUUUAUAUCAAUAUUGGCACGAGGAUGACAUUCUCCACAACUGGCAUAAGGGCUUCUUGACUCAUUAGUAUUUGAGCAGUAAAAGCAUAAUAGAGUCAGUCCUUCCAAAUUACGACCAUCACUCGGGAGGAUAUCAAAACUGACUUUAUUACCAUCGUUGACAAACUCGAACCAAUCAGGAACAUAAUUCCCAUUGAGAAAAAUGCCAUCACUUGGGAGGAUAUCAAAACUGACUUUAUUACCAUCGUUGACAAACUCAAACCAAUCAGGAACAUCAGGAACAUAAUUCCCAUUGAGAAAAAUGCCAUCACUCGGGAGGAUAUCAAAACUGACUUUAUUACCAUCGUUGACAAACUUGAACCAAUCAGGAACAUAUUUCCCUUUGAAAAAAAUAUCCGCAAGAAGUCCAUCCCUACAUAUACAGUGCAAGUGUCAUAUUUAUAUAUAUACACACACACAAUGUACAUGUGCGUUGUGUGUGUGCAUGUGCGCAAUAGGAAGACAAUUAAAGAGAGAUACCUUUAGGACGUUACUCAUAAAACCAGCGGUGAGUUUGGGGCAGUACCUCAUAUUAAAAUGUCGUGGAGUUUAAUGACUUAUCCAAGUCUGGAACCUCAGUGAGUGCGCGUGAAUCACAUACAUGUAGCUCUCUCAUAUUCGACAUUUUCGAAAAAUUGGGCAUUGUUACCAAACGGGAGCAAUCAGACGCAUACAGAAAUUUCAAAUUUGUUGGUAAACCAUAGAUUGUAUGAAGGUUACGGCAGUAAUUUAACUGCAAACGUUCAAGCUUUGAAAAACCAAUGAGGCUGGGUAAGGUAUGAAAAUCAUUACAUGUGAGACACAAAUCUUGCAAAGAAAUUAGACUCCCAAAAUCUUUUGGGAAUGCAUCAUCGCUUAAGCGCUGGAAUGAGAGAUCUAAAUUUCUUAAAGAGUCUAAGCCGUGUAACGAAUUGGGAAAUUGUGUGACAUGCCCCCUUAAAAUGAAAUCAGUGGUAAACCAUGAUUUCCGUAGAAAUAAAUGAGUGAGAUUCUUCAAUCUUACUGUGGAACGCGGUACUUGUCUUAUGGCUGUUUCAGACGCUUUAAGUACUCUCAAUGAUAUCAUCUUCCCUAAAUCCUCGGGCAGUUCAUUGAAUCGCCUACAAAAAUCAAGAACAAGAGUCUGAACGGAUUUGGACUUGUAGAAAUCCCCAGGAAGAGAAAUAAGAUUAUGGCAGCAUGUGAGGUUCACCAAAGAAAGUUUUUUAAGCUGACCAAUGGAGGGGUGAAUCUCGAACAAACUCUCACACCUUCCCAAUAUCAACUCUUCAAGACUUGGGAGAUUUGAUAAGUCUGGUGAUUUUUUUAAGUCACAGCAAUUACUGAGAUUAAGGAUUUUCAAGUUUUCAAGCGACUGUUGCACAAAAUCCAAAAGGUCAUACCCAGUGCACAAGGCUCCCGCUUUACGCAGGGUCUGGGAGAGGUGAAUGUCGGCUAGCCUUACCCCCAUUUAUGGAGAGGCUGCUCCCAAGUCUCGAACCCGAGACCUACCGCUUAUGGGCGAAGGCAUUUGUCAUCGCACCAAGUGCGACCUCUUUGGGGAAAUCCAAGAAAAAUUAAAAUUAAUAUCCAAAAGGAAUAUCUCAUAAAAUAAAUAAAUAAAUAAAUAAAUAAAGAGAGAAGGAAAUCCAAAAACAAAUAGAAACUUAACAUCAUCAUGUGUAAUCGAUUGUACCUUGGAGCCCUCCCAAACUUGUACCAGUUUGCUAUGCUUUAUCUCUAAAAUAACUAGUGUUCUUGGUUGAUCAAAGAAGUCAUCUGGUAUGGACUCUAAAAGGUAUCCUUCCCAACGCAACCAUACUAACUCUUUGGGGAGAUGUUUGUAUUCUCCAUUGAGCUGCACGUUCUGGAGCAUGAGCAGUCUCAGUUUCUUCAUAUUAGCAAAUGCUUCUGUACUGAUACAACUAGACUUUAAAGGGAAUUCUCCACGGAGCUGCACGCGGUGGAUCAGUCCCAGUUCCCUCGAAUUGGUAGGGAAACUUACAACAAGUCCUUCAACUUCUUUAGUUCCCUGUUAACAACACAUUAUACUGGGUAAGAAAAGGAUUAUGUGCAUCUAUUUUACGUGAUUUUGCUAAUUGAGCUUCUUAAUGCAAAUACAUAUAUUUACACAUGAAUUUUUUAAUGUAUAAUAGGCAUACGUGGGUUACAUAUAUGCUUUUCUUGUACGAUGCAUUAAUACAAAUUUUUUUUGGGAAUCUACUUACAGAUUUAUUUGUUAGUACAUCAUAGACAUCUCCAGGGAUCCACAACCUGCUCCAUUCUCCAGGGGGACGAGUGGAUUUUUCAGAAAUGAUUAAUUUGGCCAUUUCUCGAAGCAAAUCAUGCAUAUUCAACUUCUUGUCUUCAACAGUUAUAAGGCAUCGUUCACGGAGGUUACUGAUUCCUAUUGUUGCAAAAAACUUACAUUCAUCUAAUAUUUUUGCGACAUCGUCCUUAUCCCAUCCAAUAAAGAAACAAGAUAUGUCAAGGAAUAUAUCCUUCUGCGUAGGAUCUAGCCUUUCAAAGCUUACUUUUAGCGGUUUCAUUAUUCCUUCAUCAUGAAAUUUUUUCAAUUUCUUCAAUUGACUUUUCCACUCUGCUGGGGUUCUUUCAGUCAUAGAAGAACCUAAAACUUCAAGGGCUAGUGGCAAACCACCACAGUAAGAAACCACCUCUUUUGAGAGUUCAAGAUAUCCUUCAUUAGGCCAACUAUUUCCAAAGGCAUGCCAACUAAAGAGCAUCAGGGCUUCUUCUUCAUUCAUUUCUUGAAGCGGAUAUGUCUUGUCCACUUUCAUGUUCACUUGCUUUAGUAAACGUUCAUCUCGUGUCGUUAUGAUAAUUCUACUUCCUGGGCCAAACCAAUCACGAUUUCCAGCCAUUGCAUUUAGUUGUUCCACUUUGUCUACAUUGUCAACAAUGACAAAUACGCUUCUACGUCGGAGAUGAUUUUUUAUCAGACUGAUACCUCCAUCAACACUGGUUAUCUUAUUAGACUCGGUCUGUUUCAAGAUGUCAGAAACAAGUUUUCUUUGCAAAUCAACCAGAUCAUAUUCGCUAACGUUGGCAAGGAAACUUUUGAACUGGAACUUAUGAUGAAUUUGGUUAUAAAUGGCUUUGGCAGCUGUUGUUUUACCCAAUCCACCCAUCCCCCAAAUUCCAACCAUGCGUACAUCUGAUCCACCAUUUGAAAGAUAAGUGAUGAUAUCUUGAAUGCGGGUAUAUAUUCCAACUGGGUGCUUGGCCACAUGUAAUUUUUCUGCGCUCGGAAGCCAUUCCGGGAUAAUCUUGUCAACAAUUUCUCUAAUAAGCUUUGCUUCGCGCCUGAAAAUUGAAUUCGUAAGCGUUAGUGGGACUCAAUGAACAGUAGGAGCUAUCAGUACAUAGACAAUUGUCUUUACUUCAUAAAAGAAAGAAAUUCAUUCACUAAAAUGUUUCAAAACUUGAAAAGCAGGUGAAUGAUUACCCAUUGUUAGUGAUUUGAAGAUGUUGGCCAAACAAAUUUGCAGCUUCUGUAAGAGCCUUUCUCCAUUGCUUUACCCUUUCUUGUUUAGCUUCACGUUCCUUGUCAUCUUUUUCUUCAUGGAUGCCCUCUUCGUGCUUCUGAAAUGCUUGAGCUAAAUCUCCGUUCUGCUUCCUAAUGUGAAGGAUCAACAUGAUAGAAUAUUGGCAAAACACGUCGCCCCAGUUUGUAUCUGCACUCCAUGAUCUUCACCAGCUCGUCAAGACACCAACUCGAGUCCGCAUAACUCUUUGAGAAGACAAUGAUAGAGAUCCUCGCCUCUUUGAUUGCCCGGACCAGUUCCUCUUUUAUUUCUUCCCCUCUUUCUAGAUCGUCCUCAUCGAUAUAAGCCUGGUAUCCCCUGUCAGUUAAUGCCGCAUGGAGGUGGCCCGUGAAACCAUUGCGUGUGUCUACACCGCUGAAUCUCAAGAACAUGUCGUAAUUCCAAAGUUUUGACUUGGAGGACGAUGAAGAGGAGGCUUCGUGGGUCGUCAUGGCGGUAUCCACCGUUAUGGCACUGCAGUGGUUCAGAUCACGACUGAAAAAUGGCAGUAGUUGUGCUCAUGCUGUCGAACGAAUGAUCCUGAAAUACCUAAAACCCAAGUCAAGCUCCUUCAGUCAACAAGAAUAAAGUUUUAAUAUAAUAAUGUUGGUGUAUGGACUUGAGAAACGACAUAAUGUUGGCCGGAAAGUGCAGAGAAAGAGAGAGGAAAAGAGGAACAAAAGGAGAAAGACUAUCCAAAUGAUUCUUGGCUGUGAUUACAGCUAUUCAUAGGAGAAACAACGUACAUAUUUUCAUAGGAGAAACAACUUGCCCAUCUUCAUAUAUAAUACAUUUCAACAGACAUAUUUUAAUAGGAGAAACUAGGGGUGGGCAAACGGGUCCAGGAACCGCAGGUCGGGGCGGGUAAUGGCGGUUCAGGGCGGGUACAGGCCGGGUCUUAUUUUUUUAAAGAAGAAACGGGGUGGGGGCGGGGAGGUGGUAUUUAUGGGGCGGGUCGAGUUCAAAUUUGUACAAGCAUGGGGCCCCGGGCCGACCCGUUCCUAAAAUGGACUGAUUGGAACCUGGACAAUAUGUUGUGGGCUUACUACACAAGGCAAUGGCCCAUGUGGGCUUACUGCUCGAAUACUCUAGAAACUAUGAUCCGACUCCUAUCUCUCCUGGAUCGAUCCCCAAAUCCCACUACUCUCUCUCCUCGUCGGCAUCACCGAACACAGAACCACCGAUUCACCACCAUCGUCACCCAUCACCGCCGUGGCGACCAUCACCAUCGCAGACGCUAUUAACCGUUAGUUUCACCCUAGGUCUCCCCUAUGUCUAUCACUCAAGUCCUCGAUCGUUUCUCUCCCGCGUGCGUCAUUCCCUCCACGGUUCUUCCACUACACUCUGUCACUCUCCGUCACUCUCCGUCAGUCACCUCCUCCACCACCCCGACAUCAACCCCGUCGCGAGUCUGGGCCCUGGCGACCACCACGACGAGCCAGCAACCUCGAUUGUCUUCCUCGAGUCCUCGAUGGCAUCCCAGAUUUAGAGAACUUUAGGGUUCUCUUUCUCCCUCCCACCCCUCGAAUCGACUGCGUCGACAUCAAAUCAGCCACCACACGAGUCACGAGGCUUCAAAUUCGGCUGGUGACUGCCCAAUCUGGUGCGACUCAACCGAUUCCGAGCGCUCUUGACUCUGUCGACGAAGAAGAAGAAGAGAAGAAAAAAAAAAAUAACCCGUGGACCCGGGCCGGGUUAGGUCAGGUUUCUGUGUUAAAAUUAGUUGUACCCGCCCCUGCCCGACCUGUUUCUUUUAAACCUGGGUCCGGCCGGUCCCUUCAAAAUUGGGCCCGGCCCUGGGCCCGGCCCGGCCCAUGCCCAGCCCUAGGAGAAACAACUUUAGUUUUUACUAGAAAUUUUUACCCACACGUUGCUACAGGAUUUGAAAUUGUAUAAAAGAUUAUCUUUGAAAUAUAUAAUAGAUUGUGUGAUUGAAGAUUAAUACUAUUUACACUGAAAACGUUGGGAAAAGUUUUACAUACAAAAGAUUUUACAAUACAAUCCACAUACAAAAGAUGGUAAAUUUUUUUCUAUCUACAUGCAUUAUGUUAUGGAAUGAUAUAUAUAUAACUAAGUUCCAGAAUACGUAAAUUUCAUAAUUUCGAAUUUUUUUGACAAAUUAAUCAGAUUCAACUGUGGGAUAGAAAGGUCGCCUAUAAAGUUGUGAAGUCGUGGAAGCAUAAAGGACAAAUAACAAAUGAGUUUUGAGAAAUUAUUCCACAAAAGUCAUUUUGCAAAAUGCAAAUGUAUUAAAGACGAUUGGUACAAGAUUAGUAAUCAUAAGUAGUGUAACAACAUCAACAAAAUAACUAUAAACCAUAGUUGAACAUAAUUCAAAUUUCGUUUGCAAAAACAAAAGAAAAAGAAAGAAAACAUACUUACAAUAAUUCAGCCUUUAAUCCUAAAGUCCUACUCAAAGAUCCAAACUUGAAUGCAAGCUUUCUGAAAUCUUCCAAACAAUACAGAUAAAAAGGUAACACCCUAGUCAGAAAUGAACCAAGGUGCGAGCUUUCUUAGAAACUCAGAUGAAAAAAUCAACAAAAUAGAAUGAAAAAAUGACUUACACUUUUAAGGCAUGCUCGAAUCGUGAUCUAAAAUUGGUGGUGGGUCGAUUGUUGGUCACCAACUCUAAAUGAAGAAUUCAUCAGAACCUAGAAAUUUAACAAAGAAUUUUCCAAAAUCAACAUUUACUAAAAACCAGUUACUUGGUUAUCAUGCAUGAUGGCUUGCCAAAGACUAAAUUAAGGAAUGCACAACUUUACCUUUAUGAUAUUUUCAAUGACAGCUAAAAGGUCAGAUUCAAAUGAAAAUAAAAGUUAGGACUUCACAAAACCAAUUAAAAAUCUAAUUCCAAAGUUACAAACACCAACCAAAUGAUUCCAGAUAAAGUUUUAAACUCAAAGUCAGACCCAAAUGAAAUUAAAAGUUAGGACUUCACAAAACCAAUUGAAAAUCUGAUUCCAAAGUUCCAAACACCCACCAAAUGAUUCUGGAUAAAGUUUAAACUCAAAAACCCAACAGAAACAAAAACCCAAAGUUCCAAACACCCACCAAUUGGUGUGACUUAAUUGUAUCUAAUUGAAGAAACUAAAACAAAAAUAAAGCAAAGUAUAUACCUCAAAAUAUCAACCAACUAAGUUCUUCCUCCGACAACCCAAAACUCUGAAAAUUCCACACAAAAAGGGUAAAUCCGUAAGCAAUUCAUAGCUUUCAAAAUUAACAAAAACUUGGGCAACAAUAAAGACACGUUGAGAACCAUCACUCUUUCUCCUUGUGUAUUUGAAAAUAUAUUUUAUAAGCAGUUUAUGUAGUCAUUCUGAUCAUGUUGCAGUUAAAUUCCUUUUCCACAGAGUUCAAAAUUAUAUGGCAGUUUAUGGCAUCUGUUGAACAACAUGGUUGAAAGAUUUAAAAUUGAUACAUUCAAUUUUUAUGUGUAAAACUAUAACAUAUACCUAAAGCUAUUUGGUCUAUAUAUCCAUAUCAAUCAUGUUGUAAUUAAAUGUUUAUCGAUGUAAAUAGAUGAUUUCAGUCAUGUGAUAACAUGUUUCUUGUUAGUAUACGCUGAAGUUUGGUCUAAGUUGGAUAAAAAUCGACCAAAAUCUUAGUAAGAGACUCUUUUAACUUUUAACCAAAAAAUGAGCACCACAAUACUACACUCAUAAGUUUUAUCAUGCACAAAAUAUACAACACUGAUAGCCACUUUUAGAGCAAGAACAAUACUUUACCAGACGAAAACAACAAAACACUCAAAACCCAGAAACAGAAACACACUUAGGACUCAAACUCCUCAAAAACAUAAGAAAGAGAGUGCAUGAGGAGAGAGAAUAAAAAAAAAUAUUAUUUUUCACAAACUCAAAAUUGCUUAUAAAAUUACAAAUCAAAACAAAUGAAUGCAAAUCCAAAAUUGCCCUAAAUUAAAUCUGUUUAGUUAAAUGUUUGUUGCCCUUCAAAUGUCAUUACACCUGACAAUUGCUUUGAAGUUGAUAUUUUGGUCAAUCCAGGGGAAAAGGAGUUAUUUCUUUUGGAGCAGUUGUCAUGGAGAAUCCCAUCUCCAUGUUGAAUGAUCUAAAAAAUUACUUACAUCUUCUGGUGGCCACAAUAAUUUAGGAGGCCCUUCUCUCCAGAUUUUCUCAAUAACUUUGCUUUUCGUAGCUGGUAAGAUUGCAACUCCAAGAAUUGCUCUGAAGAGAUAUAUACAAACAAAAUCAACCUAAAACUAAGCUAUUGGAACAAAUUUGGAAAACACAAACACCACUACAACUCAGAGUUAAAGUCAAUAGAAACCAAAUGGGAGAAGUUGAAAAAAUAUAUGGUCAUGAAUCGAGAACUUCAUCAAACUAACAGCAAUAAAAUCUCAUAUAAUCUGUCUAAAACCAAAAGAGAGAGAGAGGUAAUUUCAAGACCUUGUAACGCUAAGGCCUCGUACAGUUGUAGUAAUAAUAUAUGGUUGAUGCACCUGUUGCUCAAUCAAAUCCUUUGUCUGGCUAAAAAAAUAAAAAUCUAUAAAUACAUUCACGUCCAAUUUAUGAGAAAUCAUGGGAAAGCAAAUGCACUGAUAACGGAAUCAUGAAUAUGAAGAACUUGCCAAAAAGAAAAAGAAAACUUCUUAUAGUGUGCCAAGAACAUCCUCCUACUCCUAGCAAAUUUUUUAUGGCAUUAUCCACUUCUCAAUUCAUAAUUCAACCAGUAACUCAAAGUCUAUAGUGUAUGAAAAAGUGAUAUCUUAGUUGAUCACGAUGAUAAUUAAGCAGAUUAAAUGACGACCCAUAAAGCAUACAAAUUCAGAAAAGAAAAGGUUCAAAACUGCCAUAAGAAAACACAGAAUAUAUAAACGGGAAAUCAAAAGAAGAGAAGCGAAAAGGAAGAAAAAACCAAACAAAAUUAUUAGGUUUGUGAUAUACCUUUAUCCGAAACGCCACAAUCAUCAAAGUCAAACAUAAACAAUCCAAAAAUUUGUGGAAAAUAACAAUAAAUGCUUAACUAAAAACGAAAGAAAACGUAGAAUAAGUUUACAUGUUCUCCCCCUAAUUAAACUGGAAUACAAUUCACCACUAAUAUUCUCGUCAUCCUCUUCAGCCUGAAAAAUUUAGUAGAAAUAUUCAAUGAAGACGCUUAAUGGAGACAGUAAUAUUAGCAAUGGAGGAAUUGAAUUGAUAACUAAAACUGCAAGACCAAAUGACUACAAUAGGUUCACAACAGAAACUCGUCUGUUAGAUGUCUCAUCUUUAGGCAGUGCCUUGUUCUUUUUUUUUCUUUUUUGUCCUUUUGAAUUUCGGCAACAACAACUUUAAUAUCCUUACCUGCAUUUACCAUGAUUGGUCACUCUCAAAACCUUACCUAAGAGACCCAAAAACCAAAAUAACUGCCAAAAGAGCUGAACAUACAUAUCUAGAAAAACUUAUUCAACUACAUGCUAAAAUGGAAGUGUAAAAUUGCCAGGAAAGAUAAGAAACUAUUCAAAUACGAGUUCUGGGCGUUACUGCCACAAAAGGCACGAGCCGAGCGGCUAUCAACAAGAACACACUUCACAUUUGGGUCAGAUUCCCAUUCAUCCAGAUAGCUCUUGUAUUUCACAUCCAAAUCUGCAUUUUCCAACAAUUCCCACUUAAACAGAAACACAAAAUUCUUCCAAAAAGAGCUAACUUCUUCGAAAUUUGAAUCUAACGUUUCGUCUUAUAACAAAUGCAAUAACAUAGACUUGUAAUCAAUACGAUGCCAUAAAGUUCAAGCUCAAAAAUUCAAAUCAUCUCCAAAUCAAAAGCAAUUACAGAUAUACACAUGUAUACAUAUGCGUUUGUGUGUUUAUCUACAUACCUAGGUUUAUGGCGUUGAGAGCUCGGGGGGCGACCGAGGGUGAUGACGGCGACGCCAAAGGUGCGGAGAAGGCGAGGGGAUUUGCUCAGAAUUUGGGUCGCUCGUCCCUCUUAUGAGAGUGACUCAAAAAUCGAAAAAGUUGAAAUUUAUUGAUUGUGAUCUGACUCAAACAUGUGAUGAUGACGAUGCAUCACCACCUUGGUUGUGCCUCUGGAUCAAAAACCCACCAUCACCAUCAAAAUCGUGCUCAUUUUCCUUCAUAGGUUUGUCCCAUACUAGAUUAACCCCUGUUCCCUUAAUUGUCACAUUAUCUAAUGUAACGUAUGGCUCUGGCAUUUCAAAAGUUAUAUCAACUGUAUCCCCGCUUUGCAAAUUGAGCUUAUCGUUCGAUAUUUGUCCCUGCCAAAGAAAACAUUCUUUAUAUACAACAUCGCGCAUGAGGUUUUUUCUUUUUUUGGCGUAACAAUCGCGCAUUUUUAUAACCCAAUCUUCCUUGCUUAUGCAGGUCCGCAACUCAGUACGCUUGGUAUUAUUUAUAUCAAUCCUGGCAAGAGGAUGACUAUCUUUACAUCUGAUAUAAGGGCCGAACUGAGAAGGACUUGAGCAAUAAAAGCAUAACAGAGUCAGCCCUUCAAAAUUACAACCAUCACUCGGGGGGAUAUCAAAAGUGAUUUUAUUACCAUCGUUGACAAACUCGAACCAAUCAGGAACAUAAUUCCCAUUGAGAAAAAUGCCACCAUAUCCGCAAGAAGUCCAUCCCUAUAUACACAGUGCAAGUGUCAUAUAUAUAUACAUGUACAUGUGCGUUGUGUGUGUGCAUGUGCCCAAUAGGAAGACAAUUAAAGAGAGAGAUACCUUUAGGACUUUCCUCAUAAAAUCAGCGGUGAGUUCGGCGCAAUACGUCAUAUCAAUCCAUGUCAUGGAGUUUAAUGACUUAUCCAAGUCUGGAACCUCAGUGAGUGCAUGUGAAUCACGUACAUUUAGCUCUCUUAUAUUCGACAUUUUCGAAAAAUUUGGCAUUGUUAUCAAACGAUAGCAACGAGACGCAUCCAGAAAUUUCAAAUUUGUUGGUAAACCAUAGAUUGUAUGAAGGUUAUGGCAGUAACCUAACCACAAAUUUUCAAGCUUUGAAAGACCACUGAGGCUGGGUAGGGUAUGAAAAUCAUUAGAUGAGAGAUCUAAAUUUCUUAAAAAGUCUAAGCUGAGUAACGAAUCGGGAAAUUGCAAAUGAGUGAGAUUCGUCAAUCCUAGAGAUAAAUGAGUGAGAUUCUUCAAUCUUACUGUGGAACGCGGUACUUGUCUUAUGGCUGUCUCAUAUGCUUUAAGUACUCUCAAUGAUAUCAUAUUCCCUAAAUCCUCGGACAGUUCACUGAAUUGCCCACAAAAAAUCAAGAACAAGAGUCUGAACGGAUUUGGACCUGUAGAAAUCCCCAGGAAGAGAAAUAAGAUUCUUGCAGCCUGUGAGGUUCACCAAAGAAAGUUUUUUAAGAUGACCAAUGGAGGGGUGAAUCUCGGACAAACUCUCACACCAUUCCAAUAUCAACUCUUCAAGACUUGGGAGAUUUGAUAAGUCUGGUGAUUUUUCUAAGUCAGAGCAACCACUGAAAUCAAGGAUUUUCAAGUUUUUAAGCGACUGUUGCACAAAAUCCAAGAAAAAUUAAAAUUAAUAUCCAAAAGGAAUAUCUCAUAAAAUAAAUAAAUAAAGAGAGAAGGAAAUCCAAAAACAAAUAGAAACUUAACAUCAUCAUGUGUAAUCGAUUGUACCUUCGAGCCCUCCCAAACUUGUACCAGUUUGCUAUACUUUAUCUCUAAAAUAACUAGUCUUGGUUGAUCAAAGAAGUCAUCUGGUAUGGACUUUAAAGGGCAUUCAUUCCAACACAACCAUAUUAACUCUUUGGGGAGAUGUUUGUAUUCUCCAUUGAGUUGCACGUUGUAGAGCUGGAGCAGUCUCAGUUUCUUCAUAUUGGCAAAUGCUUCUGUACUGAUACUUGGAGACAGAAGAUCAGGGAAACCUACAACAAGUCCUUCAACUUCUUUAGUUCCCUGUUAACAACACAUUAUACUGGGUAAGAAAAGGAUUAUGUGCAUCUAUUUUACGUGAUUUUGCUAAUUGAGCUUCUUAAUGCGAAUACAUAUAUUUACACAUAAAGGUCGUACCCAGUGCACAAGGCUCCCGCUUUACGCAGGGUCUGGGAGAGGUGAAUGUCGGCUAGCCUUACCCCCAUUUAUGGAGAGGCUGCUCCCAAGUCUCGAACCCGAGACCUACCGCUCAUGGGCGAAGGCACUUGCCAUCGCACCAAGUGCGACCUCUGAAUACAUAUAUUUACACAUAAAUGUUUUUAAUGUAUGACAGCUAUACGUGGGUUACAUAUUUGCUUUUCUUGUACGAUGCAUUAAUACAAAAUUUUAUAGGGAAUGUACUUACAGAUUUAUCUCUCAAUACAUCAGUGACCUCCUGCUGGUUCCACAACCUACUCCAUUCUCCAGGGUGACGAGGGGAUUUUUCAGAAAUGAUUAAUUUGGCCAUUUCUCGAAGCAAAUCAUGUAUAUUCAACUUGUUGUCUUCAACAGUUAUAAGGCAUCAUUCACGAAGGACACUCAUUCCUAUUGUCGCAAAAAAGUCACAUCCAUCUAAUAUUUUUGUGACAUAGUCAUUAUCCCAUCCAAUGAAGAAACAAGAUAUGUCAAGGAAUAUAGCCUUCUGUUUAUCAUCUAGCCCUUCAAAGCUUAUUCUUAGUCGUUGUAUUAUUUCUCCUUCAGGAGUUGUUUUCAAUUUUACCAAUUGAUUUUCCCACUCUGCUAUGGUUCUUCCAAUUAAAAAAGUGCCUAAAACUUCAAGUGCUAGUGGCAAACCUCCACAGUAAGAAACGAUCUUCCUUGAGAGUUCAAGAUAUCCUUCAUUAGGCCAACAAUUUCUAAAGGCAUGCCAACUAAAGAGCUCCAGAGCUUCUUCUUCAUUCAUUUUAUGAAGCGGAUAUAUCUUGUCCACUCCAACUUGGCGUAGUAAAUGUUCAUCUCGUGUCGUUAUGAUAAUUCUACUUCCUAAGCCAAACCAAUCACAAUUUCCAGCUAUUGCAUUUAGUUGUUUCAUUUUGUCUACAUUGUCAAUAAUGACAAGUACGCUUCUACGUUGGAGAUGAUAUUUUAUCAGGCCGAUACCUUCAUCAACACUGGUUAUCUCAGGCUUGGUCUGUUUCAAGAUGUCAGAAACAAGUUUUUUUUGCGAAACAACCAGAUCUUUUUCACUAACGUUGUCAAGGAAACUUUUGAAUUGGAACUCAUGAUGAAUUUUGUUAUAAAUGGCUUUGGCAGCUGUUGUUUUACCCAAUCCACCCAUCCCCCCAAAUUCCAACCAUGCGAACAUCAUCUGAUCCACCACUUGAAAGAUAACUGAUAAUAUCUUGAACGCGAGAAUUGAUUCCAACCAGGUGAUUGGCCACAUGUAAUUUGUUUGCUCUCCGAAGCCAUUCCGGAAUAAUCUUGUCAACAAUUUCUCUAAUACGCUGUGCUUCGCAACUGAAAAUUGAAUUGGCAAGCUUAGUAAGCUCAGUAGGAGCUAUUAGUACACAAACAAUUUUCUUUCCUUCGUGUGUGUGUGUGUGUGUGUGUGUGUGUGUGUGUGUAUACACACUAACUAGCUACUAGCUAGUAUGUGAGUUUGUGAUCAACUUCAAUAAAAGAAACAAAUUCAUUCACUGAUAUAUUAAAGUUUGGUGUAUCAAUUAAACUCAUUAUGGUUUAGAUUUUAGAAGAAAUUGGAGAAAUGGUCCAUGAACUAUGAUCGAAUUGUAGCUUUGGUUCUUAAACUAAAAAUUCAUUAAAUCUCGUCCCUGAACUUAACAAAAUAUGGAACAUUGGUCCCUCCAUGUUAACACCGUAAGAUUUUCUGUUAAUUUGAUAACGUCGUCUUUGUGGGCUCCAUAUUUUUGUUUAUUAGAUGCCACGUUGCUUGAAAAUUCAAAUAAAAGAAAAUAAAUACAAGCAUUGAGAAACAAAGAGAAAAAAAAAUACUUUAAAUUAUAAAAGUUAACUCUCUCCCAUCCUCCCUUCCGCCUCACCUUCUCCAAACCCCAGCCACACCAUUGUAGCACUUUCCCAACAGCCAAAACAAAAGAAAAGUUCCUCAUCCAAAUUUGGAACACACCUCACCUUGCAAACGACUUCACAAUGACAUUCAUCUACGCUGUCUCGAAAGGUAAGAUUCAAGAAAUUUGUGGGAUGCGGGUUCGGGGUUCGGGUGAAGGCUGUGGUCCGUGGGCUAAAGGUUGGGGUCGGCUGGGGAGUGGGGAUUAGGGAUUGGGGGUUGGAAGUGGGAGGUUGACGGGGUGGGAAUCAACGAUUGAAGGUGAAGGGGUGGGCUGCGAGCCUGCGAGUGUUGGUGGGAUGAGGUAGGCCUGCAAUUAUAUAUAUAUAUGUAUGUAUGUAUGUAUGUAUGUAUGUAUGUAUAUAUAUAUGUAUGUAUGUAUAUAUGUAUAUAUAUGUAUGUAUAUAUAAUAUAGGUGAAACUAACAUGUAAAGUUGUAAACACUUUUAACUAAAACUGAAAGGAAUUGGUUACGAAGGACUAACGCUCCAUAUUUUAUCAAGUUCAAGGACAAAAUAUAAUGAAAUUUUAGUUUAGGAACCAAAGCUACAAUUUUCCUCUAGAUUUGAUAUGAGAUUUAAGGCGUAUUAAUUAAGCAUGUUAAUUAGAGUAAUGCAACUUAGAUAUUGAAAAGCACGUGAAUGAUUACCUAUUAUCAGUGAUUUGAAGAUGGUAGCCAGACAAAUUUGCAGCUUCUCUAAGAGCAUUUCUCCACUGCUUUACCCUUUCUUGUUUUUCUUCACGUUUCUUGUCAUCUUUUUCUUUACGAAUGUUCUUUUUGUGUUUCUUAAAUGCUUGGGCUAAAACUCCAUUCUGGUUCCUGACAUGUGAAGGAUCAACGUGAUAGAAUAUUGGCAAAACAUGGCGCUCCAGUUUGUCUCUGCACUCGAUGAUCUUCAUCAGCUCAUUAAGACACCAACUCGAACUCGCAUACCUCUUUGAGAAGACAAUGAUAGAGAUCUUCGAUUCUUCGAUUGCCUGGAACAGUUCUUUUUGUAUUUCUUCCCCUCUUUUUAGAUCGUCCUCAUCAAUAUAAGCCUGGUAUCCCCUGUCCGUUAAUGCCCUGUGGAGGUGGCCCGUGAAACCAUUGCGUGUGUCUACACCGCUGAAGCUCAAGAACACGUCGUAAUUCCAAAGUUUUGACUUGGAGGACGAUGAAGAGGAGGCUUCGUGGGUCGUCAUGGCGGUAUCCACCAUUAUGGCGCUGCAGUGGUUCAGAU